AAGUUUUGGGUGAGUUCUUUUUAGCGAUGGCUAUUUUAUACAUGGAUCUGGAUACCCAUGGAUACCCGACCCAGUUGGGCAAGGGUAUGGAGCACAUUUCUGCCCAUGGGUCCGUGGAUAUGGAUACCCAUGAACAGCCGGGUUGGGCAUGGUUAUAGUUUGUGCUACAUGGAUAUCCAAUGGAUACCCGUAUGACAUGUGGGGUCAUAUGCCAGUGACAGUAGAAAGAGCGAAUCAAUGGUAAAUGGCAGGAACUAUGCAACUUGUUCCAUGAGCUAUAUGCUACAUAAUCAACCUCUGGUAUGUCACACUUAAGGACUCAUCGUAUUACUUGUUACCUACUUAUGCAUGUAGCUUAUGUAGUCAUUUGUGAGUGAAUGAUGAGUUGAUUUGAUAUUUGGGAAGGCUUCAUGCUGACUUUUCUAUGUCCAUAGAGCUCCAUGGGUAUGUGGGUAUCCAGCGGGUUUGGGCAUGGGCACAAGUUGUGCCCAUGGAUAAUUUGGUGGAUGGGUAGAGGGUAGGAACAUGGGUCAUGGGUUGGAUUUGGACCAGCUCCACCCGCCCCAAACCCGACCCAUUGCCAUCCCUAGUUCUUUUGAUGGAUUAUGGAACAAGGAGUGGCAAGAGCCUAAGCUUGGGGAUGCCCAUGGAACCGCCAAGAUAAUCCAAGGACACCAAAAAGUCAAAGUUUGGGGAUGCCCCGGAAGGCAUCCCCUCUUUCGUCCACUUCCAUCGAUAAUUUACUUGGAGCUAUAUUUUUAUUCACCAACAUGAUAUGUGUUUUGCUUGGAGCGUCUUUUAUUAUUCGUGUCUUUGUUUGUUAGUGUGCCACAAUCAUCCUUGUUGUACACACCUUUUGAGAGAGUCAUCUAUGAAUUAAAAUUUGAUAGAAUACUCUAUGUGCUUCACUUAUAUCUUUUGAGCUAUGUAGUUUUGCUCUACGUGCUUCACUUAUAUCUUUUGAGCGUUAUAAUUUUGCUAUAUGUGCUUCACUUAGAUCUUUUAGAGCACGGUGGUGGUUUGUUUUAAAGAAACUAUUGAUCUCUCAUGCUUCACUUAAAUUAUUUUGAGAGUCUUAAUAGCAUGGUAAUUUGCUUAAUAUAAAUAUGCUUGGUGUUCAAGAUAUGUGAAAUUUUCUUUUGAGUGCAUUGAAUACUAAGAGAAGAUUGAAGCAUGAUAAUUGUUUUGAGAUAUGGAGGUGAUAAUAUUAGAGUUAUGCUAGUUUAGUAGUUGUGAAUUUAAAGAAUACUUGUGUUAAAGUUUGUGAUUCCCGUAGCAUGCACAUAUGGUGAACCGUUAUGUGAUGAAGUCAGAGCAUAAUUUAUUUAUUGAUUGUCUUCCUUAUGAGUGGUGGUCGGGGACGAGCGAUGGUCUUUUCCUACCAAUCUAUCCCCCUAGGAGCAUGCGCAUAAUACUUUGCUUUGAUAACUUCUAGAUUUUUGCAAUAAGUAUAUGGGUUCUUUAUGACUAAUGUUGAGUCCAUGGAUUAUAUGAACUUUUUCCCAUCCUUCCACCAUUGCUAGCCUCUCUAAUACCGCGCACCUUUCGCCGGUAUCAUACACCAACCAUAUACCUUCCUCAAAACAGCCACCAUACCUAUCUAUCAUGGCAUUUCCAUAGCCAUUCCGAGAUAUAUUGCCAUUCAACUUUCCACAGUUCCGUUUAUUAUGACACGCUCCAUCAUUGUCAUAUAGCUAGCAUGAUCAUGUAGUUGACAUCGUAUUUGUGGCAAAGCCACCAUUCAUAAUUCUUUCAUACAUGUCACUCUUGAUUCAUUGCAUAUCCCGGUACACCUCCGAUGGCAUUCAUAUAGAGUCAUAUUUUUUCUAAGUAUCGAGUUGUAAUUGUUGAGUUGUAAGAAAAAUAAAAGUGUGAUGAUCAUCAUUUUCUAGAGCAUUGUCCCAAGUGAGGAAAGGAUGAUGGAGACUAUGAUUCCCCAUAAGUCGGGAUGAGACUCUGGACGAAAAAAAGGAGGCCAUAAAAAAAGAGAGAAAAGGCCCAAAUAAAAAAAUGAGAGAAAAAGAGAGAAGGGACAAUGUUACUAUCCUUUUACCACACUUGUGCUUCAAAGUAGCACCAUGAUCUUCAUGAUAGAGAGUCUCUCUUAUGUCACUUUCAUAUACUAAUGGGAAUUUUUCAUUAUAGAACUUGGCUUGUAUAUUCCAAUGAUGGGCUUCCUCAAAUUGCCCUAGGUCUUCGUGAGCAAGCGAGUUGGAUGCACACCCACUUUGUUUCUUUUGAUGAGCUUUCAUAUACUUAUAGCUCUAGUGCAUCCGUUGCAUGGCAAUCCCUACUCACUCACAUUGAUAUCUAUUGAUGGGCAUCUCCAUAGCCCGUUGAUAUGCCUAGUUGAUGUGAUACUAUCUUCCCCUCUUUUUAUCUUCUCCACAACCACCCUUCCAUUCCACAUAGUGCUAUGUCCAUGGCUCACGCUCAUGUAUUGCGUGAAGAUUGAAAAAGUUUUGAAAAAGUUAGAGUAUGAAACAAUUGCUUGGCUUGUCAUCGGGGUUGUGCAUGAUUUAAAUACUUUGUGUGAUGAAGAUAGAGCAUAGCCAGACUAUAUGAUUUUGUAGGGAUAACUUUCUUUGGCCAUGUUAUUUUGAGAAGACAUAAUUACUUUAUUAGUAUGCUUGAAGUGUUAUUAUUCUUUAUGUCAAUAUGAACUUUUGUCUUGAAUCUUUCUAAUCUGAAUAUCCAUACCACAAUUAAGAAAUUUUGCAUUGAAAUUAUGCCAAGUAGCACUCCGCAUCAAAAAUUCUCUUUUUAUCAUUUACCUACUCGAGGACGAGCAGGAAUUAAGCUUGGGGAUGCCUGAUACGUCUCCAACGUAUCUAUAAUUUUUGAUUGCUCCAUGCUAUAUUAUCUACUGCUUUGGACUAUAUUGGGCUUUAUUUUCCACUUUUAUAUUAUUUUUGGGACUAACCUAUUAACCGGAGGCCCAUCCCAGAAUUGUUGUUUUUUGCCUAUUUCAGUGUUUCGAAGAAACAGAAUAUCAAACAGAGUCCAAACAGAAAAAUCCUUUUUGGAACGUGAUUUUCUUCUCAGAUAAGACCCAAGAGACUUGGACCCUACUCCAAGAAGUACCGGAGGUGGUCACGAGGGUAGGGGCGCCCCCCCCCCUACAGGGCACGCCCCCUGCCUCGUGGGCCCCUCGGUGCUCCACCGACGUACUCCUUCCUCCUAUAUAUACCCACGUACCCCCAAACGAUCAGAACAGGAGCCAAAAACCUAAUUCCACCACCGCAACUUUCUGUAUCCACGAGAUCCCAUCUUGGGGCCUGUUCCGGAGCUCCGCCGGAAGAGGGCCGUCAUCACGGAGGGCUUCUACAUCAUCCUAGCCUCUCCGAUGAAGUGUGAGUAGUUUACCUCAGACCUUUGGGUCCAUAGUUAGUAGCUAGAUGGCUUCUUCUCUCUUUUUGGAUCUCAAUACAAUGUUCUCCCCCUCUCUUGUGGAGAUCUAUUUGAUGUAAUCUUCUUUUUUUGCGGUGUGUUUGUUGAGACCGAUGAAUUGUGGGUUUAUGAUCAAGUCUAUCUAUGAACAAUAUUUGAAUCUUCUCUGAAUUCUUUUAUGUAUGAUUGGUUAUCUUUGCAAGUCUCUUCGAAUUAUCCGUUUGGUUUGGCCAACUAGAUUGGUAGUUCUUGCCAUGGGAGAAGUGCUUAGCUUUGGGUUCGAUCUUGCGGUGUUCUUUCCCAGUGACAGAAGGGGCAGCAAGACAUAUAUUGUAUCGUUGCCAUCAAGGAUAACAAGAUGGGGUUUAUUUCAUAUUGCAUGAAUUUAUCUCUCUACAUAAUGUCAUCUUGCUUAAAGCGUUACUCUGUUUCUAACUUAAUACUCUAGAUGCAUGCUGGAUAGCGGUCGAUGAGUGGAGUAAUAGUAGUAGAUGCAGAAUCGCUUCGAUCUACUUGUCACGGACGUGAUGCCUAUAUACAUGAUCAUGCCUAGAUAUUCUCAUAACUAUGCUCAAUUCUGUCAAUUGCUCAACAGUAAUUUGUUCACCCACCGUAGAAAACUUAUGCUCUCGAGAGAAGCCACUAGUGAAACCUAUGGCCCCCGGGUCUAUUCUCAUCAUAUCAAUCUCCAUCAUGUUAAUCUUGUUUUGUUUUUACUUUGCCUUUUACUUUUCACUUUGCAUCUUUAUAUCAAAAAUACCAAAAAUAUUAUUUAUCAGAUCUCACUUCCGUAAGUGACCGUGAAGGGAUUGACAAUCCCUAAUCGCGCUGGUUGCGUUGAGCUCUUUGUGUUGUGUAGGUACGAGGGACUUGCGCGUGGCCUCCUACUGGAUUGAUACCUUGGUUCUCAAAAACUGAGGGAAAUACUUACGCUACUCUGCUGCAUCAUCCCUUCCUCUUCGGGGAAAACCAACGCAAGCUCAAGACGUAGCAGUCGUACAUAUGAAGACACGCCUGCUGAACGGCAUAAGAAAAAUCUGGACGUGUGAGUGUAAUAUAUUGGAGAGCGCCGGCUAGACUGCGAUACUGAAAGGGAUCUGAAACAGGACACCCGACCGUGGCUGAAAGCUUUGAUUUUGUGUCUGUAGGGGUAGAAGCGGGAUUGCAAUCACGCAUGCCAGCACGGGAGAGAACAUCAAGAAUGUAUUGUUGUUGUGAGAGAUGAAGGCUGGAGGAAGUGUGAGUAACUAAAAUGCCAAGAAAAUGAUGAAGAUGUCCAAGGUCUUUCAUAGAAAAUUCGGUGCUAAGUUUGUGAGUGAUAGAAGUAAGAAUAGUGGAAGAAGAAGCCGUGAGUAUAAUAUCGUCAACAUAGAGGAGUAAAUAAGUAGUGGAACCACCAUGAUGAAAAAUAAAGAGAGAAGCAUAUGAAUUGGAUUCACUAAAACCAAUGGAACGAGCAUAGGUGGCAAAACGUUGAAACCAUGCACGUGGAGCUUGUCUAAGACCAUAGAGGGACUUUUGGAGAUGAAAAACAUGUGUUGGAAAACAAGCAUCGAUGAAGCCCGCGGGUUGCUGACUAUAUACCUCCUCGUCAAGAUUCCCGUGUAGGAAGGCGUUUUUAACAUCAAGUUGAUGAAUAGGCUAUGAUUUAGAAAGAUCUAGAGAGAGAACCACACGUAUAGUGGCUGGUUUGACAACGGGGUAAAAGUCUCAUCAAAAUCUACGCCGGGUUGUUGGGUGAAUCCAUGGACAAGCCAACGUGCUUUGUGACGAGCGAGAGACCCAUCGGAGUAAUAUUUGUGUCAAAAAAUCCACUUCCCACUAACAAUAUUAGCACCUGGGGGAGGAGGAACGGGAGUCCAUGUGCCAUUUUGAAGAAGUGCGUCAUAUUCAUCUUGCAUGGCUUGUCGCCAAGCCGGGUCGUGCAAGGCAAUUAGAUAGUUAUGCGGAAUUGGAGAAGAAAGAGUGGUUGUGAGGUUUAGACGAUCAAUAGGUGGUGGGAGUCGACCUGUUACACGACGUGUGCGAUGAAUAACAGGGGAUGGAGCGCGUACUAUUUUCGGGGAUGGUGAUGGUUCGGGAGAGGCGGCAGGCUCAAUACUCGGAGAUGGUGGAGGUGUAGCAGGUUGUAAAGGAGGAGAGGUCGGGCAUGAUGAUGCAUGGUUGGUCCAAUGUUGGACGUCGGGGGCACAUGCAAGAUGGGUGUAGUGGGCAUGGGUUUGGACCCGGCAUGCAUGGAGGUUGACGUGGUCGUGCAAUGAGGAGCUGGAGGUGGUUGUAGUUGAGGAUCAAACAAAUCAAAUGGUGGUGAUGAAGUAGUAUGGGUAGGUGAUGCAUAUGGAAAAACGGUCUCAUCAAACGUUACAUGGCGUGAAAUUAUGAUUCGUCUGGUGGCGAGGUCUAAGAAGCGGUAGCCACGAUGACGAGAUGGGUAUCCUAGGAAGAUACAAUGAACAGAACGAGGGGCAAGUUUGUGUGGUGAUGUAGAGGAUGUAUUGGGAUAGCACAGACAACCAAACACACGAAGGUCGGUGUAGAUGGGGUGGCGUCCGUGAAGAAGGAAGAAGGGGGUAUGUGAAGGUUGAGCAUUGGUGGGUCUAAUGUUUAUAAGGUAAGUGGCAGUGUGAAAGGCUUGGGCCCAAAAGGGUGCCGGGAGGGAGGCUUAGAAAAGUAAUGUACGAAUGACGUCGUUGGUGGUGCGGAUGGCUCGCUCAGCUGUACCAUUUUGUUGGGAGGUGUAGGGGCAUGAAAAGCAAAAAAUAAUGCCCUUGGUGGAACAAAACGAGUCUAGUUUAGUGUUGUCAAACUCACGACUAUUUUCACAUUAUAUGGAUUGGAUGGAUAGCUGAAAUUGAGUGAGAGCAUAGGCAUGAAAGGCGGCGAAGGUGGUAUAAACAUUAGACUUUUUGUGUAGAGGAAAACUCUAGAAAAAGUGAGUAUAGUCGUCGACAAUGAUUAGGUAAUAACAAUAACCAGACACACUAGGCACAGGAGAUGUCCACAAAUCGUAAUGAAUGCGCUCAAAAGGGCGAAUAGUAUGUGACUAAGAAGUAAAAAAUGGCGACCUAACAUGUUUUCCUAUUUGACAAGCAUGACAUACGACGUGCUGACUUUAUUGUAUGGGAGAUGCUGGAGUUGAUGAAGGUGCGACAUGGUGUGGGAGCCGGGGUGACCAAGACGGCGAUGCCAAAGGUCCGAUGAAGAGGUGGCGAUGACGGCAUGAGCUUCAUGUGUGGGUUGACAUACUGGAUAAAGAGGGCCGAAACUAUUGCAUCGAAGAAUCACGGUCUUGGUGAGAAGAUCCUUCACAGAGAAACCAUAUGGGUCAAAUUCUAUAGAACAUGAAUUAUCAGUGGUGAAUUGACGAACAGAAACUAGAUUUUUGAUAAUUUGAGGAACAAUAAGAAUAUUGCGUAAAUGAAGAGGUAUGGAAGUGCUCGUGAGUGCAUAUGAUCCAACAUGUGUAAUUGGGAGAGUAGAACCGUUGCCGACAGUAACAGAUUGAGAGGAUGAAGAUGGUGAGACGGAGUUGAAGUUACCAUAAUCGAAUGCCAUAGGAGAAGAUGCGCCAGAGUCCAUAUACCACUCGUGCGUGCCAGGAAUCUGCAUAUUGUUGAGGGCAGCGAGGAGUGUUGGAUCGACCGUCUGCUGGUGCGGGUUUGAAGUAGAGGACGUCAUCAUGUUGGUGUUGUUGUAGGUCUGGCCGUAGGCAGUGUAAGCUUGCAGUGCAGUGUUAGGAAGAGGACCAAGAAGUCCUUGAGACGGUGCACGCCGUGGACGAGGCUGCCAGCGAGCCAUGGGCUGCUGCCACGAAGGUGAUGACUGAUAUUGCUGAAGAAGAUGAGCCCGAGUCGAGGCCCCGGUCCAUGGAUUGAACUGCCAUGGGUUGUUGCGGCCACGACUACGACCACCGCGGCCACCACCGCGGUAGAAUGGGGUGUUGUUGUAGCCAGAGCCGCCACGCCCGCCUGAACGGUCGCCCCGCAGCCAGAUGAUGGAGCGCGCUCGCCACCCGUGCUAGGUAGGAUGCUAUUGCCGCUUGCCCAUAGAGCAGUGGAGGCGGCGUUCUUGGCGUCAUUUUUCUUUUGCGUCUCUUCUAAGAUGAGCGUCGAGUGUGUCUGAAGGAACAUUGGGAAGGGCACCUGAAACGGGAUGAAGGAGUGGAGGUGUGCAAAGCUGUCGUUGAGGCCACGCUGAAGGGUGAGGACAAGCGUCUCGUCAUUGACCGGCUGGUCGACGUCGGUGAGGGAGUCAGCCAGGGCAAAGCUUCGAGCAGUAAUCGCUGAUGGUCUGAUCACCUUGCGGAGUGUUGCGAAACUCUGCCUCAAGAUGGAUGGCACGAUGCUUUUUGUUGUCUCGAAAUAGGUUCUCGAUGGCGUCCCAGAUCGUGCGUGCCAUGGAGCCAGGACGCUUGGCGAUGCUGAAGAGGUUGAUGGAGAUGGAGCCAUAUAUCCAGGAGAUCACCGUGAAGUCGUCGCGUCCCCAGUCCAAAGUGGGUGAGGUGUCGGAAGGCGUGGCGUCGGCGUCAUCGAUCACAUGAGCGGUGAGGCCAUAGCGACCAAGAGCAGCGAGAAAGAGCUCCCUCCAGUUGGUGUAGUUGGACUCGUUGAGAUCAGGGGUGAUGGGGACAUUGAGCUUGAUCGAAGUGGCGUACGCGGAGGGACUGGGUGGCGUAUGGACGGUCGUCGCCUUGCCUUUUUCUUCAGCGGCAGCUGCAGCUUCGCGCUUGAGUUUAGCCUCAAGCUCGUAUAGCUCUUUGGCACGAGCUUGGAGCUCAGACUCUUUGGCUGAGAUCUCGUCAGGAGUCAUGGCGAGAAGAAGCGAUUAAGGGAUAGGGUUGUGGAGGGUUUGGAGAGAAGAGGCCAAGGACCGAACUAAUCUGAUACCAUGUAGAAUAAUUAUAUUAGGUAGGAGAACAAGAUCGGGUUGCAAUUGCUCGCCUCGGUCGUUUACAUUGCAUAUUAUAUAUAUACCGCAAGGACAUUACAAACAUGGAGUACAAGUUGAUCUAACCUACAGAUUGUAUUUGAUACAGACUACAAUCUGUAGGAUUCUCUAACAGCAAUGAUGGAAAUCAUGGAGGAAUGAGAGCUCCACAUUCUUGCGCAACAACAAUUGAUCAAUGUUUUCAUAGACAGUGUAGCAAAGAAGGAAGAACUUGCUCACAUGCUUAUGGGCGUCAUCCGCGCUGAGGUUGCAGAUUGUGAGGUAGUAGAUCGUUAAGUUAUGUUCAUUUAUUUGCACUGGCAUCAAUCUUUGAUUUCCCAGUGGAUGUAAUUUCCUGUAAUAUAUGUUGUAUGUGCAACGUUUUUCCUUGUAUGCCCUACGUUUGCUUAGCGCGCCUCACAAUCCAGCUAACUGGUCGCUAGGAAGCCAAAAAAGCAGUGAAAUUAUUAAUUAGCACGAACGGUCAUGGGCCCUAUAUGAAGGAAGUGGCCCACUGCCCCUAAUGAACUUCCCUAAUGGGCUCACAGGGGCCAAACUUCUCAUAGGCAUUUGAUUCAUCGGUUUUGGUCCUGUCCAUAAUUGCUUGUCGUAAUGGGCUCAAAUUAUAGCUAGGUCGGAAUCGGCGUUAUCUAAUUGGGCCUACAGACAUGUUCAAACUUUAGCGGACCCAUUAAGUUGAUGGGCCACAACUAGGCCGAAAGCUCUAUUGGGCCGCUAUAAUUGAAACGAGCCAACAGUUAAUGCUCGGCCAUGUUACCUCCCAGGUCAUUAACACGCAGACAUCGAAGCGGGCAAUAAGUGGGCCCAUUUGAUUUCAUGGGCCAUUAAUAGGCCGAUACUAAGGUCGGGCUAUAUAUGGACCAACUGUACUAUGGGCCUUUAGCAGGUCGAAAGAGACGAUGGGCUCGCAUUGGACCAUGAAGAGCAUGGGCCGCUAAGACGCCGAAAGUCAGGUCGGACUGUAUAUGGCCCAACUGUGUUGUGGGCCUUUAGCAGGCCGAAAGAAAAACUGGGCUGGUAUUGGUCCAUGAAGAGCAUCGACCAUUAAGAGGACAUCAAUUCCAACUGCAAAUGGCCCAACUCAUUUAUGGGUCGUUAACAUGCUAAAAGACACACGGGGCCGGAAAUUGGCCCAACACUUAAAUGGGUCACUAAAAGGCCGAAAGACGUACAUCCGGAAAAUUGGCCCAUCCCUUGAAUGGGUCGUUAACAGGCCGAAACCACAUCGGGUCGAUAUUGAGCCCAAAUACAUAGCGGGUUGUUAACGGGCUCGAAGUGACGAUGGGCUGCAAUGGUGUCAAAUAGUUAACGGGCAGUUGACAGGCGAAAUUGGCACAUCUUGUAUGGGUCGUGAGCUUAAAUCGACCAGACACAAGUAGGCCCUAUAUGGGGCGGCCUGCUAAUUUUGUCUGGGCCGGCCUCUUUCACAUAAAUGGGCCACUGUUGGGCCUUGCCACAUGCCAACGUACCAUAGGCACCUUCUGUACAAUGAGUGGAUGACAUCUGUCCCAAUGCUGAGCCGACAUGUGGAUCCUCCGAUGAAUGAGAAUUUUACACGUGGAAAAUCCCCAUUGGUCGGGGCUGUUAAUGGGUUAUCGGAUCCAAACCGGAACCCAAUAGCUUAACAGAGACACGUUAUGGUGGAUGCCACGUGUUGGUUACCCUUGACGAAAACACUUCCAUGACGCGCCAUUUAUCUGUUGGGGAUCGUAGCAGAAAUUUAAAAUUUCCUACGCAUCACCAAGAUCAAUCUAUGGAGUAAUCUAGCAAUGAGGGGAAGGGGAGUGCAUCUACAUACCCUUGUAGAUUGCUAAGCGGAAGCGUUGCUAGAACGCGGAUGAGGUAGUCGUACUCGUAGCGAUUCAGAUCGCGGUCGAUUCUGAUCUAAGCGCCAAACAACGGCGCCUCCGCGUUCAACACACGUGCAGCCCGGUGACGUCUCCCAUGCCUUGAUCCAGCAAGGAGAGAGGGAGAGGUUGGGGAAGACUCCGUCCAGCAGCAGCACGACGGCGCGGUGGUGGUGGAGGAGCGCGGUACUCCAGCAGGGCUUCGCCAAGCACUACGAGAGACGAGGAGGGAGAGAAGUAGGGUUGCGCCUUGGGAGAAAGAGACUCGUGUGUUCUGCAGCCCCAAAACCUCCACUAUAUAUAGGGGCAAGGGCAAGGGGAGGCGCCCUAGGGUUUCCCCUAGGGGGGCGGCGGCCAGGGCAGAUGGGAUCUCCCCCUUGGGUGACUUGGCCCCCAAGCCAGGAGGUGGGAACCCUAGAUGGGGCUACCCAAACCCCCUGGUCACGUGGGAAUAGGUGAGGGGGGCGCACAUCCCCUUAGUGGGCUGGUUUGCCCCCUUCCCUUGGCCCAUGAAGCCCCCCAACACUUGCCGGGGCUCCCGAAACACCUUUCGGUCAUGCUGGUCAUCACCCGGUACCUCCGGAACACUUCCGGACUCCAAAACCCUUCGUCCAAUAUAUCAAUCUUCACCUCUGGACCAUUCAGGAACUCCUCGUGAUGUCUGGGAUCUCAUCCGGGACUCCGAACAACAUUCGGUAACCGUGCACAUACUUUCCCUAUAACCCUAGCGUCAUCGAACCUUAAGUUUGUAGACCCUACGGGCUCGGGAAUAAUGCAGACAUGACCGAGACAUCUCUCUGGUCAAUAACCAACAACGGGAUCUGGACACCCAUGUUGGAUCCCACAUGUUCCACGAUGAUCUCAUCAGAUGAACCAUGAUGUCAAGGAUUCAGUCAAUCCCGUAUACAAUUCCCUUUGUCUACCGGUAUAGUACUUGCCCGAGAUUCGAUCAUCGGUAUCCCGAUACCUUGUUCAAUCUCGUUACCGGCAAGUCUCUUUACUCAUUCCGUAACACAUCAUCCCGUGAUCAACUCCUUGGUCACAUUGUGCACAUUAUGAUGAUGUCCUACCGAGUGGGCCCAGAGAUACCUCUCCGUUUACACUAAGUGACAAAUCCCAGUCUCGAUUCGUGCCAACCCAACAGACACUUUCGGAGAUACCCGUAGUGCACCUUUAUAGCCACCCAGUUACGUUCUGGCGUUUGGUACACCCAAAGCAUUCCUACGGUAUCCGGGAGUUGCACAAUCUCAUGGUCUAAGGAAAUGAUACUUGACAUUAGAAAAGCUUUAGCAGACGAACUAUACGAUCUUGUGCUAGUCUUAGGAUUGGAUCUUGUCCAUCACAUCAUUCUCCUAAUGAUGUGAUCCCGUUAUCAAUGACAUCCAAUGUCCAUGGUCAGGAAACCAUGACCAUCUAUUGAUCAACGAGCUAGUCAACUAGAGGCUUACUAGGGACAUGUUGUGGUCUAUGUAUUCACACAUGUAUUACGGUUUCCGAUUAAUACAAUUAUAGCAUGAACAAUAGACAAUUAUCAUGAACAAGGAAAUACAAUAAUAACCAUUUUAUUAUUGCCUCUAGGGCAUAUUUCCAACAGUCUCCCACUUGCACUAGAGUCAAUAAUCUAGUUCACAUCACUAUGUGAUUGCAAUGAAUCCAACACCCAUGGGGUUUGUUCAUAUCUUGCUUGUGAGAGAGGUUUAUUAGGUAAUGAGUCUGAACCUUUCAGAUCCAUGUGUGCUUUACAAAUCUCUAUGUCAUCUUGUAGAUGCAGCUACCACGUGCUACUUGGAGCUAUUCCAAAUAACUGUUCUACUAUACGAAUCCGGUUUACUACUCAGAGUCCUCCGCAUUAGUGUCGAAGUUUGCAUCGACGUAACCCUUUACGACGAACUCUUUUACCACCUCCAUAAUCGAGAAAAUUCCUUAGUCCACUAGUUACUAAGGAUAAGUUCGACCGCUGUCAUGUGAUCCAUUCCUGGAUCACUCUUGUACCCCUUGACUGACUCAUGGCAAGGCACACUUCAGGUGCGGUACACAGCAUAGCAUACUGUAGAGCCUAUGUCUAAAGCAUAGGGGACGACCUUCGUCCUUUCUCUCUCUUCUGCCGUGGUCAGGUCUUGAGUCUUACUCAAUGCUCACACCUUCUAACACAGCCAAGUGUUGGGGAACGCAGUAAUUUCAAAUUUUCCUACGCACAUGCAAGAUCAUGGUGAUGCAUAGCAACGAGAGGGGAGAGUGUUGUAUACGUACCUACGCAGACCGACUGCGGAAGCGUUGACGCAACGUAUAGGAAUUAGUCGUACGUCUUCCCGAUCCGACCGAUCCAAGCACCGUUACUCCGGCACCUCCGAGUUCUUAGCACACGUACAGCUCGAUGACGAUCCCCGGGCUCCGAUCCAGCAAAUCGUCGAGGAGGAGUUCCGUCAGCACGACGGUGUGGUGACGAUCUUGAUGUUCUACUGUCGCAGGGCUUCGCCUAAGCACCGCUACAAUAUGAUCGAGGUGGAAUAUGGUGGCAGGGGGCACCGCACACGGCUAAGGAACGAUCUCAAGGAUCAACUUGUGUCUAGAGGUUCCCCCUGCCCCCGUAUAUAAAGGAUCCAAGGGGGAGGGGGCGGCCAGCCAGGAGGAGGGCGCAGGAGGAGUCCUACUCCUACCGGGAGUAGGACUCCCCCCCCCCCCAAUCCUAGUUGGAAUAGGAUUCCCCGAGGGGGAAAGAGAGAGAGGGGGGCCGGCCACCUCUCCUUGUCCUAAUAGGACUAGGGGAGGGGGGAGGCACGCGGCCCACCUUUGGGCUGCCCCUUUCUUCUUUCCACUAAAGCCCACUAAGGCCCAUAUAGCUCCCGGGGGGUUCCGGUAACCUCCCGGUACUCCGGUAAAAUACCGAUUUCACCCGGAACACUUCCGAUAUCCAAACAUAGGCUUCCAAUAUAUCAAUCUUUAUGUCUCGACCAUUUCGAGACUCCUCGUCAUGUCCGUGAUCACAUCCGGGACUCCGAACUAACUUCGGUACAUCAAAAUGCAUAAACUCAUAAUAACUGUCAUCAUAACGUUAAGCGUGCGGACCCUACGGUUCGAGAAUAAUGCAGACAUGACUGAGACACAUCUCCGGUCAAUAACCAAUAGCGGGACCUGGAUGCCCAUAUUGGCUCCUACAUAUUCUACGAAGAUCUUUAUCGGUCAGACCGCAUAACAACAUACGUUGUUCCCUUUGUCAUCGGUAUGUUACUUGCCCGAGAUUCGAUCGUCGGUAUCCAAUACCUAGUUCAAUCUCGUUACUGGCAAGUCUCUUUACUCGUUCCGUAAUACAUCAUCUCGCAACUAACUCAUUGGCUGCAAUGCUUGCAAGGCUUAUGUGAUGUGCAUUACCGAGAAGGCCCAGAGAUACCUCUCCGACAAUCGGAGUGACAAAUCCUAAUCUCGAAAUACGCCAACCCAACAUCUACCUUUGGAGACACCUGUAGAGCUCCUUUAUAAUCACCCAGUUACGUUGUGACGUUUGGUAGCACACAAAGUGUUCCUCCGGUAAACGGGAGUUGCAUAAUCUCAUAGUCAUAGGAACAUGUAUAAGUCAUGAAGAAAGCAAUAGCAACAUACUAAACGAUCGGGUGCUAAGCUAAUGAAAUGGGUCAUGUCAAUCAGAUCAUUCAACUAAUGAUGUGACCUCGUUAAUCAAAUAACAACACCUUGUUCAUGGUUAGGAAACAUAACCAUCUUUGAUUAACGAGCUAGUCAAGUAGAGGCAUACUAGUGACACUAAGUUUGUCUAUGUAUUCACACAUGUAUUAUGUUUCCGGUUAAUACAAUUCUAGCAUGAAUAAUAAACAUUUAUCAUGAUAUAAGGAAAUAAAUAAUAACUUUAUUAUUGCCUCUAGGGCAUAUUUCCUUCAGUCUCCCACUUGCACUAGAGUCAAUAAUCUAGAUUACACAGUAAUGAUUCUAACACCCAUGGAGCCUUGGUGCUGAUCAUGUUUUGCUCAUGGAAGAGGCUUAGUCAACGGGUCUGCAACAUUCAGAUCCGUAUGUAUCUUGCAAAUCUCUAUGUCUCCCACCUGGACUAGAUCCCGGAUGGAAUUGAAGCGUCUCUUGAUGUGCUUGGUCCUCUUGUGAAAUCUGGAUUCCUUUGCCAAGGCAAUUGCACCAGUAUUGUCACAAAAGAUUUUCAUUGGACCCGAUGCACUAGGUAUGACACCUAGAUCGGAUAUGAACUCCUUCAUCCAGAGUCCUUCGUUUGCUGCUUCCAAAGAAGCUAUGUACUCCGCUUCACAUGUAGAUCCCGCUACGACGCUUUGUUUAGAACUGCACCAACUGACAGCUCCACCGUUUAAUGUAAACACGUAUCCGGUUUGCGAUUUAGAAUCGUUCGGAUCAGUGUCAAAGCUUGCAUCAACGUAACCUUUUAUGGUGAGCUCUUUGUCACCUCCAUAUACGAGAAACAUAUCCUUAGUCCUUUUCAGGUAUUUCAGGAUGUUCUUGACCGCUGUCCAGUGAUCCACUCCUGGAUUACUUUGGUACCUUCCUGCUAAACUUAUAGCAAGGCACACAUCAGGUCUGGUACACAGCAUUGCAUACAUGAUAGAGCCUAUGGCUGAAGCAUAGGGAACAUCUUUCAUCUUCUCUCUAUCUUCUACAGUGGUCGGGCAUUGAGUCUGACUCAACUUCACACCUUGUAACACAGGCAAGAACCCUUUCUUUGCUUGAUCCAUUUUGAACUUCUUCAAAAUCUUGUCAAGGUAUGUGCUUUGUGAAAGUCCAAUUAAGCGUCCUGAUCUAUCUCUAUAGAUCUUUAUGCCUAAUAUGUAAGCAGCUUCACCAAGGUCUUUCAUUGAAAAACUCUUAUUCAAGUAUCCCUUUAUGCUAUCCAAAAAUUCUAUAUCAUUUCCAAUUAGUAAUAUGUCAUCCACAUAUAAUAUCAGAAAUGCUACAGAGCUCCCACUCACUUUCUUGUAAAUACAGGCUUCACCGAAAGUCUGUAUAAAACCAAAUGCUUUGAUCACACUAUCAAAGCGUUUAUUCAACUCCGAGAGGCUUGCACCAGUCCAUAGAUGGAUCGCUGGAGCUUGCACACUUUGUUAGCUCCCUUUGGAUUGACAAAACCUUCUGGUUGCAUCAUAUACAACUCUUCUUCCAGAAAUCCAUUCGGGAAUGCAGUUUUGACAUCCAUCUGCCAAAUUUCAUAAUCAUAAAAUGCGGCAAUUGCUAACAUGAUUCGGACAGACUUAAGCAUCGCUACGGGUGAGAAGGUCUCAUCGUAGUCAACCCCUUGAACUUGUCGAAAACCUUUUGUGACAAGUCGAGCUUUGUGGACAGUAACAUUACCAUCAGCGUCAGUCUUCUUCUUGAAGAUCCAUUUAUUCUCAAUUGCUUGCCGAUCAUCGGGCAAGUCAACCAAAGUCCAUACUUUGUUCUCAUACAUGGAUCCCAUCUCAGAUUUCAUGGCUUCAAGCCACUUUGUGGAAUCUGGGCUCACCAUCGCUUCUUCAUAGUUCGUAGGUUCAUCAUGAUCUAGCAGCAUGAUUUCCAGAACAGGAUUACCGUACCACUCUGGUGCGGAUCUCGCUCUGGUUGAUCUACGAGGUUCAGUAGUAUCUUGUCCUGAAGUUUCAUGAUCAUCAUCAUUAGCUUCCUCACUAAUUGGUAUAGGUGUCGCAGAAACAGUUUUCUGUGAUGUACUACUUUCCAAUAAGGGAGCAGGUACAGUUACCUCGUCAAGUUCUACUUUCCUCCCAUUCACUUCUUUCGAGAGAAACUCCUUCUCUAGAAAGGAUCCAUUCUUAGCAACGAAUGUCUUGCCUUCGGAUCUGUGAUAGAAGGUGUACCCAACAGUCUCCUUUGGGUAUCCUAUGAAGACACAUUUCUCCGAUUUGGGUUCGAGCUUAUCAGGUUGAAGCUUUUUCACAUAAGCAUCACAGCCCCAAACUUUAAGAAACGACAACUUUGGUUUCUUGCCAAACCACAGUUCAUAAGGCGUUGUCUCAACGGAUUUUGAUGGCCUAUUUAACGUGAAUGCGGCCGUCUCUAAAGCAUAACCCCAAAAUGAUAGCGGUAAAUCGAUAAGAGACAUCAUAGAUCGCACCAUAUCUAGUAAAGUACGAUUACGACGUUCGGAAACACCAUUGCGCUGUGGUGUUCCGGGUGGCGUGAGUUGCGAAACUAUUCCACAAUUUUCAAAUGUACACCAAACUCGUAACUCAAAUAUUCUCCUCCACGAUCAGAUCAUAGAAACUUUAUUUUCUUGUUACGAUGAUUUUCAACUUCACUCUGAAAUUCUUUGAACUUUUCAAAUGUUUCAGACUUAUGUUUCAUUAAGUAGAUAUACCCAUAUCUGCUUAAGUCAUCUGUGAAGGUGAGAAAAUAACGAUAUCCGCCACGAGCCUCAAUAUUCAUCGAACCACAUACAUCUGUAUGUAUGAUCUCCAACAAAUCUGUUGCUCUCUCCAUAGUACCGGAGAACGGUGUUUUAGUCAUCUUGCCCAUGAGGCACGGUUCGCAAGUACCAAGUGAUUCAUAAUCAAGUGGUUCCAAAAGUCCAUCAGUAUGGAGUUUCUUCAUGCGCUUUAUACCGAUAUGACCUAAAUGGCAGUGCCACAAAUAAGUUGCACUGUCAUUAUCAACUCUGCAUCUUUUGGCUUCAACAUUAUGAAUAUGUGUGUUACUACUAUCGAGAUUCAUCAAAAAUAGACCACUUCUCAAAGGUGCAUGACCAUAAAAGAUAUUACUCAUAUAAAUAGAACAACCAUUAUUCUCUGAUUUAAAUGAAUAACCGUCUCGCAUCAAACAAGAUCCAGAUAUAAUGUUCAUGCUCAACGCUGGCACCAAAUAACAAUUAUUUAGGUCUAAUAUUAAUCUCGAAGGUAGAUGCAGAGGUAGCGUGCCGACCGCGUUCACAUCGACUUUGGAACCGUUUCCCACGCGCAUCGUCACCUCGUCCUUCGCCAGUGUUCACUUAAUCCGUAGUCCAUGUUUCGAGUUGCAAAUAUUAGCAACAGAACCAGUAUCAAAUACCCAGGUGCUACUGCGAGCUCUAGUAAGGUACACAUCAAUAACAUGUAUAUCACAUAUACCUUUGUUCACCUUGCCAUCCUUCUUAUCCGCCAAAUACUUGGGGCAGUUCCGCUUCCAGUGACCAGUCUGCUUGCAGUAGAAGCACUCAGUUUCAGGCUUAGGUCCAGACUUGGGUUUCUUCUCCUGAGCAGCAACUAGCUUGCCGUUCUUCUUGAAGUUCCCCUUCUUCUUCCCUUUGCCCUAUUUCUUGAAACUAGUGGUCUUGUUAACCAUCAACACUUGAUGCUCCUUCUUGAUUUCUACCUCCGUCGAUUUUAGCAUCAGGAAGAGCUUGGGAAUUACUUAUGUCAUCCCUUGCAUAUUAUAGUUCAUCAUGAAGUUCUACUAACUUGGUGAUGGUGACUAGAGAAUUUUGUCAAUCACUAUUUUAUCUGGAAGAUUAACUCCCACUUGAUUGAAGCGAUUGUAGUACCCAGACAAUCUGAGCACAUGCUCACUAGUUGAGCGAUUCUCCUCCAUCUUUUAGCUAUAGAACUUGUUGGAGACUUUAUAUCUCUCAACUCGGGUAUUUGCUUGAAAUAUUAAAUUCAAUUCCUGGAACAUCUCAUAUGGUCUAUGACGUUCAAAACGUCUUUGAAGUCCCGAUUCUAAGCCGUUAAGCAUGGUGCACUAAACCAGCAAGUAGUCAUCAUAUUGAGCUAGCCAAACGUUCAUAACGUCUGCAUCUGCUCCUGCAAUAGGCCCGUCACCUAGCGGUGCAUCAAGGACAUAAUUCUUCUGUGCAGCAAUGAGGAUAAACCUCAGAUCACGGAUCCAAUCCCCAUCAUUGCUACUAACAUCUUUCAACACAAUUUUCUCUAGGAACAUAUCAAAAUAAACAUAUGAAAGCAACAACGCGAGCUAUUGAUCCAUAACAUAGAUAUGCUAAUACUACCAGGACUAAGUUCAUGAUAAAUUUAAGUUCAAUUAAUCAUAUUACUUAAGAACUCCCACUUAGAUAGACAUCCCUCUAAUCCUCUAAGUGAUCACGUGAUCCAAAUCAACUAAACCAUAACCGAUCAUCACGUGAGAUGGAGUAGUUUUUAAUGGUGAACAUCGUUAUGUUGAUCAUAUCUACUAUAUGAUUCAUGCUCGACCUUUCGGUCUCUGUGUUCCGAGGCUAUAUCUGCAUAUGCUAGGCUCAUCAAGUUUAACCUGAGUAUUCUGCGUGUCCAAAACUGGCUUGCACCCGUUGUAGAUGGACGUAGAGCUUAUCACACCCGAUCAUCACGUGGUGUCUGGGCACGACGAACUUUGGCAACGGUGCAUACUCAGGGAGAACACUUCUUGAUAAUUUAGUGAGAGAUCAUCUUAUAAUGCUACCGUCAAUCAAAGCAAGAUAAGAUGCAUAAAAAGAUAAACAUCACAUGCAAUCAAUAUAAGUGAUAUGAUAUGGCCAUCAUCAUCUUGUGCUUGUGAUCUCCAUCUCCAAAGCACCGUCAUGAUCACCAUCGUCACUGGCGCGACACCUUGAUCUCCAUCGUAGCAUCGUUGUCGUCUCGCCAAUCUUAUGCUACCACGACUAUCACUACCGCUUAGUGAUAAAGUAAAGCAUUACAUCGCGAUUGCAUUGCACACAAUAAAGCGACAACCAUAUGGCUCCUGCCAGUUGCCGAUAACUCGGUUACAAAACAUGAUCAUCUCAUACAAUAAAAUUCAUCAUCAUGCCUUGACCAUAUCACAUCACAACAUGCCCUGCAAAAACAAGUUAGACGUCCUCUACUUUGUUGUUGCAAGUUUUACAUGGCUGCUACGGGCUUAAGCAAGAACCAAUCUCACCUACGCAUCAAAACCACAACGAUAGUUUGUCAAAUAGACUCCGUUUUAACCUUCGCAAGGACCGGACGUAGCCACACUCGGUUCAACUAAAGUUGGAGAGACUGUCGCCCGCAAGCCACCUAUGUGCAAAGCACGUCGGGAGAACCGGUCUUGCGUAAGUGUACGCGUAAUGUCGGUCCGGGUCGUCUCGUCCAACAAUACCGCCGACCCAAAGUAUGACAUGCUGGUAGGCAGUAUGACUUAUAUCGCCCACAACUCACUCGUGUUCUACUUGUGCAUAUAACAUCAAACCAUAAAACCUAGGCUCGGAUGCCACUGUUGGGGAACGCAGUAAUUUCAAAAAAAUUCCUACGCACACGCAAGAUCAUGCUGAUGCAUAGCAACGAGACGGGAGAGUGUUGUCUACGUACCUACGCAGACCGACUGCGGAAGCGUUGACGCAACGUAGAGGAAGUAGUCGUACGUCUUCCCGAUCCGACCGAUCCAAGCACCGUUACUCCGGCACCUCCGAGUUCUUAGCACACGUACAGCUCGAUGACGAUCCCCGGGCUCCGAUCCAGCAAAGCAUCGGGGAGGAGUUCCGUCAGCACGACAGCAUGGUGAUGAUCUUGAUGUUCUACUGUCGCAGGGCUUCGCCUAAGCACCGCUACAAUAUGAUCGAGGUGGAAUAUGGUGGCAGGGGGCACCGCACACGGCUAAGGAACGAUCUCAAGGAUCAACUUGUGUCUAGAGGUGCCCCCCUGCCCCCGUAUAUAAAGGAUCCAAGGGGGAGGGGGCGGCCGGCUAGGAGGAAGGCGCAGGAGGAGUCCUACUCCUACCGGGAGUAGGACUCCCCUCCCAAUCCUAGUUGGAAUAGGAUUCCCCGAGGGGGAAAGAGAGAGAGGGGGGCCGGCCACCUCUCCUUGUCCUAAUAGGACUAGGGGAGGGGGGAGGCGCGUGGCCCACCUUUGGGCUGCCCCUUUCUCCUUUCCACUAAAGCCCACUAAGGCCCAUAUAGCUCCCGGGGGGUUCCGGUAACCUCCCGGUACUCCGGUAAAAUACCGAUUUCACCCGGAACACUUCCGAUAUCCAAACAUAGGCUUCCAAUAUAUCAAUAUUUAUGUCUCGACCAUUUUGAGACUCCUCGUAUGUCCGUGAUCACAACCGAGACUCCGAACUAACUUCGGUACAUCAAAAUUCAUAAACUCAUAAUAACUGUCAUCGUAACGUUAAGCGUGCGGACCCUACGGUUCGAGAAUAAUGUAGACAUGACUGAGACACAUCUCCGGUCAAUAACCAAUAGCGGGACCUGGAUGCCCAUAUUGGCUCCUACAUAUUCUACGAAGAUCUUUAUCGGUCAGACCGCAUAACAACAUACGUUGUUCCCUUUGUCAUCGGUAUGUUACUUGCCCGAGAUACGAUCGUCGGUAUCCAAUACCUAGUUCAAUCUCAUUAUCGGCAAGUCUCUUUACUCGUCCCGUAAUACAUCAUCUCGCAACUAACUCAUUGGCUGCAAUGCUUGCAAGGCUUAUGUGAUGUGCAUUACCGAGAAGGCCCAGAGAUACCUCUCCGACAAUCGGAGUGACAAAUCCUAAUCUCGAAAUACGCCAACCCAACAUCUACCUUUGGAGACACCUGUAGAGCUCCUUUAUAAUCACCCAGUUAUGUUGUGACGUUUGGUAGCACACAAAGUGUUCCUCCGGUAAACGGGAGUUGCAUAAUCUCAUAGUCAUAGGAACAUGUAUAAGUCAUGAAGAAAGCAAUAGCAACAUACUAAACGAUUGGGUGCUAAGCUAAUGAAAUGGGUCAUGUCAAUAAGACCAUUCAACUAAUGAUGUGACCUCGUUAAUCAAAUAACAACACCUUGUUCAUGGUUAGGAAACAUAACCAUCUUUGAUUAACGAGCUAGUCAAGUAGAGGCAUACUAGUGACACUAAGUUUGUCUAUGUAUUCACACAUGCAUUAUGUUUCCGGUUAAUACAAUUCUAGCAUGAAUAAUAAACAUUUAUCAUGAUAUAAGGAAAUAAAUAAUAACUUUAUUAUUGCCUCUAGGGCAUAUUUCCUUCACCAAGAACUUUGCUGAUCUAUUUUGAACUCCUUCAAAAUCUUGUCACGGUAUGUAUUCAUUUGAAAGUACUAUUAAGCGUUUUUGAUCUAUCCUUAUAGAUCUUGAUGCUCAAUGUUCAAGUAGCUUAAUCCAGGUUUUCCAUUGAAAAACACUUUUCAAAUAACCCUGUAUGCUUUCCAGAAAUUCUACAUCAUUUCUGAUCAACAAUAUGUUAACAACAUAUACUCAUCAAAAAUUCUAUAGUGCUCCCACUCACUUCUUUGGAAAUACAAGUUUCUCAUAAACUUUGUAUAAACCCAAAAUCUUUGAUCAUCUCAUCAAAGCGUACAUUCCAAUUCCGAGAUGCUUACUCCAGUCCUUAGAAGGAUUGCUGGAGCUUUGCAUACUUGUUAGCAUCUUUCAGGAUUGACAAAACCUUCUGGUUGUAUCACAUACAACCUUUCCUCAAGAAAAACGUCGAGGAAACAAUGUUUUGACAUCCUGUCUGCAAGAUUUCAUAAAUAAUGCAGUAACUGCUAACAUAAUUCCAACAGACUCUUAGCAUCGCUACGAGUGAGAAAGCCUCGUCGUAGUCAACUCCUUGAACUUGUCGGAAAACAUCUUAACGACAAGUCGAGUUUCUUAAUGGUGACAUUUACCAUCAUUGUCCGUCUUCCUUUUAAAAUCCAUCUGCACCCAACAGCCUUACGACCAUCAAGUAGUUCUUCCAAAGUCUAUACUUUGUUUUUAUACAUGGAUCCUCUCUCGGAUUUUAUGGCCUCGAGCCAUUCGUCGGAAUCCGGGCCCACCAUCGCUUCUCCAUAGCUCGUAGGUUCAUUGUUGUCUAGCAACAUGACUUCCAAGACAGGAUUACGUACCACUCUGAAGUAGUACGCAUCCUUGUCGACCUAUGAGGUUUGGUAGUGACUUGAUCCGAAGUUUCAUGAUCACUAUCAUAAGCUUCCACUUAAAUUGGUGUAGGUGCCACAGGAACAACUUCCUGUGCCCUGCUACAUACUAGUUGAAGUGAUGGUUCAAUAACCUCAUGAAGUCUCCAUCAUCCUCCCACUCAGUUCUUUCGGGAGAAACUUUUCCUCGAGAAAGGACCCGUUUCUAGAAACAAUCACUUUUGCUUCUGGAUCCGAAAUAGGAGGUAUACCCAACUAUUUUUGGGUAUUCUAUGAAGAUGCAUUUAUCUGCUUUGGGUUCGAGCUUAUCAGCCUGAAACUUUUUCACAUAAGCAUCGCAGCCCCAAACUUUUAAGAAACGACAGCUUAGGUUUCUCUAAACCAAGUUCAUAUGGUGUUGUCUCAACGGAAUUGUGUGGUGCCCUAUUUAAAGUGAGUGCGGUUGUCUCUAAUGCCUAACCCAUAAACGAUAGUGGUAAUUCGAUAAGAGACAUCAUGGUAUACACCAUAUCCAAUAAGGUGCGGUUGUGAUGUUCGGACACACCAUCACACUACGGUGGUCCAGGUGGUAUUAGUUGUGAAACAAUUUCCACAAUGUCUUAAUUGUGUGCCAAACUCGUAACUCAGAUAUUCAUCUCUAUGAUCAUAUCAUAGACAUUUUAUCAUCUUGUCACGACGAUCUUCAACUUCACUCUGAAAUUACUUAAACCUUUCAAUAAUUCAGACUUGUGUUUCAUCAAGUAAAUAUACUCAGCAUCUACUCAAAUCAUUUGUGAAGUAAGAACAUAACGAUAUCCACUGCGUGCCUCAACACUCAUUGGACUGCACACAUCAAAAUGUAUUACUUCCAACAAGUUGAUGUCUUGUUCCAUCUUACUAAAAACGAGGCCUUUCAGUCAUCUUGCCCAUGUGGUAUGAUUUGCAUGUCUCAAGUGAUUCAAAAUCAAGUGAGUCCAAACGAUCCAUCUGCAUGGAGUUUCUUCAUGCAUAUCUACCAAUAGACAUGGUUCGCAUGUCUCAAUCUUUUCAAAAAACGAGUGAGUCCAAAGAUCCAUCAACAUGGAGCUUCUUCAUGCAUUUUAUACCAACAUGACUCAAAUGGCAGUGCCACAAGUACGUGGUACUAUCAUUACUAUCUUAUAUCUUUUGGCAUGAACAUGUGUAUCACUACGAUCGAGAUUCAAUAAACCAUUCAUUUUUCGGUGCAAGACCAUUGAAGGUAUUAUUUAAAUAAAUAGAGUAACCAUUAUUCUCCUUAAAUGAAUAACCGUAUUGCGAUAAACAUAAUCCAAUCAUGUCUAUGCUCAAUGCAAACACCAAAUAACAAUUAUUUAGAUUUAACACCAAUCUCGAUGGUAGAGGGUGCGUGCGAUGUUUGAUCACAUCAACCUUGGAAACACUUCCAACAUAUCGUCAUCUCACCUUUAGCUAGUCUCCAUAGCCUUUUAUUUUGAGUUACUAACACUUAGCAACCAAACCGGUAUUUAUUACCCUGGUGCUACUAGGAGUACUAGUAAAGUACACAAUAAUAUAACGUAUAUUCAAAAUACUUCUGUCGACCUUGCCAGCCUUCUCAUCUACCAAGUAUCUAGGGUAGUUCUGCUUCAGUGACCGUUCCCCUCAUUACAGAAGCACUUAGUCUCGGGUUUGGGUUCAACCUUGGGUUUCUUCACUAGAGCAGCAACUGAUUUGCCGUUUCAUGAAGUAUCCCUUCUUUCCCUUGCCCUUCUUGAAACUAGUGGUUUUACUAACCAUCAACAAUUGAUGCUCCUACUUGAUCUCUACUUUCAUGGUGUCAAACAUCACGAAUUGCUCAAGGAUCAUCAUGUCUAUCCCUGAUAUGUUAUAGUUCAUCACUAAGCUCUAAUAGCUUGGUGGCAGUGACUAUGGAGAACUAUCACUAUCUCAUCUGGAAGAUUAACUCCCACUCGAUUCAAGCGAUUGUAGUACUCGGACAAUCUGAGCACAUGCUCAACGAUUGAGCUUUUCUCCCUUAGUUUGCAGGCUUAAGAAACCUGUCAGAGGUCUCAUACCUCUUGACGUGGGCACUAGUCUGAAAUCCCAAUUUUAGUCUUUGGAACAUCUCAUAUGUUCUGCGACGUUUCAAAAACGUCUUUGGUGCCAUAAUUCUAAACUAUCAGCAUUACGCACUGAACUAUCACGUAGUCAUCAAAACGUGUAUGUCAGAUGUUUCCCAACAUCUACAGACGACGCUCGAGGUUCAACACACUGAGCGGUGCAUUAAGGACAUAACCCUUCUGUGCAGCAAUGAGGACAAUCCUCAGUUCACGGACCCAGUCCGCAUAAUUGCUACUGUCAACUCUCAACUGAAUUUUCUCUAGGAACAUAUUUAAAAUAGUAGAACCAAAGCGUGAGCUACGACAUAAUUUGCAAAGACCUUUUGACUAUGUUCAUGAUAAUUAAGUUCAUCUAAUCAAAUUAUUUAAUGAACUCCCACUCAGAUAGACAUCCCUCUAGUCAUCUAAGUGAUACAUGAUCCGAAUCAACUAGGCCGUGUCCGAUCAUCACGUGAGAGGGACUAGUCAUCAUCGGUGAACAUCUUCGUGUUGAUCGUAUCCACUAUACGACUCAUGUUCGACCUUUCGGUCUUCCGUGUUCCGAGGCCAUGUCUGUACAUGCUAGGCUCGUCAAGUUAACCUAUGUGUAUUUCAUGUGUAAAUCUGGCUUACACCCGUUGUAUGCGAAUGUUAGAACCUAUCACACCCGAUCAUCACGUGGUGCUUCGGAACAACGGACCUUAGCAACGGUGCACAGUUAGGGGGAACACAAUUCUUGAUAUUUUAAUGAGGGAUCAUCUUAUUUAUGCUACCGUCGUUCUAAGCAAAUAAGAUGUAAAAACAUGACAAACAUCACAUGCAAAUCAUAAAGUGACAUGAUAUGGCCAAUAUCAUCUUGCGCCUUUGAUCUCCAUCUUCGAGGCGCGGCAUGAACACCAUCGUCACCGGCAUGACACCAUGAUCUCCAUCAUCGUGUCUUCAUGAAGUUGCCUCGCCAACUAUUACUUCUACUACUAUGGCUAACGGUUAGCAAUAAAGUAAAGUAAUUACAUGGCGUUUUCAUUGACACGUAGGUCAUAAAUAAAUUAAGGCAACUCCUAUGGCUCCUGCCAGUUGUCAUACUCAUCGACAUGCAAGUCGUGAUUCCUAUUACAAGAACAUGAUCAAUCUCAUACAUCACACAUAUCACUCAUCACAUCCUUUUGGCCAUAUCACAUCACAUAGCAAAACCUGCAAAAGCAAGUUAGACGUCCUCUAAUUGUUGUUGCAUGUUUUACGUGGCUACUAUGGGUUUCUAGCAAGAACGUUUCUUACCUACGCAAAACCACAACGGUGAUAUGCCAAUUGCUAUUUACCCUUCAUAAGGACCCUUUUCAUCGAAUCCGAUCCGACUAAAGUGGGAGAGACAGACACCCGCCAGCCACCUUAUGCAUCAAGUGCAUGUCAAUCGGUGGAACCAGUCUCACGUAAGCGUACGUGUAAGAUCGGUCCAGGCCGCUUCAUCCCACAAUGCCGCCAGAUCAAGAUAAGACUAGUAAGGGUAAGCAAAUUGAACAAAUCAUCGCCCACAACUGCUUUGUGUUCUACUCGUGCAUAGAAUCUACGCAUAGACCUAGCUCAUGAUGCCACUAUUGGGGAUCGUAGCAGAAAUUUAAAAUUUUCUACGCAUCACCAAGAUCAAUCUAUGGAGUAAUCUAGCAACGAGGGGAAGGGGAGUGCAUCUACAUACCCUUGUAGAUCGCUAAGCAGAAGCGUUACUAGAACGCGGAUGAGGUAGUCGUACUCGUAGCGAUUCAGAUCGCGGUUGAUUCUGAUCUAAGCGCCGAACAACGGCGCCUCCGUGUUCAACACACGUGCAGCCCGGUGACGUCUCCCAUGCCUUGAUCCAGCAAGGAGAGAGGGAGAGGUUGGGGAAGACUCCGUCCAUCAGCAGCACGACGGCGUGGUGGUGGUGGAGGAGUGCGGUACUCCAGCAGGUCUUCGCCAAGCACUACGAGAGACGAGGAGGGGGAGAGGUAGGGCUGCGCCUUGGGAGAGAGAGACUCGUGUGUUCUGCAGGCCCAAAACCUCCACUAUAUAUAGGGCAAGGGCAAGGGGAGGCGCCCUAGGGUUUCCCCUAGGGGGGGCGGCCAGGGCAGAUGGGAUCUCCCCCUUGGGUGACUUGGCCCCCAAGCAAGGAGGUGGGAACCCUAGAUGGGGCGCCCCAAACCCCCUGGUCACGUGGGAAUAGGUGAGGGGGGCGCACAACCCCUUAGUGGGCUGGUUUGCCCCCUUCCCUUGGCCCAUGAAGCCCCCCAACACUUGUCGGGGCUCCCGAAACACCUUUCGAUCAUGCUGGUCAUCACCCGGUACCUCCGGAACACUUCCGGACUCCAAAACCCUUCGUCCAAUAUAUCAAUCUUCACCUACGGACCAUUCCGGAACUCCUUGUGACAUCCGGGAUCUCAUCCGGGACUCCGAACAACAUUCGGUAACCGCGUACAUACUUUCCCUAUAACCCUAGCGUCAUCGAACCUUAAGUGUGUAGACCCUACGGGCUCGGGAAUAAUGCAGACAUGACCGAGACAUCUCUCUGGUCAAUAACCAACAUCGGGAUCUAGAUACCCAUGUUGGCUCCCACAUGUUCCAUGAUGAUCUCAUCGGAUGAACCACGAUGUCAAGGAUUCAGUCAAUCCCGUAUACAAUUCCCUUUGUCUACCGGUAUAGUACUUGCCCGAGAUUCGAUCGUCGGUAUCCCGAUACCUUGUUCAAUCUUGUUACCGGCAAGUCCCUUUACUCGUUCUGUAACACAUCAUCCCGUGAUCAACUCCUUGGUCACAUUGUGUACAUUAUGAUGAUGUCCUACCGGGUGGACCCAGAGAUAUCUCUCCGUUUACACGGAGUGACAAAUCCCAGUCUCGAUUCAUGCCAACCCAACAGACACUUUCAGAGAUACCCGUAGUGCACCUUUAUAGCCACCUAGUUACGUUGUGGCGUUUGGUACACCCAAAGCAUUCCUACGGUAUUCGGGAGUUGCACAAUCUCAUGGUCUAAGGAAAUGAUACUUGACAUUAGAAAAGCUUUAGCAGACGAACUAUACGAUCUUGUGCUAGGCUUAGGAUUGGGUCUUGUCCAUCAUAUCAUUCUCCUAAUGAUGUGAUCCCAUUAUCAAUGACAUCCAAUGUCCGUGGUUAGGAAACCAUGACCAUCUAUUGAUUAACGAGCUAGUCAACUAGAGGCUUACUAGGGACAUGUUGUGGUCUAUGUAUUCACACAUGUAUUACGGUUUCCGGUUAAUACAAUUAUAGCAUGAACAAUAGACAAUUAUCAUGAACAAGGAAAUACAAUAAUAACCAUUUUAUUAUUGCCUCUAGGGCAUAUUUCCAACAUUAUCGCCAUGGAAGUGGACACUUCCGUGAUGAUAAUUUUGGUAUUGUCAUGGAACACUUCUACGAUAGCACAGGUAUGACUAUCUUGAUUAUGUCAUAAAAUUGUCAUGGUUGUACAUGUAUGACAGAAAAUGUGACCUACUGUGACAAACACGUGUCAUCACGAAAGUUUAUUUUCCGUAGUGCAUAUAUGUGUUGUGAACAUCCAUGAUUUUUUUUUCAGAAUUUUUGACAUAUUUAAAUUUUAAUUUUAUAAUUUGGUAUCAUGGCAGAAUGUAAGAGCAUCUAUAGUCGGGCACCUCACCCCCCCCCCCUCUCCCACCACCAUAAGCCCAUCCAGACGCCCCGGUCAGUGACCUGUCAGAAAAAGCUGACCCUAACAGGCGCCUCAAACACCUGAGCUGACCGACACCCCUCAUAUCUAGCCCAAAUGUAGGGCAGAUAUGAGGAUGCCUGAGUUCUCUCGGGCAUGUUCGCCACAUCGGACGUGCCAAGCCUAGCCCACCAUAAAUUGCACAAAAUCCACCCCCUCGACCUACCAGAUCCAUUUGCUCUCUCCUCUUCUUUCUCCUCCAUGACGGACAUAUCGCAGCCCCACCGAAACCCUUGUGUCGCAGCUAUUCCGAGCCUCUGCACCACUAGAAACGGCACAAUAGUCCUCUCUAUCCUGCUCACCACCACGGACAUCAUCGCCGGCUCGAACAUCACCAUGGCAUGCCCGACAACUAUCGGGCUGCCCCUUGCGCUUUAUGUGUUCAACAUAUUGUUUGACCUAGUUUUUUGUGAUUUAUUCAUAGGGAAAGCAAUGAAUAUCGAUGCUUCGUCAGACGAGAAAUAUGGACUGACUGAUCUUGAUAAAAUUAUUGAACAUGAGUUCUUCGAUUUGUUGCAUUCGGACGAAGAAGUGGACAUGAUCAUGCUCAUGAGUAUGCAAUAGGAAAUGGUCCGGCAGGUGGAGCGUAUUCUCGACUUUAAGGGCUCAAUCGAAGGAAGAAGAGUGAUCAAUCGAGAUAGGGUCUCCGGAACACAGCUACUACACAAGGACUACUUUGCUCCAGACCCAACUUUUCCGGAUGAUCCAUGGUUUCAUCGUCGUUUUUGUAUGUGCAAACCGUUGUUUUUGUGCAUUGUGGAGGGAGUGGAGGCACACGAUGACUACUUCAAGCUCACAAGGGAUUGUUGUGGCCAACUUUCUUUCUCUCCUAAGCAAAAAUGCAUGACUACUCUAAGGAUGCUUACACUUGGUACUGUCGCAGAUGGCGUUAGUGAGAUGGUCCGGAUGGGGGAGAGAACAUGCCUGAAGACUACUGUCAGGUUUACCCGCACCAUGAUGUAGGUGUUUGGAGCAGAGUAUCUGAGAGAACCAGAUGUGCAGGACAUAAAAAAGUUGCUCACUAUUAGAGAUGCCAGAGGGUUUUAGGAAUGCUCGGAUCAAUGGAUUGCAUGCAUUGGUAAUGGAAGAACUGCCACAAUGGUUUACGGGAAAUGUAUCAAGAUCACACCAAAGAUGCCACAAUCAUACUGGAAGCAGUGGCAUCACAUGACUUAUGGAUUUGACAUGCUUUGUUUGGAAUGUUGGGUUCUCACAACGGCAUCAACAUGGUUAAACGAUCUCCCGUGUUCGGGAGGCUUUGUAAUGGGAAAUCGUCGUCAUGCAACUACACUGUCAACGACCGUGACUACAACAUGGGAUACUAUCUGGACGAUGGCAUCUAUCCUCAGUGGGCGGCAUUUGUAAAGACCAUAUCCAUACCACACGGCAAAAAACCUAGUCAGUUUGCAACAAUGCAGGAAACAGCGGAAGGGUGUGGAGAGGGCAUUCAUAGUGCUUCAGCCUUGUUGGGGAAUUGUUCGUGGAGCUGCAAUGACGUGGGAAUCAUAAAUUUUCUGGCAGCUGAUGACAUGUUGUGUUAUCUUGUACAAUAUGAUUAUCGAGGAUGAGGGUGAUGGUGUUGCCCAAACCAAUGAUUUUCAAGCACCCGAAGAACAAGUUCAAAUCCCAAAAAAUCAAGAUGCAAAUCAGCUUAUGAAACUUCUGCAGAAGCAUCAGAAUCUUCGAAAUCAUCAUGCAUGUGCACGUGCAACUACUCAGUGAUCUUGUGGAGCAUAUGUGGGACCAUAAUGAAAACUAAAGAGCUAAUGUUUGAGUUGUGUACUUAAAAUAAAUUUUAUGUCCUAAAUAUGUACUUCCGCUAUCAACAUUUGUUAUUUACAUGCGACAUUGGCAUAUAUGAUGGACGUGCAUGGAUUUUCCAUGUAUUUGAGAGUUUGUAUUUGAGGUAUGUGGAUGCCUGGCACAAGAUUUAAGGGGUAGCCUAGAUACAUCCGUGAACGUGUCCGGACGCGGUUGUGGACGUGUAGGAGACCAGAUUCGUCAAGUCCAGCUGUAGAUGCUCUAAGCUCGUAUAAGAUCAACUCUAGCAGACCCCUUAAAUCACACCAACCAUCAAAAUAACCGCCAGUUUAGAGUUUAGGGUGGAAAAAGUGACCCAACAGAAACCUUAAAAGUGUCUGAUCCGUAAAAAAAUUGAGGGGCGCGGUAAAAUCCCCCUCUGACCCACGAAAACACAGCUCCCCCUGACCUGUCGCUGCCCUGCAUCCCGCGGAAGCGGUUGGCGGGAGGGACAUUUCAGCUCGCGCGCUCCCCACAUCCCCUCCCGCAUAUGGCGGCCACCGGCUGCCGCCUGGGAUUCCAGCCAUUCCAGACGAUGCAAUUGCACCGCUCGUCCCGGAUCCGACGAGCUAAGGCAAUGCGACGUCGCCGCCGCCCAGAUCGACCGCCUCCAGCCGCCGGCCGUCCCGGAUUUGCCGAACCGCUACCGGUCGCCGCCGCCCCGGUGAGCCCCUUUUCCUUCCCCUUGAGCCCCACCCGCCGUAGAAAUUUUGUUGAUGCGAGCUUCAAUGCAUUUUUUAGAUGGAUUUGAGCCUGUGCGAGCAAUUUUUGCUUGAGGAUUCGUCCUCGUCGGAUGACUCAGACGUGGAAUCGAUGCUCAAGCGCCAUCGUCAGCAGAUGGUCAUGGCGGUCCUAGCCGUGAAGGAGGAGGAGGAUUGAAACCAUAAAAGACGGUGAGCUUCGACCGUCAGCCAUCUUUGCAUCCCUCGCAACCGCCAUCUCGGAAGUGUGAUGUUGAUGCAAGACUACUUCGCGGACAAUCCAACCUAUCCACCGCACCUCUUCCGGAGAACGUAUUGAAUGCGCCGAUCACUCUUCAUAAAAAUUGUGCAAGCUUGCGAGGCUAAUUGCCGGUUUUUUACUCAAAGGAGAAACGUCGCGGUCUUGUUGGGUUUUAGAGCCUAUCAAAAAAAUCGUCGCGGCUAUGCGUGUGAUUGCAUAUGGUAUUCUGGCUGAUUAUGCUGAUGAGUAUCUUCGCCAAUUCCAAGAUACUACAGUUGAGUUAGUGCGUAGGUUUGCCAAAGUGAUGAUCCGUGUCUUCGGUCAUGUCUAUCUUCGUGCACCCAACAAGGAAGACACGGUAAAGUUGAUGGCAGCAAAUGAGAAGCGAGGUUGGCCCGACAUGCUUGGAAGCAUUGAUUGUAUGCAUUGGAGUUGGAAAAAUUGCCCGAAGACAUGGCAUGGGCAAUUUUGUGGCAAGUCUCGCAAGGCAACAAUUGUGCUAGAGGCUGUAGCAUCCGAGGAGUUAAGGAUUUGGCACUGUUUUUUGGUAUGCCAGGUACUCCCAAUGAUAUCAAUGUGUUGCAAUGGUCUCAUUUGUUUGCUAGACUUGCUAGUGGUGAUGCUCCUGCUUGCAACUUCACGGUGAAUGGGCAUAAGUACACAAAGGGGUACUAUCUUGCAGAUGGUAUUUACCCCUCUUGGUGUACAUUAGUGAAGAGCAUCAAAAAGCCCAAAACCAAAAGGCAUAUUGAAUUUGCAAAGGUGCAAGAGGUUGCCUGAAAAGAUAUAGAAAGAGCCUUCGGGGUUUUGCAAACUAGAUUUGCCAUUGCUCGUGGUCCUACUCGUUUUUGGGACAAGAAAAACCCUGAGCAACAUCAUGACAUGUUGUGUCAACAUGAUUCUCGAAGAUGAGAGGAACUUGAACUUGGAGUUCUUCUAUGACAAUGUCGAUAGCCGUGUGAAGCCAGCUAAAGACCCUGGCCGUAUACAAGCAUUUCUUUAGACAUACUGGCAGAUUGAAGAUGCAGACACACACCAUCAGCUUCAAGAGGAUCUCAUUGAGCGCCAUUGGCAGAGGCAUGGCCAAAGGUUUUGUGCACCAUUUGGCAAAGGCACGGGCCAAUUUUACACUCAUUUCAUUUAAUUCAUGUGUGAUUGAUAUCAUUGUUGUAUUCGGAACAAUUGUUGUAACGAAUUAUUAGUUUUAUUUGGUGACUUCAAUAAUCAUUGUAAUUUAGAUUCAUAAUAUUCACAUUUUAUGUUAUUUGAGAUAUGUGUUAAAUUCUGAAAUAUGUGCUAAAUUCUAAAAACCACGCGUUUUGCUGGCGUGCGCGGCCUGCGGCCGAACAGAACCUAGAUAGCGGAAUGGGUUCUGUUCAGCCGCAGCCCGCAUGAACCCGCAAAACGUGUUUUCUACGAACUGUAAACGCGUGAUACGGGUCGGCGAUUUAAGGGGUCUGCUAGAGUUGCUCUAACAUGAUGAAAAGCAUUGACCCAACGAAACGAGCAUUCCCUCAAAAGAAAAAGAGAAACGAGCAUCGCUUCGAUUUCCUACUACGUUCGGCCAUAUAGUCGGAUCUGACGACGUUCAGCAUGGGGCCCAAAUGCGAAGCCGUUGCCUCAUCUUGAUAUCCCUUUGGUAUCCUCCACCGCUCAUGUUCAGUGUACUUCUACGUAAUAAGGAGAGUGCAGGGUUCGAUUCCAUUCACAUCAAACUCGUAUACGUAUCUGUUAUAUCAACAGAAAUAAAAUAUUAUCCUUCUCAAUUCUCAUAGAGAAUACGCAGCUAGCGCCUAGCUACAGGCUUACAUGUGUGGAAAUGGAGCAGUGACACGUGUAAACUACUAGGACAGCAAAUGCCACGGCUAGCUCGGUGCAACUGCCGAGUGCCGUGCUAAAUCUUUAGGUUGUACAAUCUACGCAAUAUUUUUUGGCGAAAAGUACAAUCUACGCAAUUUGAUGCCCUGAAGCAUGGCAAAAAGGCAAAGGUGAUCUGUACGCAUGGGCGUCAACCUUAACCUUAGCCCCUCGGAUGCUACAGCCUACAUGUCAUAUGGCACGCUAGUUGGCACGAUUAGGAGGAGCAUGAUUGUACAAACUUAUUCGCGUCAAAUUGCUCAAAUUGACGCAUGGCAACUCAAACAUGGGGUCAGAGUAUUAUAAAAGUAGUACAGAUAACCCGCGCACUGUAAAAAUUGAUUGCACUAUAUUUCGAUGAAAUUUUAUUGUUCUUUCUCCGUUUCAAAUUUGAAGUUUAAAGUUUGUACUAAAUCAAACAUCUCUAAGUUUAACUAACUUUCCCUGCAAACAAAAAACUAACUUUCUAGAAAAAUGUACAACAUCAAAUAUAUAUAGUAUGAAUAUAUAUGUCGUGAUGAAUUCAACGAAGCCAAUUUGAUGUUGUGGCUAUUGGUAUAUUGUUUAUAAAUUAGGUCAAACUUAAAAAAGUUUGAUUUAGGACAAACCUAAGAGUUCAAUUAUUUUGAAAGGGGGUGUGGAUAUUUGGAUUAAUAAUAUGUAAACUAAAACCCAAAAUACAUAUUAUAUAUUUUAUUUGAUUAUUGUAUAGUUAGAAUUGUUUUUACUAAAGAUAAGUAGCUUAAUAUAAUGGAAAGCCUUUUCUCGUGCAUGUUGUGGCGGGCCUUGAUGAGGUGACAUGUGUGAUGAGAUGAUAUGUGUGCAUAUUGAGGUAAAUAUAAGUGGUGAGCUUAAGUAAUAAUAUUUUUUUUUCUCAUGCAUGUUGAGGUGAGUCUUUGAUGUGAUGGCAUGUGUGGUGAUGUGACUUGUUUGUGAGACUAUAUAUUAUAUGAUGUAAUUAUUCUAGUGGUCCCUAGUUGAUAAGGUCAUAUGCAGACACACAUCAUUUAACUAGUAUACGAUUUCAUUCAUGACUAUGUUUCAUAAGUCAUCAACAUAAAUAUGUUGAGCCGAUUGUAUGGCCUGGGAUAAGGAAAGUCAAGUCCAACAAAUUCACUUUGAGACAUAACGAGAUAUUGUCAUCUAUAGUCUCAAGUAAAAUAUAUAUUGCAUGUUGUAGACUUGAGGUCUUCUUACGUACUUAAAAUGUGAAUCGCCUUACUUACGAUCUAUCAAGGCUAUUCCAUAACCGGAUAGUUAUAAAGGUAGUUUCCAGGUUAGUCAUAAAAUAUGUCGAAAGACAUGGUCAGACAAGAUGAGAUUUGCUCGCCCAAUACGGAGAGAUAUUAUCUGGGCCCUCUCGACUGAUUAAAUUCGGAAGCAUGGUCAUGCGACUUCGGUUAAGUGUUCACCCGUUUUUGGAAGUCUGUAUCACGGUUUUAAAAAGAGUGGUCGAGCUACCAACAAAGGUGACAAGCAGUGGCAGUGGCGGAGCUUGAGACGGAAUCAUGGGGGGGGGCAUGGAUUGGAGGGGCAAACGUAAUUGUUUUGAGGUGAUUUUUAGGGGACAAUCAGGCCCAAUACUAAGCUAUAUACAGAAAUUUUCUUAUGAGCUGGGGGGGCCAUGGCCCAGGUUGGCCCCCACCAAGCUCCGCCACUGGUGACAAGUACUCGUCUUGAGUUCGACAGUAUAUGUCAUGAGGCAAACAAAGUGGUGCAUAUGACACAUGGUUUUCGUCAAUAUGACUUUGUGCACACAGGACACAUAUGAGCCGCGGACACCUAUCGACUAGAGUCGUGAAUUUUUAUUUUGUGCUAGUGUAGCGUACAACAUGCUCCAGCAUGAUAUGGCAUAUAUACAUGUUGCAAUAAAUAGAGUCAGUGGAGAACAAUUGGUUAGGUACAUAGGAUGAACGCGAAAGUAUUACUCUAAUCCCAAGGUCAAAUGCACCCUUAUGAACAAUAAAUUCCGAAACAGUAGUAAACAAAAUCAUAAAAAUCUGAUUAUUUUGAGGGAUGAACAUCAACAAGUUUUGUAACAUCAUGCAAAAUUUCACCACAAAAAUACAUCCAUAGAGGUGUGCGCCAAAAAAACAAAAAGAGUGUUCCAAAAUGUGUCGUUUUGGGUCCCAAAUGUUGUAUUUUUUGUACAGGCCUCCACGAUGUCUUGUCAAGAUGAAAUUUUGCAGGACGAUAGAAUAUUUUGUUGAUGUUCAUCCACAAAGAAGUUAAGAAUUUUUUUUCAACUUUUUUACUAUCUUUUUAGAUUUUGCUGUUCAUGCGGGUCUAUUUGACCUCGGGUGCAGAUAAUCCAUGUACGGAUGAACGUAACUCUAUCAUUCUAUUCCAAAGAAAUAAUCAGAGCACAGGGAGCCAUCUCAUUAUCUUUCUGUCAAGAAAAACUCCGCUUACCUUCUAGAACAUCUUUUUCUAAGUUAUGAUUUUUUAUUGUUGUCAAUUUUCAUUCGUUUAGUACAAGAUCUGGUUUUAGAACAAGUGAUUGCCCUUCUCUGACCCUUAAUACCCAAUUGGAGAGCAGAUCGCUAAUGGGUUCCACUUAUUAAAUAGAGUCUAUGACAGGUCUGUGACCCUUGGACACAGAAGGCGUCCUUGGGCUCCAAUUUCUGCGCAGGUGUUUUUACAUUAAAAUCCCAAAAUGAUUUUAUGUUAUCAAAGUAGGUGGAUUGUUGUGGUGCUCACUAACCUGCUAUUGGUCCCUUACUUAUACUUAAGAAAAGAGAAUAGAAGUGGUUCCUGUUCUUUCUAUACAAAAUUUGACAAUUUUAUUUAUGUUCAUGUUAUGUUGGCACAAGAGAACUACUAACUUAUGUCAUCUCUAAAGGAACGUAUGCUAGCACAAUUCCUUCCUCGUCUACCAAAACAUUUGGAAAUGUUUCAAAAAAAGUAGGCAUGAACUGAGAAGGAACACNNNNNNNNNNNNNNNNNNNNNNNNNNNNNNNNNNNNNNNNNNNNNNNNNNNNNNNNNNNNNNNNNNNNNNNNNNNNNNNNNNNNNNNNNNNNNNNNNNNNNNNNNNNNNNNNNNNNNNNNNNNNNNNNNNNNNNNNNNNNNNNNNNNNNNNNNNNNNNNNNNNNNNNNNNNNNNNNNNNNNNNNNNNNNNNNNNNNNNNNNNNNNNNNNNNNNNNNNNNNNNNNNNNNNNNNNNNNNNNNNNNNNNNNNNNNNNNNNNNNNNNNNNNNNNNNNNNNNNNNNNNNNNNNNNNNNNNNNNNNNNNNNNNNNNNNNNNNNNNNNNNNNNNNNNNNNNNNNNNNNNNNNNNNNNNNNNNNNNNNNNNNNNNNNNAACUCUCCCACUAGUUUUGUUCGUGGAGCAUUGUGGGGCGCCAAUGUGAGGUUUCGGGUGAUCCAUGCGUGCAAUUUGCUACAGUGUUGUGUUUCAUUAGAGUUCUAGUUCACUGUGCUAUUCUUGCAUGAUUGAAAUAUGUCACGUUAAAUUUGCUCCCAUAUGCUAUAUGUUCAUUUUUAUUCUUUCCUUUAAGUUUAUUUUCCAGCAUUUUUUGUAAGGUGGCAUUAUAUAUAUAUAUAUAUAUAUAUAUAUAUAUAUAUAUAUAUAUAUAUAUAUAUAUAUAUAGUAAAAGGUUUUCUAACUGUUAGAUUCAUACUUGAUUGUCCAUUUAUGAAAAUGUUAAAAGGUCAUGUAUGCAUAGACCCGUAUAAAAACAUUCUUUCAAAACUUUAAAAAAUACAUCCAUGUCCUUGGGGUGUUGAAGUCUUUCUCCUCCGUCAUCUAUGAUGGCGCAUCAUGAGCAAAGCACGUUGCUGGCUUUAGGCCUGCGGUUCAGUAAAGCAAACUUGUUUGAACUCGGGAGUUUGUAGAACCAACGAACGGAAGUUGUAGAUGAAGACAAGAGACGAUGGUUGCCACAAUCUAGAGAAGGAAAUCACUGCUUCAAAGAAGAAAAGGUUGGAGAGGGCUUAUAUAACGUCACAUGUCUGGUCAGACGAAGUUUACGGCCUAGCACAAAACUACCCUACAAAGAGAAAUGACCCGAAACGAUGUACCGGUCUUGAAAACCAGUACCAGACAUGCCAUGAGCAAACAAGACGGCGCCUUCAUGAAGGGAUACCAUGUCGUGAUGUCGUCAUAAUUUGAUCUAAGGAAUCAGACCUCAAAAUUAAGGUUUCCCUUGUUGCUCGAAGAGGGGCUCGGAGAGAGGUUGUGGCAGCGCCUCCAAGAAGAUAACAGCACCUCGGGAGUCACCGUUGCCAGCAUCAGCAAGCCGAGCAAGGAUUUCGCCCUGGCCUAUGUCCGAACAAUCCCAAAGCAGCAAGACAAGAUUCGAAGACGUGGAACAUGUCGUAGACUGCCACUGAAGGGGGGCUACGCCCCUCGCCAAAUGAUAAUAACCGGCACUGCCAGACGUGCGUGCAUUGGAUCUAGUGAAGGAAGGGCGAUGCAAGGGGUGGCGUUCAGGAUUGGAGAGGUAGUGACAAGGCGUGGAUAACCAGCAUAUGAGAAGCGACAACAGCCGACACGUCGGCAAGCAAAGAUCUAGAGAGACACGGAUCAGGUCUAAUGAGGCCGGAGCCGCCAAGCACGCCGGCGAGCCAAGGAAGCCGGAAAGGGCGCAGCUUCUAGAGCACCAGGGCCAUAAUCUCUAUGGUAAAGAGCUGACCACCGGAGAACGCAGGUCCAGGCCCACUGGGACCGGAGCAGCUAUGGCGAGAUCCACCGUAUGCAGGCUGCCACACUGCCGAAGACCACACCACUAAGCAAAACAGAUGUAGGCCUGCAUGGGCCCAUAUCAGGCCCGCCUGCAGCACCAGCCCAUGGAGCAGUCGUCGGUGCACCACGACAACGGUCAGGGCACACGGUCGUGCCCAGCUCGCCACAAGACAUGCAGACGCUCGUUGGAGCCCUCCGCGGCGAUCCCUAAUGACAGUCCCGCUAUGCGUCUUGCGCGGGCAGCCAAAGGGAGGCGCCACCGCCUGACGAAGGAGCACCUGCCAUCGGGAGAGAAGGCCGACGGAGAGAGGCACGCUUACGCCGUCAUGAGGUCAAGACCCAUGCAGCGAAGCCACAGGAGCAGGAACGCCCCACCGGCACCUUCCCUGGGCACACAUGGACUUUGUCGGCGCCCCCUGCGGCGGCGGCGACACGAGAAGGGGCUAGAUCUAGAGACAACGGCGGCGCGUUAGGGUUUCCCCGUGUUGCCUAGGAGAGGCGACGCGAGGGUCGGGGACGGCACGUCUGCUUUGAAAACUUGCCUCUAUCAAUAAUUUUCCAUGGUGUUAUCUACUGAAUAAAGAGGUAUUUUUUUAGGUCAAAAAAGGUAACCACAAUUUCUUAUAUGUUUCCCCUCACUGAAAAUUACGUACAAGUUUCUCACACGUUUCUCUUCCUAAUCUUCUCUGCAGCAUGCAAGCAUCUAGUACAAAAUGAACAAAAAUAUUGAUAUUUUGUCAUAUUACUUUUGUAGGAUAAUCUUUGUUAUUCCAUAAGAACCAGGAAAGGUCGAUGUGUAUGGUGGCAAUAUUACCAGAAAUUUUCUUUUGGGCUUGGUUGUUCUGCAGCCCAGCAUGCCUGUUGUAUCGUGCGGUUGUUUUAUAAUAUAAAGCGGGAAAACCCCUUUAUUGUCUCAGUAUUACCAAGAACCACGCAACAAGCCCACCACAGCACAAGUGCUUAUGUUUAGUUCUCCAAAAAUGGUACUAUGCAUAAACUGUGCAUGAUGUAUGAGUCACAACUCAUAGCUUGUAAUGUUAUCCAUGAGUGAUCCAAACAUGGAGCUGGGCAGUUUUUCGUUUGUGAAUUUUCGUUCACUAGAUUUUAACACUGUAACAAGUAAGCAAAUAAUUGUAACAAGGAAGCUCAUGAACCUGCUCUUUUAGCUAGAUUUUCUACUACCAAUUUUGGUUUGGGGAACCUAUGAGCAAAAUUGAAUCUAUCUUAUUAGACGAUGUAACCGUUUUUUCUGAAUUAAUAAAGUGAUUUUUCUUUCAAAAAAACAUGGAGCUGGGCAUGCUAAUGGCAACAGUAACACAAUGCCCACAGCUGAUAAAAUCAUAAAUCCAAGGUUUGACACAGCUAGGGUGCAGGCAAACAAAGAAUUAGGCACACCAAGUUUUGAGAUGAACAAGAUUAGUUUGAAAGCGACAGGUUUUAGGCAAGCUGGCUUCCAAGCAGGAGGUCAGCCUGGACACAAUGAACCAUACAGACAGAGUACAUCGACGCAGGUGGUAAACUGCUGAAACCAAACACUUCCAGUUUUCACCACAUGGAUAACAGAGAUACAGGCCAAUUCAUCGUUCGUUCAUUAAGCAGCAUCAUUAACAUCACUUUCCGCCAAACAAGUAGCCCAGGGAGGAGCCACCGCCAGGAGCAGCAUGAACCUUGGUUGAAGGACGGUCCUGCAAGGGUUAACAAAGUCAUCAGCCCACAUGGUAAACAAACACAAAAAUGUAAGAGACCAAAAAUGACGACUGGAUAUCUUUUCACUACUCUAAAAUCAAAACAUUAAAGUAGGCCGAAUUAACAAGAUGCUUAACUCAUUUGCUUAGCGUUACAUUUCANNNNNNNNNNNNNNNNNNNNNNNNNNNNNNNNNNNNNNNNNNNNNNNNNNNNNNNNNNNNNNNNNNNNNNNNNNNNNNNNNNNNNNNNNNNNNNNNNNNNNNNNNNNNNNNNNNNNNNNNNNNNNNNNNNNNNNNNNNNNNNNNNNNNNNNNNNNNNNNNNNNNNNNNNNNNNNNNNNNNNNNNNNNNNNNNNNNNNNNNNNNNNNNNNNNNNNCCCGUUACAUUCUUGUUACACUAUUAACGGUAGUACAAACAAAUAUCACAAAACGAAAUAAAUUCUUGGUGGCUUAACAUGAACCCACGUAGGUAGUUGUGAAAACUGUGCACUGGGCAGAACAUUCUUCUAGCAAAUAAAUUAAUGAUGGAGAAGCCAACAGUAAUUAAACUUGUGUCAAUCUUAUGUCAAUGGAAACUUCUGAUAUACCUCAACAGAUGAAAUUUGAAAGGGGAAAUUAGCUGGAUCGAAUUGGGUUCAUUACAAGGCAAAAAAAACAUACCGUAAGGAAGUUGCCCGUGUUCUGGCCAUCUGCACGGUAGUAGUUGUUCGCCCGGCUACCUGGAAUGCCAGCUGGAAUCUGCUUGGCUACAUCAGCAGCUGCCGGUGCUGGUUUCUCAGCAGGUGCGGGCUUCGCAGCUGGUGCUGCAGCGGGCUUUGCAGGCUCACCAUCUCCAAACAGGUAACCCAGAGAACUUUGACCACCACCAGCACUCCCGCCACGACUCAUCUUGACUGUAAGAUAAAUAGGUAAAGUGCAACAUAUGAGUGAACAAGUUCAGCAUGAUUGUUAGAGUGCAAUACAUUUUCAAAACAGCAAAUGAAAUCAUCAGGGAUAAAAGUUCCCAAAAAAAUUCAGAUCUCAGAGAUAAACUACAUAAGCCAAGUGAAUCUUGACAUCAUAUGUUUAGAUGGUGGCAUUUAAAGAAAUAUCAUGGUAAUUUAGGAGCAGAGGACAGAACAAAGCAUGCAUGCUGAACCAAGUCUUCAAACAAGAAUGCUUAGUAAGAUUAAGUGACCAGUGCUGCUUAGACUGAACGAAGUCAAACAGGGACAGAUAUUAUCACAAGCCACAAGGUAAGAUGUCAAUUAAAGCAUACACAGGUUAGGUAAGAUCAACUUCUGUGAAAAAAUAAAGAUAAAACUCUUAACAUGAGAAAAUAUAGUAUGAGUGUGGCCGUGAAAGAAUAUCUAACAGUUGCUUUUAAUAAGAACUUCUAACAAAGGGCAUAGAGUAUGCUUGCAGGACAUGUUGAUAAGGAUAAUGGUGGCUACCAGUCAAUACAGGGCAACCUGGAAAUGAGGCAAUCCAGACCCAAAAUAUAACUCAAUCCAGGGCAACUAAUCAACAUCAAACAGUAGAUAUCCACAGCAUUGUGCUUAGUGAAAACAUUUAUAUCUCUGUUAAGAGUGCAUAAUCAAUAGAGGAGAUGAUAGCAUCUCAAAACCUUAUACAGUUAAACGAAUGACAAAGACAAAAAAUUCAGCAUGUUUGGGUUGAGAAGAUAAAAAUAAGAGGGCAACAGGUUCCUCGCCACUAAGUGCGGUUUGGAAACACGAUGAAGAAGUGAACUACACAUUCAUACAGACCAGCAAGUUAAUAGAAACUCAAGGUCACUCAAGUAAGAUAAGAUAUUUAAAGAUCAAAUCUCACUUCAAUCAAUCCUAGGAUUGAUUUUUCAACUGGACUGCAAUUUGGUGCCUUCCAAGACCAAAUUACACAGUAUAUGUGUGGCCUAGCACUGCAGCCAGCACCCAAGCAUACAACAAGCAAAAUCCAGACAGUAGGUCCAGUUUAAAUUGGCAAAAAAACAUAUCAUACCGAUCCAUUGCAUAUUUGAUGCCAUUUAAGGACACUUUGAGAUUGUUGGAUAUAACUAGGGUGUUUGGCAUACUUCACUUUCAGUUAGGCAAGUUAUCCCUUAAGUUUUACUGCUACAAGUCAUCACCAAAGAGGUUGCCUGAGACUAAGCAUCAACCACGAUAUAUAACAAACAAGCCAGAUAGGUUUCUACAGGCCUACAGCAUACAUGGGUUGGAACAAUCCUAACAUGGCACAACGACAACAAGUCCAUUUGAAAUUCCGUUGUAUAUUUUCCAAAAGUUUCCCCUGAAUUGGCUGAGCAUCUUGUGAACGUCAGCACUUUUUCCAUCAAAACAAGAUCAUUCACCUAUAAACGACAAAACACAGCUGAUAUCACCACAUACCAGCACAUCUCUUCUAUGAUUUGUUACAAAAUCGCCAUCAUCCAACCUUCUCUACACAGAACAGAUGCACAUCACAGGUCUAGUCGGCAGUUCCCCCACACCAGCUAACCUGAAACUUCAGUGACAUUGGUACGAUUACGAACCACAUGCCCUAGAAUCUUCAAAUCUAGGCAAGGUCAACCCUCACGGAGAAACUGCCUUGAGCACGCAGACUUUCCGCGCCCAAUUCCCCAAACUACAAGCCCGAUCCCCACAAAUCUAUCAUGGGCAAAAGUGAAAUGGACGCCAUUACCAACAAAUCAACCACCACAAAAGUAAUUAGGCGCAAUUCCGAGAUACACGCAUCCUACAUCGACGGAUCCUGAACCAUACGGGCACAGAAGCGCACGAUCCAUCUCAUUUCUGAGAGCCUGAGACCAGAUCCAGAACGAAACAUCUACCGGAAAAACAACGGCGAGGGAGAUCCGCCGCGCGGAUCGCCGGACUAGGCGGCUGGAACCAAUAGGGAGAGAUCUGGGGAGGAGGAGAGGGGAGGCGAUGCGAUUAGAUACCUUAGAUCGGGCGCCGACGAGGGGACGGGGGGCGAGGGCGAGACAGGAGGAGGCGCUCGAAGUGGUGGGAGUGGUGGUGGGGAAGCGCUGCGUUGUUGGUUUCCUUUAUAGAGUGGGACGUUUGCAGGGAGGGGGUGGAUCUUUUGCAGUUUGGUACUCGUGCACGGUCGCAAUUCGGAGAAAAGAUGGCCCUGGCUGUGGGAGCAGUGGGUGAUUUGGUAAGAUGUGAUUUCUUUUAAGUUGUUGCAUGAUUGGAUGGUGUCCAUGGACGACAAUUCAGGGAAUUGUCCAAAUCAAAUAGCUGGACAAAGGUUUACAUCCCUUGUAUGACCGGCUACCACAGCUGGCUAAAUUUUGAUAUUUUGGGAAAUGUGUUAUUUGGCAUUUAAAGUUGGGAAUGUCAUAAAUGUGCUCGUACUCCGUCACUGGAUUAGAUGGCAAAAAGGGAAGCCAGAGAAAAUGACAACUAGUUGAUUCAAGCUUGGCCAUGAAUUUAACCAAGGAAAUGUGGGCAAUGUGCCACAAAUAAUUAUACCAUUGAAUAUGUAUUCGAAAAGGGUUUUCUAUAGUACAAUAUUGAUAUUUUAAGCCGCAUGAAUUAUGUAUUAUUGCGGUCUAAUUGAUGUUCAAAUUUAGAUCUCGAAAAGUAUGCGCCUCCUAAUCUGAAACAAGAGAAGUACUUUCUAAAUAUCCACCAAAUAAACAUACAAAUUAGAUCGUUUUGUGUUUCCAAAUAGGGGGGAAAUCACAAGUCAUGCAUGAAACCUGAAGAGAAGAAGAAAAUAUCGACCAUGUGUUUAUAUUUUUGGUGAAUCUUUCAUCGUAAAAAAAAUGAGUUCCAGCAAUGAGCUAUCGGAAAAGAGUUAGGCAUUUGGAUUCGCAAAGCUAUGUGACUGAAAUUAUGAGACUUUGAGGAUAUCAUGGCUUGAUUAGUAUAACAAGAGACGAAAGCAAAUUCCUCAACAACAACAAAAAGACGAAAGCAAAAGCAAAUAGGGUCUUCCAAUGAUGGUGAAUGGAGUAGGGUAGGAUGAUUUUGAUCAGAAAUGGAAGAAGGGGAAGACAUUGCAUAGUACAAACAUGUUUGAUACAUAUACGCAGUCAUGAUCUAUAUGUACAAACAGGCGCAAGAUAUUGUUUUUUUUUCUUGGUAUUUCUCAAAAAAAUUGAAAAGAUAACUGAAACAUACAUCAGGUCACAAAUAAACUUGAUAUUAUAUCAAAUUAAUUAACCAUUAAGUGACUUGACAUAUAAUCGAUGCCGACAGCAUGCCAAUUGUCCAAUCAUUGACGUUCUCUAAAACUACAUAUUUCUAUAGCCAUCUCUACAGCAUUUAAUGAUUAUGCAAACAUACUAAGUGACAUGGUUCUGAACAGAGAAAGAAUCUAUCUUGAUACCUAGCUUGACCACCCAACCUAUAGGAAAAUCUUGUGACAUAUAGCAUAUGACCUACCAUGUUUACAAGAGACUGCCGACGCUACCAAUUGGCAAUUGUACAAUCCUCCAAAGGAUCGUGUGUCGGGUCAAAAGAAAAAGGAUGAUUCGCAAAAAAAAGGAUGAUGUGUUAAAUAAUUCCCCAUCUCUCGCAGGACAUAUUUGCAAGAGACCAAAUAAAAACAGUUUCCAUAGCCUGUUGACCAAAGUCGCCGAAACGCAGGCCGCAGAGAGAGCACAUGGACGCUGGUGUGGUGUGUGGUGCGGGAGCGGCACAGGCAAAUCGCCUCUUGGGAAUGGCACGAGCCGUUGAUCACAUUAUUCACGGUCGAGAUCGCGCGGCGGAGUGUAACCCGUCGGUGCGAGUCUCCUCCGUGCGGCCCUAUCCGUCCGUGUGCAUGUGACCCGUGGGCCCGGCGACAGCUACAGAAUAACCACGCCAAGAUGGAUGGGUCGUCCCUUUCCUUCCUCUGCCAAUGGCCGUAGCCUAAUCAUACGCCAGCUGACUGCUCCCACCACUCUUAAGUUUAGUCUUAAUCACAUGAAGAAAAGGAAAGCACAGAUAUUAUGAAAAUUGGGUAUUCAAAAAAUACGAGCCUGACAGAAAACUGCGCCUGCCUCUCUUAAUCAUAUGAAAAAGAUGUAAAGCCUAUCGGAAUGAUAGUGAUAUUAAGUUUAUAUAAAGAAUGGUUGGUCCAAAAGAAUUCUUAGUUGCAUGAGAAAACAAGGCAUCUCAGAACCAUAUUAGAUGAAUUACUAAAAGAAUGUGCCUUUGGAAAAGAAAUGGUACAAGGCUAUAUUUCUUGAUCACAUGAAGGUGCAAAAUAUUCCCUGCAGACAAAAAGCAAAAUAUUAUUGUUCUCGAAAAAGCAAAAUAUUCUGCUUCGAUUAGGCAAAAUAUUAUACUAUAUUUCUUAAUCACAUGAAUUACUAAAAUAUUCUGCCUUUGGAAUGGGCCCGCUAACAUUUGCUUUUAUGUUGAUGAAAUGAGGAGUGAGUAUGGCGGGUGCUACUUUGGAAAAAGAAUCUCCACACCAAUGUUAUCGCAAGUGGGAAAUAUAUCUAGUGCCUCGGGAGCACCUUCAUGUGCUUCGUGCGAGCUCGGCCGUUGGAUCUUAGAGUCAAGGGCUCUCGUGAGAUGACGAACAUUUUUGUAAAAAAGCCCUUGAGGAGUUCAAAAAAUGCGCACAAGUGCAGUAGCUACAGCAACUCCUCAGCUGCCUCCUGAGAUCCGAUGGCCCAGAAGGUUGUAUCAUGGGAGUAGAAUGAGUCCAAUUUACGUGGUAAUUUUGGUUGUCAUUUUGUGCCUUUAUAAUAGGCUUUGUGGAAUUUUACCGCGUACGUGCACUCAUUUUUGUUAAUUUUCCCAUGAAACACUUUUGGAGCGGAUAAACACUUAUGGAAGAAAUCCCAGAAAAUUAUGGUGGAAUCAUGCUAUUUAAUGUCAUAAUCUCCUACCACAGAAGAAUGAAAGAGGAGGCACUGGAGGUGGCUCCUGAGCAAAAAGACGGCAAACCAUAUGACCGCAAGCGUUCCUAUGAGCGGUCAUAUGAUGUGCCAGGAGAACCGCCUCGUCGACUAUUUCCACCCUGUGGAAUCGGAUCAGAGAUCAGAGGCACGAAGACACCAGAAACUCGCCCCGAAGGAGGAACCCUAGCCUCUGGAGUGAUCCAGAGAGGGAACUUGCCAAGGAGGAGAUCUUGAUGUUCACCACCAUCCACAAGGCGGGCUUCAACAUCAUCACCACUACCAUCAUCAUCAUCCACAUCCUUCUCAUUGUAACGCAUCAAGAACCCUAGUGGAUCAACUUGAGUAUUACAUGUGUAAUCCAUCGAUGUUCAUCACCACCACUUGUAUGAUGUUUGUUGCCUUGAUGUGUGAUGUGUACUACGCAAUCUUCUUCUUGUAGACUCGUGUUGGGCCUCCAAGCGCAGAGUUUUAUAGGACAGUAGCAAAUUUCCCUCAAGUUGUGGGAGGCGUAGGAGGCUUUGAUUUAGGCUCAACUCGUGUUGGGCCUAAGAUUUAUCAAGCCGUGGGAGGCGUAGGAUGAAGAUGGUUUCUCUCAAACAACCCUGCAACCAAAUAACAAAGAGUCUCUUGUGUCCCCAACACACCCAAUACAAUGGUAAAUUGUAUAGGUGCACUAGUUCGGCGAAGAGAUGGUGAUACAAGCGUAAUAUGGAUAGUAGAUCUAGGUUUUUGUAAUCUGAAAUAUAAAAACAGCAAGGUAGCAAGUAACAAAAGUGAGCGAAAACGGUAUUGCAAUGAUUGGAAACAAGGCCUAGGUUUCAUACUUUCACUAGUACAUGUUCUCUCUGUUGGGGAACGCAGUAAUUUCAAAAAAAUUCCUACGCACACGCAAGAUCAUGGUGAUGCAUAGCAACGAGAGGGGAGAGUGUUGUCUACGUACCCACGCAGACCGAUUGCGGAAGCGUUGACGCAACGUAGAGGAAGUAGUCGUACGUCUUCCCGAUCCGACCGAUCCAAGCACCGUUACUCCGGUACCUCCGAGUUCUUAGCACACGUACAGCUUGAUGACGAUCCCCGGGCUCCGAUCCAGCAAAGCGUCGGGGAGGAGUUCCGUCAGCACGACGGCGUGGUGACGAUCUUGAUGUUCUACCGUCGCAGGGCUUCGCCUAAGCACUGCGACAAUAUAAUCGAGGUGGAAUAUGGUGGCAGGGGGCACCGCACACGGCUAAGGAACGAUCUCAAUGAUCAACUUGUGUGUCUAGAGGUGCCCCCUGCCUCCGUAUAUAAAGGAGCCAAGGGGGAGGGGGCCGCCGGCCAGGAGGAGGGUGCAGGAGGAGUCCUACUCCUACCGGGAGUAGGACUCCCCCCCCCCCCAAUCCUAGUUGGACUAGGAUUCCCCGAGGGGGAAAGAGAGAGAGGGGGCCGGCCACCUCUCCUAGUCCUAAUAGGACUAGGGGAGGGGGAAGGCGCGCGGCCACCUUGGGCUGCCCCUUUCUCCUUUCCACUAAAGCCCAUUAAGGCCCAUAUGGCUCCCGGGGGGUUCCGGUAACCUCCCGGUACUCCGGUAAAAUCCCGAUUUCACCCGGAACACUUCCGAUAUCCAAACAUAGGCUUCCAAUAUAUCAAUCUUUAUGUCUCGACCAUUUCGAGACUCCUCGUCAUGUCCAUGAUCACAUACGGGACUCCGAACUAACUUCGGUACAUCAAAAUGCAUAAACUCAUAAUAACUGUCAUCGUAACGUUAAGCGUGCGGACCCUACGGUUCGAGAAUAAUGUAGACAUGACUGAGACACAUCUCCGGUCAAUAACCAAUAGCGGGACCUGUAUGCCCAUAUUGGCUCCUACAUAUUCAACGAAGAUCUUUAUCGGUCAGACCGCAUAACAACAUACGUUGUUCCCUUUGUCAUCGGGAUGUCACUUGCCCGAGAUUCGAUCGUCGGUAUCCAAUACCUAGUUCAAUCUCGUUACCGGCAAGUCUCUUUACUCGUUCCGUAAUACAUCAUCUCGCAACUAACUCAUUAGUUGCAAUGCUUGCAAGGCUUAUGUGAUGUGCAUUACCGAGAGGGCCCAGAGAUACCUCUCCGACAAUCGGAGUGACAAAUCCUAAUCUCGAAAUACGCCAACCCAACAUCUACCCUUGGAGACACCUGUAGAGCUCCUUUAUGAUCACCCAGUUAUGUUGUGACGUUUGGUAGCACACAAAGUGUUCCUACGGUAAACGGGAGUUGCAUAAUCUCAUAGUCAUAGGAACAUGUAUAAGUCAUGAAGAAAGCAAUAGCAACAUACUAAACGAUCGUGUGCUAAGCUAAUGGAAUGGGUCAUGUCAAUCAGAUCAUUCAACUAAUGAUGUGACCUCGUUAAUCAAACAACAACACCUUGUUCAUGGUUAGGAAACAUAACCAUCUUUGAUUAACGAGCUAGUCAAGUAGAGGCAUACUAGUGACACUAAGUUUGUCUAUGUAUUCACACAUGUAUUAUGUUUCCGGUUAAUACAAUUCUAGCAUGAAUAAUAAACAUUUAUCAUGAUAUAAGGAAAUAAAUAAUAACUUUAUUAUUGCCUCUAGGGCAUAUUUCCUUCACUCUCAAUAAUGAUAACAUAAUUAGAUCAUAUGGCAAUCCCUCAACGUGCGACAAAAGUCACUCCAAAGUUCCUAUCGCAGAGAACAUAAAAUGAAAUUGCUUGUAGGGUACAAAACCAUCUCAAAGUUAUUCUUUCCGAUCAAUCCAUUGGGCUAUUCCUAUAAGUGUCACAAACAGCCCUAGAUUUCGUAGUAAAAUAACACCAUAUGACACAUCAAUCAACCCUAAUGUCACCUAGAUACUCCAAUGUCACCACAAGUAUCCGUGGGUCAAUUAUAAGAUAUGCAUCAAACAACUUCGGAUUCAUAAUAUUCAAUCCAACACAAAGAACCUCAAAGAGUGCCCCAAGAUUCCUACCGGAGAAACAAGGACGAAAACGUGCAUCAACCCCUAUGCAUAGAUUACCCCAAUGUCAUCUCGGGAAUCCGCGAGUUGAGUGACAAAACAUACAUCAAGUGAAUCAAUAGAACACCCCAUUGUCACCACGGGUAUCCCACACAAUACAUACAUCAAGUGUUCUCAAAUCCAUAAUAGUAUUCAAUUCGAUAAUAGUGAAACCUCAAAGGUAAAACUCAAUUCAUCACAAGAAGAUAGAGGGGGAGAAUCACCAUAUGAUCCAACUAUAGUAACAAAGCUCGCGGUACAUCAAGAUCGUGCCAAAUCAAGAACACGAGAGAGAGAGAGAGCAAACACAUAGCUACUGGUACAUACCCUCAGCCCCGAGGGUGAACUACUCCCUCCUCAUCAUGGAGAGCGUCGGGAUGAUGAAGAUGUCCACCGGUGAUGAUUCCCCCCUCUGGCAGGGUGCCGAAAAAGGGUCCCGAUUGGUUUUUGUGGCUAUAGAGGCUUGCGGCAGCGGAACUCCCGAUCUAGGUUUAUUUUUAGGGGUUUCUAUAUUUAUAGGAAUUUUUGGCGUCGAGAACAAGUCAGGGGGAUCCACGAGUCAAUGACAAGGAUGGAGGACGCGCCCGAGGGGUAGGGUGCGCCCUCCAACCUUGUGUUUGGCUUGGGACUCUUCUGGCCCAACUCUUUUGCUUCGGGGGCUUCUUUUGGUCCAUAAAAAUCACCGUAAUUUUUCAGCUUGUUUGGACUCCGUUUGAUAUUCCUUUUCUGCGAAACUCAAAAACAAGGAAAAAAACAGAAACUGACACUGGGCAUUAGGUUAAUAGGUUAGUCCCAAAAAUCAUAUAAAAUAGCAUAUAAAACAUCCAAGAUGGAUAAUAUAAUAGCAUGGAACAAUAUAGAUACGUUGGAGAUGUAUCAAGCAACCCAAGCUUAAUUCCUGCUCGUCCUCGAGUAGGUAAUGAUAAAAACAGAAUUUUUGAUGUGGAAUGCUGUCAAGUACACAAGUUUGAUCAAUGAUAAUUUCAAUCACUUUUUCUAGCAUCAUUAUAUAUCAUAACAAUAGCUCAUAUCAUAAAGCUUUCCAUGGUCAAGUAACAAGCUAUUCACAUGUUAAAGCAUAGAUCAUAAACUUUCUUGAAAACUAACAAACUAUCUUCUCAGUCAUCAAACAAUUGCAAUUCAUCUUAUUUUCGGGAAGGGUCUAUGUAAGAGCUUUGAUUUAGCAAAUCCCACAUACUCAACUAUCAUAUAGUCUUCCAUGAUUGCUACCACUCAAAGCAUAUUUUUAGAACAAAUAGUAUCCAUUGAACACAUAUAGAUAACUGUCAACAAUAAUAAUUCAUGAUCAAAUAUAUUUGAAUGGCCAUAUAUGAUUAGAUAUUUCCCCAUCACAUGAUGCUUGCCAACUAAAGAGUAGGUUGGAAUGAGAAGGAAAACUACUGACUCUUGCAUACAAGUGAAAGAUAGACCCUUCGCAGAGGAAAGUAGGGAUUUGCAGAGGUGUCAGAGCUUGAAGCUUUUAAAGCAGAGAUGAAAAUAAUUUUGAGAGGUAUGCUUUCAUUGUCAAGAUAACAACCAAGAGUUCCCAAUAUCUUCUAUACUAGAUACAUUAUAGGCGGUUCCCAAACAGAAAGGUCAAGAUUUUACUCCCCCUCCACCGACAAUCACAUCCCACGGCUGGUCUGAAACAACGGGUGCCGUCCAACUAUCAACAAUCCUGGGGGGGUUUUGUUUAAUUUAUUUGCGAUUUUAUUUUUGAUCUUUUGAUCAUAGGACUGGGCAUCCCAAUUACCAGCCACUCUCUCGUGAAUGAUGAGCGGAGUCCACUCGUCGUGAGAAUAAACCACCUAGCAUGGAAGAUACCGACAGCCCCUAGUCGCUACAUGAGCGAUUCGGGCAUACAAAACAGAUUAUUAUUUGAAGGUUUAGAGUUUGGCACAUGCAAAUUUACUUGGAACGACAAGUAAAUACCGCAUAUUGGUAGAUAUGGUAGACGCUCAUGGAAGAAACUUGGUUCAAGGAUUUUUGAUGCACAAGCAGUAAUCCUGCUUAGUAUAGAAAUAUUGGCUAGCAAAAGAUUCUAAAUAGCAAGCACCACAUGUUGGAGGAUCCAUAACAAUAUAACUUCUAUACAAAUAUACCAAAGCAUAACUCAUUAUGUUGUCUUCCUUGUCCAACUUCAACUAAUUUGCCCAAGUUUGAAAAUAAUUAAUGGGCCCACAAUCAUAGAAGAUGUCCAAGAUAGUAUAUUUAUAUGUGAAACCGCUCCUCCUUCAAUAUUCUUUAAUGAAUCGUUCAAGUGACCAAUACUAUGUUUGCUAACUUUCAAUAAAUUUACCACAUUUACUUCUUAUAUGUGAAGUCAUUACUCCCCAUGGGAUAAGCAUAUGAAACAUUUAUAAAUUUAGAUUUAUGAUAUUCAAUUCAUUCAGCCAUUUACUCAUAGGAUAUAAGUGAAGCACAAGAGUAAAUGACAAACUACUCCAAAAAGAUAUAAGUGAAGAUCAAUGAGUAGUCAAAUAAUUAUGUUGCUAUGUGAGGACUCUCUCAUAAAAGAAUUUCAGAUCUUAAGUUCUUUAUUCAAACAACAAGAAAAUCCUAAUAAAAGAAAAUCACGCUCCAAGCAAAACACAUAUUAUGUGGUGAAUAAAAAUAUAGCUCCAAGUGAGGUUACCGAUGAACAAAGACGAAAGAGGGGAUGCCAUCCGGGGCAUCCCCAAACUUAGGCUCUUGGUUGUCCUUGAAUAUUACCUUGGAGUGCUUUGGGCAUCCCCAAGCUUAGGCUCUUGCCACUCCUUAUUCCAUAGUCCAUAGAAACUUUACCCAUAACUUGAAAACUUCACAACACAAAACUUAACAGAAAACUCGUAAGCUCCGUUAGUAUAAUAAAGCAAAUCACCACUUAGGUACUGUCAAGACAAGAUUCAUAAUUUUUCUCACAUUAUUAAUAUUGUACCCUAUCAUUUCUACAAUUUAUAUUAAGCAAUAUAAGCCAUAGAAACUAGAAAACAAGCAAACCAUAUAUCAAAACAGAAUCUGUCAAAAACCGGACAGUGUGUAGUAGUAUGUAACUCUCGAAUACUUAUGUAACUCCAAACAUUCUUAGAAAUUAGGACAACCUGAGCAAUUUCUUUAUUAAUCUUCUGCAAAAAGAAUCAGUAUUUUAUCAUGCUUCUGCUAAAAAAGAUAAUUGUUUUCCUGAGCACAAAAGUUUCUGUUUUUCAGCAAGAUCAAAUCAACUAUCACUGUAAGCCAUCCCAAAGGUCUUACUUGACACUUUAUUGAAACAAAAGCUAUAAAACAUGAUUGCUACAGUAGCAUAAUCAUGUGAACACACAAAAACAAUAGGUAUAAAUGUUGGGUUGUCUCCCAACAAGCGCUUUUCUUUAAUGCCUUUCUAGCUAGGCAUGAUGAUUUCAAUGAUGCUCACAUAAAAGAUAAGAAUUGAAACACAAUGGGAGCAUCAUGAAGAGUAUGACUAGCACAUUUAAGUCUAACCCUCUUCCUAUGCAUAGAGAUUUUGUGAGCAAACAAUUUAUGGGAACAAGAAUCAUCUAGCAUAGGAGGGCUAAACAAGCAUGAUUUCAGGAUUUUCAACACAUAGAGAGGAAACUUGAUAGUGUUCUCAAGACAUAUGUAGCGACCCGACCUCAGACGAUCAAGUCUCUGUGCUUUAGUGUCAUCCUUGGAUCGGUAAUGCUGACACACACGGUACUUCGAAGGAUUUAUAACAAAGUAGCAAUCACACACUUAUUACAAUGAAUGUCUCAAAAGAGAACAUAUUACAAUAAAUAUGGCUUAAGGCCAUCUAAAUACGAUAACAGCGGAAGGCUUGGAAGAUAAAGCGAGUCCAUCAACUCCAACGGCAUAGCUGAGUGCAUGACAAAUGACCUACGACAUCUUACUCGUCAUUUGAAAAGUCUGCAACAUGGUACGUGAUACGUCUCUGUCGUAUCUAUAAUUUUUUAUUGUUCCAUGCCAAUAUUCUAUAACUUUCAUAUACUUUUGGCAACUUUUUAUACUAUUUUUGGGGACUAACAUAUUGAUUCAGUGCCCAGUGCCAGUUCCUGUUUGUUGCAUGUUUUAUGUUUCGCAGAAAACCCAUAUCAAACGGAAUCCAAACGGGAUAAAAACGGACAGAGAAUAUUUUUGGAAUAUUUGGAAAAUAUGGGAAGAAAAAUCCACGCGAUACGGUUCCCGAGGGGGGCACGAGGCAGGGGGGCGCGCCCCACCCCCUGGGCACGUCCCUGACCCUCGUGGGCUCCCCGAAAGGCGGUUGCUGCUAUUCUUUUACCGCAAGAAAGCUAUUUUCAGGAAAAAAUCUCGGCGAAGAUUUCAGUCCAAUCGGAGUUACGGAUCUCCAUAUAUAUAUACGAAACGGUGAAAGGGCUGCCAGGAAAACGCAGAAACAGAGAGAGACAGAGAGACAGAUCCAAUCUCGGAGGGGAUCUCGCCCCUCCCAUGCCAUGGAGACCAAGGACCAGAGGGGAAACCCUUCUCCCAUCUAGGGAGGAGGUCAAGGAAGAAGAAGAAAGAGGGGGGCUCUCUCCCCCUCGCUUCCGGUGGCGCCGAAGUGCCACCGGGGACCAUCAUCAUCACCGCAAUCUUCACCAACAACUUCACCGCCAUCAUCACCAACUCUUCCCCCCUCUAUGCAGCAGUGUAACCCCUCUUUUACCCGCUGUAAUCUCUACUUAAACAUGGUGAUCAUCGCUAUAUAUUAUUUCCCAAUGAUGUAUGGCUAUCCUGUGAUGUUUGAGUAGAUCCAUUUUGUCCAAUGGGUUAAUUGAUGAUCGUGAUUGGUUUGAGUUACAUGUUUUAGUAUUGGUGUUGUCCUAUGGUGCUCUCCGUGUCGCGCAAGCGUGAGGGAUUCCCGCUGUAGGGUUUGCAAUAUGUUCAUGAUUUGCUUAUGGUGGGUGACGUGAGUGACAGAAGCACAUACCCGAGUAAGUAGGUUGUUUGCGUAUGGAUAAAGAGGACUUGAUACUUUAAUGCUAUGGUUGGGUUUUACCUUAGUGAUCUUUAGUAGUUGUGGAUGCUUGCUAGAGUUCCAAUCAUAAGUGCAUAUGAACCAAGUAGAGAAAGUAUGUUAGCUUAUGCCUCUCGCUCAAAUAAAAUUGCAAUAAUGAUUACCGGUCUAGUUAUCGAUUGCCUAGGGACAAAUAACUUUCUCGUGACAGAAAGCUCUCUACUAAAACUAACUUAGUUGUGUCUUUAUCUAAACAACCCCUACUUUUUAUUUCCGCGCUCUUUAUUAUCUUGCAAACCUAUCCAACAACACCUACAAAGUACUUCUAGUUUCAUACUUGUUCUAGGUAAAGCGAACGUUAAGCGUGCGUAGAGUUGUAUCGGUGGUCGAUAGAACUUGAGGGAAUAUUUGUUCUACCUUUAGCUCCUCGUUGGGUUCGACACUCUUACUUAUCGAAAGAGGCUACAAUUGAUCCCCUAUACUUGUGGGUUAUCAAGACCUUUUUCUGGCGCCGUUGCCGGGGAUACAUAGCGUGGGGUGAAUAUUCUCGUGUGUGCUUGUUUGCUUUAUCACUAAGUAAUUUUUAUUUGCUGUUCUUAGUUGUUUCCUAUCUUUAGUUAUGGGUAGGAAACGCAAAAUACCAAAAAAUUAGUUGUACCUACUGAACCAAUGGUUGAAGAACCACUCAAAAUCUAUCACACUCCUGAAGCUUUUUACUUGGAUCAUCUUUGAUCCCUAUGUGCUCGUGCUGAAACCCCAACUAGCUUAGUUGAGGGCAAAUCCUUAGAUGAGCAUGCUUGUUAUGUGCGACACCGUAUAUCUAAAAAGGGGAAACGUUUACUGGAUCAAAUUCAUCGUUUGCAAUGCUAUGCUUGGAAUUUAUGUGAAAUAUAUGAUAUUACUUGUUGUUCUGAAGACCCUAAGAAACACCUUCCCUACCAAUGUUUUUUUAGUGAUAAUGGAAUCGUAUCUUCUUAUGCUAAGGGUGUUUAUAAUUACUAUGAUGUUCAACAAAUUGAAGAAUUUGUUGCUUUUAAGGGUGCUUAUGAAAUUGCUUAUUUGAUUGAAAAGUAUGAUGCUACUCUUUACAAAUCUGAAAAUUUUACCAUAAUUGAAUAUUGUUAUGAGAAUUAUGCUUCUAAUGCCUAUGUUAAACCAUAUAUCAAGGUCUCCUCCGCUGUCCAAGAAGAGACUAAUAUUUUGCAAGAGCAUAUGGAAGAAGAAAUAGAUGAAACUGUGAGCUCAUUGGAUGAAAAAGAUGAUGAGGAGAGCGAAGAACAAAAAUAGGAAGAGCGGAUUAGCUACCCGUGCCCACCUUCUAAUGAGAGUAACUCUUCAACUCAUACAUCAUUUAAUUUCCCUUCGUGCUUACCGAAGGAUGAUUGCUAUGAUGAUUGUCAUGAUCCCGUAGAUUCUCUUGAAAUAUCCCUUUUUGAUGAUGCUUGCUAUGCUUGUGGCCAAGAUGCUAAUAUGAAUUAUGCUUAUGGAGAUGAACUUGCUAUAGUUCCUUAUGUUAAACAUGAAAUUGUUGCUAUUGCACCCACGCAUGAUAGUCCUAUUAUCUUUUUGAAUUCUCCCAACUACACUAUAUCGGAGAAGUUUGCACUUAUUAAGGAUUAUAUUGAUGGGUUGCCUUUUACCAUUACACAUGAUGAUUUUGAUAGAUAUAAUAUGCAUGUGCUUGCUGCUCCUACUUGCAAUUAUUAUGAGAGAGGAACUACAUCUCCACCUCUCUAUGUUUCCAAUAUUAUAAAAUUGCAAGAAACUGUUUAUAGUAUGCAUUGGCCUUUACUAUGUGUUGUGGUUUUGUCACGGCAGAUGUCCUCGUGAAAGGACUUAGUCGUGGAGCCAUCGCUACGGGUUAGCUUAAAGGGGUUAAAGCGGACAAGGGACGCAAGAGUUUAUACUGGUUCGGCCCCUUACGGUGAAGGUGAAAGCCUAAUCUAGUUGUGAUGGAAUUGCCAGGGUUUCGAUGACCAGGGAGCGAAUCCGCUUUGCCUGGCUCUCGAGUUGUUCUGUGUUGUCCCUAAACCGCCGUCGGGUCGCCCCUUUAUAUACAUAGGUCGAUGCUUGUCGGUUUACAGAAUCCCGAGGCCGGGUCAUAAAUGUGUCCAGCUCGGUCUCUACUCCUUCUAUCUUACAAUACAAGUUAUAUAUCAAUGUCGGUUUAUGUCUACAGGCCUUAACCCGCCCUUGGGCCUUGGGCCUUCAUGAAGCACCACAAUAUUUGUCUUCAUGGUCUUCAAAUAAAGUAAUCAUCAUGGGGAUAACCUGGCCUCUCCUGGCCGGUUUAUGUCCAGUAGUAAUAUCCCCAACAUUAGGCCCCAGAUUGAUUUGAACUUGUUCAUGUCAAUCUUCAACACUUAGAAAAAUUCCUCCCUUUGCACCUUCACAAAGAUCUUGUAAACAGCGUGACGUCAUCCUCCAGAUUUGCAGUAAACCGCCGUGAUGUCACCUGUUCAUUAAAGCCGAAGAUACCCUUUAUUAAUGAGCAUCCAACAAUCGAGGCGGCAACCUUGUUAUAUAUCCAUUUUUGGGCUCCUCGAUUCCCGCGCCCGCCGCUUAUCUCUCUGCCUUAUAAAUAGGGAUGAGGAUCCCUUUCCUUUUCCUCCUGUUGCCGCUUCAUCUCUUCUUUCACCUCACGACUCCUCUGCACCCGAGCGCCGCCGCCGUCGUCGAGCUUCACCUUUGCCUCACCGUCGGCCGCUGCAUCAACCUGAUCGCACCAGAAAAACGCGGUGCACCUCCGCUGCUUCAACAACUUUGAUCGGUAAGUCUUUCCCUCUUUCCUUUGUAGAUCGACUUAGGGUUCACACGGGUUCAUGGCGUUCUUCUCUUGUUCUUCGUCAGUUCAUACACAGCAGACCUGAACCUUGAUGUGUUCCAUGCGGUAGCUAUAGUAGUCUUUAUCUUGGCUAUCAAACCAAGCCUUAUACGCAUAAAAACUGAUCUGGACUUUUGAGAACUACUCCAGAACCAACUUUUUAGGUCUAUUUUUUUCUUUUCUUGACCUGUGAUAGAUCCAAAAUGCUAAUGUGAACUUGUGAAACCUGUUUUUCCUCACUUAGUCGUUUUUUGCCUCAGAUCUGUACCUUCCUCAUCUACGUAGGCGGUUUAUCUUUUUAGAAAAUAAUCCAUCAUAUGCCAUUAGUCCCCUUGUAAACCGCCCACCGCUUUACUUUUUAUAACAACAUCAGCCUCCGGUUUAACAAUUUUGCAUGCUUGAAUUCCUUUUUCUUAACCUGUUGCGCUUUAUGCUUUGUCAAACAUGAAUCGUAAACCGGCAUUAAUCUUUCCAGCUCUUCACUUGCAAUGGCCAAACAAUUUUAUGCCUGUAACUAGGUCCGUUCCCGGGUUACUGAAGAGCAACUGGAUGGAUGCGUCAGAACUGGCGCUUUACCGAAGCGAAGUGAAAUCUAGUGGCGAGUUCCCGGUCCAGAAAACCCUCCUACCCCCAGAGAUGGCGAAGUAGUAGUGUUUGUUGAUCAUAUGAGUCGUGGGUUUAAACCGCCCGGGUCCAAGUUUUUCUGUGACAUGCUUGCCAACUUCCAGAUCCAUCCUCAAGACAUUGGACCAAACUAUGUGUCCAAUGUUUGCGACUUUCAAGUAUUUUGUGAAGCAUACCUGCAAGAGGAGCCAACUGUUGAGCUAUUCCAGGACUUUUUCUAUUUAAACCGUUGUACUGAGUUUGUAGACGGGCCCAAUAUCGAACUGGGCGGCAUUUCGAUUCAGAAGAGAAAAGAUGUCAAUUUUCCUCAUGCCAAACUACAUAGCCAUCCUAAGGACUGGAACCAAACUUGGUUUUACUGUAAAGAUACUUCUCCUGAUGAUGACAAUCCUCUGCCGGGUUGCCGUCCUCACCGGCUUACCAACACGCAUCCAUUUCCGCAACGGUUGACUACCAAAGAACGGGCUACAUAUGCACCACAACUCUCCAAGCUCAGGGCCUUUAUGGCCAAUGGUUUAACAGGAGUUGAUUUUGUUCACUACUGGAUUUCAUGGAGUAUAUUGCCUUUAAGCGGUCGCCCCGGUUUAAUGUGCGAGUAUACUGGUGACUCAAAAGACCCUCAACGUCAUAUUGAUAUCGAGCUGACAAAAGCUGAAGUUACUGAAUCUGUGAAGAAGAUACUGAAUGAACCGGAGGCUGUCUGUAGCAGGACCGGGUUAAAUCCUUAUUACACUUUGAAUAAACCGCCAGCUGUAAGCAUUGCCUCAUUCCUGCUUGUACUUAAUAUCUUUAACUGUGUACUCUCUCAUUAUUUUUGUCAAUUCUUUUAACAGGGCGAUGACCCAUUUUGGAAGAAGAUGCCUCAAGAAAAACCGGUGAAAACCCCUCGACCUAAGACGAAGGUGGUCAAGAGGCCUGUCAAGAAGAAGGCGGUUGAAUCCGUCGGGCUGAACCUCGACGAAGACCUUGAUAAUCCAGACUCAGAGGUAGAACUUGACUCUCUUGGUUUGUUUUUCAUACACCUCAUUGACAAUGGUUAUUAUCAGGAUGACGCUGAAGGCAGCCAGGCUGACGACACAGAGGUAAUUAUUCUUCCCUCCGGUUCAGACACUUCGUCAACACAGAAAAUCCGUCAAACAAUCCGAAAAACAAAAUUUUCUCACCCCCUUGCUCACUUGGACCCAAAAUUUCUUUUGAGAAGCAGCAGCAUGAAGCUCACCGCACAACCCGGCACAGUGGCCAAGUAGUCACUUUGGCCGGUUUACCGAACACUCCGGUUCGGAAACGUCGACCUGAGGUCUCACCCACUUCUGAUACUUCUUAUCCCAACGCAGGUUAUUUCCGACAACCUCUUAAUCUGUCCGAUUCAAAUUAUCAGGGAACGCCCCAUUCAUCAUCUGGCGAAUCGGCGACCACACAACUCCCUCCCCUUAAGACAGUUGCUGGGUAAGUAUUUUAACUAAAUCUUUUGACGCUUUAUACUUGCAUGCUAUAUUUACCUUUGCAUCUUUUUCCUUUCAAAGCCAAGGCUAGACCCAACAAGAAGGCUCGGGCAAAUAAACUGUCUGACGACCACGUGGUUGCUGAACCGGAGAAAACUUCAGAACCGGAAGGUCCAAAUGCUGACGCCAUGUUUGAUGAACCGCCCCCUCAAGAUCAUGAUUCUAAUGAACAAGCAAAAGUUGAAGUAGCAGACCUUGCUGAUAAACCGACGAGCCCGGUCCGUACUGAUACUGGAACGUCUAGUCCGGCUAAGGCUGCUGAUAUCCCAUCAACUCCAGUGAAGGCUACCGGUGACAAGGAAGAUGAUGUUAUCAUCACUGGCGUUGGCCACACCUUCCCUGGAAACCCUGUUGCAUUAAUUAACAAUCUCACAUUUGUCAUGGAUACACUCAAUCCCAAUCCACGUCUACGAGCAUAGCAUAGCAAUAUAAGCAUAACAUAGAAGUAACUCCCAAGGGUUUGAUAAUAAAAGGGCAAUAGGUUCCUACCUCAUCAACUACUUCCCAAACCCACAUGUUAAGAGAUCCUACUCAUGCAAUGUGUGAGGGUUGUAACUAAUGCAUAAAACUGGGUAAUCAAGGGGUAUGAUCAAAGUGUUACUUGCCUUGCUGACGAUCUACAAAUCCUAGAGACUCAUACUAGCACGCUUCACACUCCGGGAAUUCUAUCGCAAACAAACAAUAGCAUACAUAAGCAAUCAAGCAAGGAUUGCCCCCUCCGGCAGGGUGCCGGAACGGGUCUAGAUUGGCUUUCGGUGGCUAUGGAGGCUUCUGGCAGCGGAACUCCCGAUCUAUUGUGCUCACGGAUGUUUUUAGGGUAUAAGGAGAUAUAUAGGCGGAAGAAGUACGUCAGGGGGGCCACGAGGGGCUCACGAGGGUGGAGGGCGCGCCCCCUGCCUCGUGACCUCCUCGCAGAUCCCCCGACGUGCACUCCAAGUCUUCUGGGCUUCUUUCCUUCCAAAAAUGAGUUCCGUGAAGUUUCAGGUCAAUUGGACUCCGUUUGGUUUUCCUUUUCUUCGAAACCCUAAAACAGGGUAAAAACAGAAACUGGCACUGGGCUCUAGGUUAAUAGGUUAGUCCCAAAAAAUGAUAUAAAAGUGUAUAAUAAAGCCCAUAAACAUUCAAAACAGUAAAUAAUAUAGCAUGGAGCAAUAAAAAAUUAUAGAUACGUUGGAGAUGUAUUAGCAUCCCCAAGCUUAAUUCCUGCUCGUCCUCGAGUAGGUAAAUGAUAAAAACAGAAUUUUUUAUGCGGAAUGCUACUUGGCAUAAUUUCAAUGUAAUUCUUCUUAAUUGUGGCAUGAAUAUUCAGAUCCGAAAGAUUCAAGACAAAAGUUUAAUAUUGACAUAAAAAUGAUAAUACUUCAAGCAUACUAACAAAGCAAUUAUGUCUUCUCAAAAUAACAUGGCUAAAGAAAGUUAUCCCUACAAAAUCAUAUAGUCUGGCUAUGCUCUAUCUUCACCACACAAAAUAUUUAAAUCAUGAACAACCCCGAUGACAAGCCAAGCAAUUGUUUCAUACUUUUGACAUUCUCAAAACUUUUUCAAUCUUCACGCAAUACAUGAGCGUGAGCCAUGGAUAUAGCACUAUAGGUGGAAUAGAGUGGUGGUUGUGGAGAAGACAAAAAGGAGAGGAUAGUCUCACAUCGACUAGGCGUAUCAACAGGCUAUGGAGAUGCCCAUCAAUAGAUAUCAAUGUGAGUGAGUAGGGAUUGCCAUGCAAUGGAUGCACUAGAGCUAUAAAUUUAUGAAAGCUCAAAAGAAACUAAGUGGGUGUGCAUCCAACUUGCUUGCUCACGAAGACCUAGGGCAUUUUGAGGAAGCCCACAUUGGAAUAUACAAGCCAAGUUCUAUAAUGGAAGAUUCCCACUAGUAUAUGAAAGUGACAACAUAGGAGACUCUCUAUCAUGAAGAUCAUGGUGCUACUUUGAAGCACAAGUGUGGUAAAAGGAUACUAGCAUUACCCCUUCUCUCUUUUUCUCUCAUUCAUCUUUUUAUUUUUUAUUUGGGCCUUCUAUUUUUUUGUGGCCUCUUUUCUUUUUUUAUUUGGGAUUCUUUGGCCUCUUUUAUUUAUUUAUUUUCAUCCGGAGUCUCAUCCCGACUUGUGGGGGAAUCAUAGUCUCCAUCAUCCUUUCCUCACUGGGACAAUGCUCUAAUAAUGAUGAUCAUCACACUUUUAUUUACUUACAACUCAAGAAUUACAACUCGAUACUUAGAACAAGAUAUGACUCUAUAUGAAUGCCUCCGGCGGUGUACCGGGAUGUGCAAUGACGCAUGAGUGACAUGUAUGGAAGAAUUAUGAACGGUGGCUUUGCCACAAAUACAAUGUUAACUACAUGAUCAUGCAAGCAAUAUGACAAUGAUGAAGCGUGUCAUAAUAAACGGAACGGUGGAAAGUAGCAUGGUGUAACAUCCCAAAUUUCCAAUUUGGAAUGUUAUACAUUAGAUCAUCAUUGCAUACCAUAUUUUAUUUUUGCUUUUGGUUGAUCCUAGAAAUUCUACGCAACUCAAGGACCCACGGAGAGAGUUGGGGAUUUCGUUAUUUUCAUAUUUGAGUUUUCUCAAAUUUUGAGAAUAGGAUCAUUUGAUUUUAUUUAUUUUAUCAUCAAUUAUUUCUAUUACAAAAAUAUGAGAGAGGGAAUAAAAUUACUUUCCCAAAAUAGAGAAAUAUUGAGGAUCAAAUAAUAAAAUCAAAUAAAAUUUUAUUUCGGAGUUUUUCGGUGUUUUAUUUGAAUUUAGGAAAAAUGUGUGUUUUUCAAAAUUUCAUUUAGGUCCCAAAUAAAUGUCACCUUGUGCGGCUUGAUUUUAGAAGCCCGCGAAAAUUUAUUUCGGAAUUUUUGGAGUCUGUUUAGUAUUUCUUUUUAUUUUUCUUCGGUGCAUAAUAUUAAAAAAAAACGAACCGACCUACGGGCCGUGUCCGACUAGGACUCCGGCCCGCCAGGGCUUUAUAAGCCGGGGCAGCCCACCCGGGGCAAACCCUAGCCCGNNNNNNNNNNNNNNNNNNNNNNNNNNNNNNNNNNNNNNNNNNNNNNNNNNNNNNNNNNNNNNNNNNNNNNNNNNNNNNNNNNNNNNNNNNNNNNNNNNNNNNNNNNNNNNNNNNNNNNNNNNNNNNNNNNNNNNNNNNNNNNNNNNNNNNNNNNNNNNNNNNNNNNNNNNNNNNNNNNNNNNNNNNNNNNNNNNNNNNNNNNNNNNNNNNNNNNNNNNNNNNNNNNNNNNNNNNNNNNNNNNNNNNNNNNNNNNNNNNNNNNNNNNNNNNNNNNNNNNNNNNNNNNNNNNNNNNNNNNNNNNNNNNNNNNNNNNNNNNNNNNNNNNNNNNNNNNNNNNNNNNNNNNNNNNNNNNNNNNNNNNNNNNNNNNNNNNNNNNNNNNNNNNNNNNNNNNNNNNNNNNNNNNNNNNNNNNNNNNNNNNNNNNNNNNNNNNNNNNNNNCGCCGCCGCCGCUGCACGCCAUCGCCGGAGCCGCCGCCGCCGCCUCGCCCGCACGCCGCCCGAGGUUCGCCUCACCUCGUAAUCCGCGUCAUCGUUUUUUUUAAAAAUCAUUCGGUUUUUCCGUCCGUUUUUCCGCCGGUUUUUUUUCUAGUUUCGUUUUUUUAAAUAGAUCGGUUUAUCCGGUUUAUUUAAUUUAGCGAGCGUUCGUCGUUUUUCUUUUUCUCGGAUUAAAUCCGCGAUUUUUCUGAUCGCGGUUCCUGAUCCGAUUUUCAUUUUAGUAUAACUUUUCGCUCGUUUAUCGGAAUCAGGCGAUUCAAGCACCUGGAGUUUCGUCUCGAAACCCUCUAUCCGUUUAACCAACUUAAUCAAGAUUUUGAUACUGUAAAAUUUGCCCUAGAUCCAGAUUAGUAGAACGAAGUUGUUUUCUUUUGUUGUUUGACUUUCGUUGCUUCGCUCGAUUUGAUUCUUUUUGCCAACCGGAGUUCUUAAGUUGAGCCUUCUGGUUAGAUCUCUUAUUUGUGUUUUACCUGUGCAUUAGAUGAGUACUUAUUGUAUGCUUGUUUGUUUGUCUGCGAUAGAAUAUCCGGUGUGCGCCGCCUGUUACUUCGAAUCUCUAGGUUUCGCGAAUCAUCAGCAAGGCAAGUAACACUUUGAUCAUACCUUUCCUACUACCCAGUUUUAUUGCAUUAGAUCAAUCCUCACACAUUGCAUGAUUAGGAUCUAAUUAAAUUGUGGGAUGGGAAGUAGUUGAGGUAGUACCUAUUACCUGUUUAUUAUCAAACCUUUGGGAGUUACUUCUACGUUUGCUUAUUAUGCCAUGGUAUGCUAGUAUACGUGGAUUGGGUGAGUGAUAUCCAUGACAGAUGUGAGUUUGUUAAUUAAUGGAUUAUCUAAGGUGGCAACUUAAACACACAUCUGGGUGGACUGAGGCACCUGGGUAUUCCAGGACUUGCCUGUUUUCUUUUGGACCGCCAUCCAGGCUCAAAGGGAUCAUGAGACUAUUCAUACUAGAAACUUCCGUGUGCAGCCACAAGCUAUUAUGGGCUCUAGCAUAGUUGACUAAGUCGUGCGAACUCUUACACUGGUAGAGUGGCAGAUGUAGGGGAUGUAGGUGGUACGGUCUACCCGAUCGUAAGGUGCUAGCGCUUUUGAAAGACUAUGUCUCGGUCAUCCGUCUUCUCAAACACCCUGUAGUGUGAGAAACCCAACGGAGGCGAUCGAGUCUUGUGGGGAAAAGUGCGCAAACCUCUGCAGAGUGUUAUAAACUAAUCAUGAUUAGCCGUGUCCCCGGUUAUGGACAUCUUGAGUAUCUAGUACCUGGAUUUUCAUGUGAAUCUCAACAUGUUACUCUAAAUUAAUUUUGUUGGGUUUUGUUUAACGAUGAUGCUUAAUUGGGAUUGAGAAUGCUGUCAACCAUUCUCAAUGUUUAACAACUACCAUGAUAGAUAAAUAAAUUUUAUUCCUUUGAAGUAGGGAAAAAUUGGCUUUACGCAAAACUGUAACCAUAGAGCUUUCCACCAGCCAAAUAUGCAUAUAGUAUAGCUGUUUCAUUCCAUUGCUCUCUAUGUGUUACCUUGCCAGCAUAUUCCAUGUGCUGGCCCGUUUUCGGGCUGCAACAUUAAUGUUGCAGACUUUUCAGAUGACGAUUAAGGAGUUUUUAGGUCGUGGUUCUAUACUCAGUGAUGCCGUUGGAGUUGAUGGACUCACUUAUCUUCCAAGCCUUCCGCUGUUAUCGUUUUUAGAUGGCCUUAAGCCAUAUUCAUUGUAAUAAGUUCUCUUUUGAGACUCUCGAUGUAAUAAGUGUGUGAUUACUACUCUUUUAUAAAUCCUCCGAGUACUGUGUGGUGUCAGCAUUACUGAUCCAGGGAUGACACCGGAGCACAGAGAUCAGACUGUUUGAGGUCUGGUCGCUACAGAGAUGGUAUCAGAGCACACGCUGACUGUAGGACACGACCACUAAGCUAAAAGACCUAGAUCACUUUUCACUCUCUUCUCUUCUGACUUCUCAUCUUUUCUACUCUUUAGGAUGGCGGAUGCAAGGAACAAGUUCACGCAACCGGAUGAAGAUACACCCUUUGGACGUCACUUGAAGGAAGUCACUAGAUACCUGAAUAUAGGAGUACCAAGCUUCACCAGAACCUACAACGCCACUUUACCUGAAGAAGAGCGCUAGAUGAUUCAAUUUCAAGUUCCAGGAAGGACGUUCAUGCCAGUCACUGAGCCCAUAGAGUUUUCUUUUGAUGCACCAACUUGGAGUCUAGGAAAGAGCAUGGCAGCUCACAUCGCCAUGGGACGCAUUGGAGAAGUCUACCGCAAGGAUCUCAAGGAUACUAUCUACCAGAUUUGUGGGCGCCGAGAUGAGCACUAGGAGACGAUCAACACCAGGAAGGAUAGAUCAAUCACAACUUUUAUCCAGGAGUUAAACCAGCAAUUCGACGACAGGAGAACCAGAUGUGCGCCGACAUGAUAGAUCUGAAGAAGGCUAAGACUAGAAUCAAGGAACUGGAGGAAGAACUCAAGGCUACACGUGAAGAUUAUGAAGAGGAAAUUGAAAUAUUGGUGGAGAAGAAUGACGACCUGAUCAAGAAGAUUGGAAUAUUUAUAGGAGGCCCUACACCAGUGGAUGAAGACGAAGAACCCAAGGAGAUUAGCCCGGAAGACUACAUCAUCAUCGACGACACCGACUCGGAUCCAGAUAGUAGCGAUGAUGACUAUGUUGAUGAAGCUGGAGCAGAUAUCAUGGAGUCUGCCACCGAAGAAUAUUUCUAGUAGACCCCCUCAUCAGUAGUAGUAGUAGUCCACCAUGUAAAUAUAGUAGUCCGAGCACUUUUGCGAUAGGUAGAUCGAUUGUAUGCCCUUGUUUGAUUGAAUGAAGUGAAUUGUUUGCUUUUGCCUCAUGUGCAUAUGGGUAGUGUUUUCUCUUUAGACCCCCUCUAUUCUUACAUCUCAUCUUUUCUAAAAACCCUCAGAUGCCUCCGAGACGUGACCCCGGAUUUGCCUUUCCACCGGAGCUCACCCAGUUGAUCCAGCAGCAGAACACAUUGAUGCAGUUGCUAGUUCAGAAUCAGAAUCAGGGGAACAACAACCCACCACCACCACCACCACCUGUUGACCACUUAGCCCGUUUUCUUAGGCUGAACCCACCGGUGUUUUCCAGUAGCACCGAGCCGAUAGUAGCAGAUGAUUGGCUCCGCAAGACAGCUAGGGAAUUGACCACAAUAGGAUGCAUAGAUGCGGAGAAGGUGAAGUUUCCCGCACAUUAGCCAGAAGGACCCGCAACAUCAUGGUGGGAAAAUUUCACAGCCACUUUCCCUGUCGACACUGUCACAUGGGACCAAUUUCAGCAGGCUUUUUGUACUGCACAUGUUUCAGCAGGAGCUAUGGCCAUGAAGAAGCGUAAGUUUCGCAACUUGCGCCAAGGAGGACGGACAGUUGGCCAGUAUGUGGAGGACUUUAGUAAGUUAGCAUGUUAUGCACCAGAUGACGUCGCUAUGGAUGUAGCUAAGUAGGAGAAGUUUCUGGAAGGACUGAAUGAUGAGUUGAGCAUGCAGUUGAUGGUAGCAACCUUCAACAACUACCAGGAGUUGGUAGAUCAUGCUCUUAUGAUUGAAGGGAAGCAGUAGCAAAUUGAGAAUCGCAAGAGGAAGUAUGGACAAGGGAAGUACAAUUCAGGAGCUCAGCAGAAGCCAUGUUUUACCCCUAGACCGGGAGGACAUUUUCAGCAUACCCAUGGAGGAGGUAGCUCGCACAAUCACAAUGGCACCAAGAAUGGUAAUGGCAAUGGAGGAAGCAACGGCCAGAACUGCACCAACCCAUCAACCCCAGCCAAGAAGGACCUGAGCCAAGUCACUUGCUUUAAGUGUCAGAAGACCGGACACUACGCCAAUGAAUGUCCUGAAGGCCAAAAUGGCAAUGGAAGUUCUGGGAAGAAGCCGAACCCUUUGAACAGGGGACGGGUGAACCACGUUAGCGUGGAGGAGGUUGAAGCUCAGCCUGAUGCAGUAAUAGGUAAGUUUUUGGUUAAGUCAUUUACUGCACUCGUUCUUUUUGACACUGGUGCAUCGCAUUCAUACAUCUCAAGGGGAUUUGUGGAUAAGUAUAACCUAUCAACCCAAGCCCUUAGGUCACCCAUGUUAGUAACCUCGCCUGGAGCAGAAUAUAUGGCUAGUCUAUGGUGUGAUCGGUUACCAUUAAGGAUUGGUAACUAUGUUUUUCCCUCAGACCUAAUAGUAUGGAAUCCCAAGGAUUGGAUGUGAUAUUAGGCAUGGAUUGGUUAUCAAAGUAUGAAGGGAAUAUUGAAUGUGCUAGUAAGUCAAUUUUGCUUACCACCCCAGAAGGGAGAAGGAUCAAGUAUGUAUCCCGACAUGUGCCAAAGAGGACUCAAGUAAAUUGCCUAACAAGAGUUGUGCAGGAGGAAGUACCAGUGGUAAGGGAUUUCCCCGAAGUAUUUCCAGAGGAGUUGCCAGGCAUGCCACCGGAUAGAGAUAUUGAGUUUCUGAUUGAGCUAUUGCCAGGCACAGGGCCAAUAUCAAAGAGACCAUAUAGGAUGCCAACAAAUGAUUUGGUGGAAAUUAAGAAGCAGAUUAAGGUGUUACUGGAUAAGGGAUAUAUUCGCCCAAGUUCUUCGCCUUGGGGAUCGCCAGUACUUCUAGUGGAGAAGAAGGAUGGAUCGUUAAGGAUGGUUGUUGAUUAUCGAGGAUUGAAUGAAGUAACAAUCAAGAACAAGUACCCACCACCAAUGAUUAAUGAUCUGUUUGAUCGAUUGCAAGGAGCUAAGGUAUUUUCCAAGAUCGAUCUGCGAUCAGGAUACCACCAGUUGAAGAUUCAAGAACAGGAUAUAUCUAAGACAACUUUUACCACCAGGUAUGGGUUGUACGAGUAUACCGUUAAGUCAUUUGGUCUAACUAACGCAUCCGCAUAUUUUAUGAACAUGAUGAACAAAGUAUUUAUGGAAUUUUUGGAUAAGUUCGUCGUAGUGUUCAUUGAUGAUAUCCUGGUUUAUUCGAAGAAUGAAGAGGAGCAUAAGGAGCAUUUGCAUUUGGUACUUGGAAAGCUCAGAGAACAUCAAUUAUAUGCCAAGUUCAGCAAAUGUGAGUUUUGGUUGAAGGAAGUAGGAUUCCUCGGACACGUUAUAUCUGGAGAAGGUAUAGCAGUAGAUCCCACUAAAGUUGAUACCGUGACCAAGUGGGAAGCACCAACCACUGUGGGAGAGAUCCGGAGUUUUCUUGGACUCGCAGGAUACUACCAGAGAUUUAUUGAGAAUUUCUCAAAGAUUGCAAAGCCUAUGGCUGAGUUGUUGAAGAAAGAUACCAAGUUCAUAUGGACGGAGUAAUGUGAGGCUAGUUUCCAGGAGUUGAAGAAACGUUUGGUUACCUCACCAGUGUUGAUUUUGCCAGACCAGACCAAAGAUUAUGAGGUGUAUUGCGACGCUUCACGUCGAGGACUUGGAGCAGUGCUUAUGCAGGAAGGGAGAGUUGUUUCACAUGCCUCAAGACAACUGAAACCUCAUGAGUUGAAUUAUGCCACGCAUGAUUUGGAGUUAGCAGCCGUAGUGCAUGCUUUGAAAACAUGGAGGCAUUUCCUCAUUGGAAAUCAUUAUGAGGUGUACACGGAUCAUAAGAGUUUGAAGUACAUUUUCACACAGAAGGAGUUGAAUCUCAGACAAAGGAGAUGGUUGGAGCUCAUCAAGGAUUAUGAUAUGAGAUUGCAUUAUCAACCCGGAAAAGCUAAUGUAGUAGCUGACGCAUUAAGCCGUAAGAGCCAUGUCAAUACAUUAAUGACGGGAGAAAUACCAAGUGAGAUAGCAGUAAAUCUUCGUGAACUAUGUUUGGAAAUAGUUCCGAGAGGCUAUGUAGCAGCAUUGGAGAUUCAGUCAACCUUGAUGGAUAGAAUCAGGGAAGCUCAGAAGACCGACAAAGAGAUUGCCGCUAUAAAGGAGAAACUUAGCAAAGGAAAAGCUAAGGGAUUUCGUGAGGAUGAACACGAUACCCUAUGGUUUGAAGACCGCGUUUACGUGCCGAAUGACCCAGAGAUCAGGAAGUUGAUAUUGCAAGAGGCACACGAUUCACCAUAUUCGAUUCACCCAAGAAAUACCAAGAUGUAUUUGGAUUUGAAAGAUAUUUUCUGGUGGACCGAAAUGAAGAAGGAUAUUGCGGAGUAUGUAGCAAAUUGUGAUGUAUGCCAGAGAGUAAAGGUAGAGCAUCAGAAGCCAACAGGAUUGUUACAACCAUUGCCGAUACCCGAAUGGAAGUGGGAUAAGCUAGGCAUGGAUUUUAUCACGGGAUUACCCAGGACUCAUUCAAGCUAUGACUCAAUUUGGGUUGUAGUUGAUCGAUUAACGAAAGUAGCUCAUUUCAUCCCGGUAAAGAUCACUUACAAUAGUGCUAAGUUGGCAAAGAUAUACAUGACCAGGAUCGUAUGUUUGCAUGGAGUUCCAAGGAGUAUCGUAUCAGAUAGAGGAACCCAGUUUACCUCAAAGUUCUGGAAGCAGUUGCAUGAAACUUCGGGAACCAGGCUAGAAUUCAGUACAGCUUUUCAUCCACAGACAGAUGGACAGACUGAUAGAGUCAAUCAGAUUUCGGAGGAUAUGCUGAGAGCUUGUGUGCUAGAUUAUGGAUCUAGUUGGGACGAUAAUUUGCCAUAUGCAGAGUUCUCUUACAACAACAGUUACCAAACCAGUUUAAAGAUGGCCCCUUUUAAAGCCUUAUAUGGAAGGAGGUGCAGGACACCGUUGUCGUGGGACGAAGUUGGAGACCGCCAGUUGUUUGGACCUGACUUGAUUAAAGAGUCUGAAUAGAAGGUGAAGUUGAUUCGCGAUAGGCUCAAGAUAGCCCAGUCCAGGCAGAAAAGUUAUGCAGAUUCUAAACGCAAGGAGACAGUUUACGAAGUCAGAGAUAGAGCUUAUCUUCGAGUAUCUCCACUUCGGGGAACAAAGCAUUUUGAGGUUAAAGGGAAGUUAGCGCCAUGAUUUGUAGGACCAUAUCGAGUUUUGGAGCGUAUGGGAGAAGUGGCCUACAAGUUGGAAUUGCCCGAAGGAUUGUCAAGAGUUCAUGAUGUGUUCCACGUUUCCCAGUUGAAGAAGUGUCAUGCGGAGAUGGCUGACAUACCUUUGAGAGACACAGUGCCUCUGGAAACUAUUCAGUUGGAUAACGAUUUGACCUACAAGGAGAAACCAAUUAAGAUCCUCGAGUUUGCCAGCCGAGUUACCCGCAGCAAGGUUAUCAAGUUUUGCAAAGUUCAGUGGAGCCACCACAAGAGGAUGAAGCCACCUGGGAACGAGAAGAAGAUUUGCUCAAGGACCACCCUCACCUAUUUUCUAGCCAACCUGAAUCUCGAGGGCGAGAUUCAUCUUAAGGGGGGGUAGGUUUGUAACAUCCCAAAUUUCCAAUUUGGAAUGUUAUACAUUAGAUCAUCAUUGCAUACCAUAUUUUAUUUUUGCUUUUGGUUGAUCCUAGAAAUUCUACGCAACUCAAGGACCCACGGAGAGAGUUGGGGAUUCGUUAUUUUCAUAUUUGAGUUUUCUCAAAUUUUGAGAAUAGGAUCAUUCGAUUUUAUUUAUUUUAUCAUCAAUUAUUUCUAUUACAAAAAUAUGAGAGACGGAAUAAAAUUACUUUCCCAAAAUAGAGAAAUAUUGAGGAUCAAAUAAUAAAAUCAAAUAAGAUUUUAUUUCGGAGUUUUUCGGUGUUUUAUUUGAAUUUAGGAAAAAUGUGCGUUUUUCAAAAUUUCAUUUAGGUCCCAAAUAAAUGUUCACCUUGUGCGGCUUGAUUUUAGAAGCCCGUGAAAAUUUAUUUCGGAAUUUUUGGAGUCCAUUUAGUAUUUUCUUUUAUUUUUCUUCGGCGCGUAAUAUAAAAAAAACGAACCGACCUACGGGCCGUGUCCGACUAGGACUCCGGCCCGCCAGGGCNNNNNNNNNNNNNNNNNNNNNNNNNNNNNNNNNNNNNNNNNNNNNNNNNNNNNNNNNNNNNNNNNNNNNNNNNNNNNNNNNNNNNNNNNNNNNNNNNNNNNNNNNNNNNNNNNNNNNNNNNNNNNNNNNNNNNNNNNNNNNNNNNNNNNNNNNNNNNNNNNNNNNNNNNNNNNNNNNNNNNNNNNNNNNNNNNNNNNNNNNNNNNNNNNNNNNNNNNNNNNNNNNNNNNNNNNNNNNNNNNNNNNNNNNNNNNNNNNNNNNNNNNNNNNNNNNNNNNNNNNCACGCCGCCCGAGGUUUGCCUCACCUCGUAAUCCGCGCCAUUGGUUUUUUUUAUAUCGUUUGGUUUUUCCACCGAUUUUUUUUCUAGUUUUAGUUUUUUUAAAUAGAUCGGUUUUUCUGGUUUAUUUAAUUUAGCGAGCGUUCGUCGUUUUUCUUUUUCUCAGAUUAAAUCCAUGAUUUUUCUGAUCGUGAUUCCUGAUCCGAUUUUCGUUUUAGUAUAACUUUUCGCUCGUUAAUCGGAAUCAGGCGAUUCAAGCGCCUGGAGUUUCGUCUCGAAACCCUAUAUCCGUUUAACCAAGUUAAUCAAGAUUUUGCUACUGUAAAAUUUGCCCUGGAUCCAGAUUAGUAGAACGAAGUUGUUUUCUUUCGUCGUUUGACUUUCGUUGCUUCGCUCGAUUUGAUUCUUUUUGCCAACCAGAGUUCUUAAGUUGAACCUUCUGGUUAGAUCUCUUAUUUGAGUUUUACCUGUGCAUUAGAUGAGUACUUAUUGUAUGCUUGUUUGUUUGUCUACGAUAGAAUACCUGGAGUGCGCCGCCUGUUACUUCGAAUCUCUAGGUUUCGCGGAUCAUCAGCAAGGCAAGUAACACUUUGAUCAUACCUUUCCUACUACCCAGUUUUAUUGCAUUAGAUCAAUCCUCACACAUUGCAUGAUUAGGAUCUAAUUAAAUUGUGGGAUGGGAAGUAGUUGAGGUAGUACCUAUUACCUGUUUAUUAUCAAACCUUUGGGAGUUACUUCUACGUUUGCUUAUUAUGCCAUGCUAUGCUAGUAGACGUGGAUUGGGUGAGUGAUAUCCAUGACAGAUGUGAGUUUGUUAAUUAAUGGAUUAUCUGAGGUGGCAACUUAAACACACAUCUGGGUGGAUUGAGGCACCUGGGUAUUCCAGGACUUGCCUGUUUUCUUUUGGACCGCCACCCAGGCUCAAAGGGAUCAUGAGACUAUUCAUACUAGAAACUUCCGUGUGCAGCCACAAGCUAUUAUGGGCUCUAGCAUAGUUGACUAAGUCGUGUGAACUCUUAUAGUGGUAGACUGGCAGAUGUAGGGGAUGUAGGUGGUAUGGUCUACCCGAUCGUAAGGUGCUAGCGCUUCUGAAAGACUAUGUCUCGGUCAUCCGUCUUCUCAAACACCCUGUAGUGCGAGAAACCCAACGGAGGCGAUCGAGUCUUGUGGGGAAAAGUGCGCAAACCUCUGCAGAGUGUAAUAAACUAAUCAUGAUUAGCCAUGUCCCCGGUUAUGGACAUCUUGAGUAUCUAGUACCUGGAUUUUCAUGUGAAUCUCAACAUGUUACUCUAAAUUAAUUUUGUUGGGUUUUGUUUAACGAUGAUGCUUAAUUGGGAUUGAGAAUGCUGUCAACCAUUCUUAAUGUUUAACAACUACCAGGAUAGAUAAAUAAAUUUUAUUCCUUUGAAGUAGGGAAAAAUUGGCUUUACGCAAAACUGUAGCCAUAGAGCUUUUCACCAGCCAAAUAUGCAUAUAGUAUAGCUGUUUCAUUCCAUUGCUCUCUAUGUGUUACCUUGCCAGCAUAUUCCAUGUGCUGACCCAUUUUCGGGCUGCAAUGUUAAUGUUGUAGACUUUUCAGAUGACGAUUAAGGAGUUUUUAGGUCGUGGUUCUAUACUCAGUGAUGCCAUUGGAGUUGAUGGACUCACUUAUCUUCCAAGCCUUCCGCUGUUAUCGUUUUUAGAUGGCCUUAAGCCAUAUUUAUUGUAAUAAGUUCUCUUUUGAGACACUCGAUGUAAUAAGUGUGUGAUUGCUACUCUGUUAUAAAUCCUUCGAGUACUAUGUGGUGUCAGCAUUACUGAUCCAGGGAUGACACCGGAGCACAGAGAUCAGACUGUUUGAGGUCUGGUCGCUACACAUGGCAAUAUAUCUCGGAAUGGCUAUGGAAAUGCCAUGAUAGGUAGGUAUGGUGGCUGUUUUGAGGAAGAUAUAUGGUGGGUUUAUGGUACCGGCGAAAGUUGCGCGGUACUAGAGAGGCUAGCAAUGGUGGAAGGGUGAGAGUGCGUAUAAUCCAUGGACUCAACAUUAGUCAUAAAGAACUCACAUACUUAUUGCAAAAAUCUAUUAGUUAUCGAAACAAAGUACUACUCGCAUGCUCCUAGGGGGAUAGAUUGGUAGGAAAAGACCAUCGCUCGUCCCCGACCGCCACUCAUAAGGAAGGCAAUCAAUAAAUAAAUCAUGCUCCGACUUCGUCACAUAACGGUUCACCAUACGUGCAUGCUACGGGAAUCACAAACUUCAACACAAGUAUUUCUCAAAUUCACAACUACUCAACUAGCAUGAUUCUAAUAUCACCAUCUCCAUAUCUCAAAACUAUCAUCAAGCAUCAAACUUCUCUUAGUAUUCAAUACUCUAUAUGAAAGUUUUUACUAUUCUUGGAUGCCUAGCAUAUUAGGAUUAUUUAAGCAAAUUGCCAUGCUAUUUAAAACUCUCAAAAUGAUAUAAGUGAAGCAUGAGAGUUAAUAUAUUUCUAAAAAAUAAAACCACCACCAUGCUCUAAAAAGAUAUAAGUGAAGCACUAGAGCAACAACAAACUACUCCGAAAGAUAUAAGUGAAGAUCAAUGAGUAGUCGAAUAAUUAUGCAACUAUGUGAAGACUCUCUAACAUUUAAGAAUUUCAGAUCUUGGUAUUUUAUUCAAACAUCAAGCAAAGCAAAAUAAAAUGACAUUCUAAGAAUAACAAACAUCAUGUGAAGAAGCAAAAACUUAGGAUCAACCGAUACUAACCGAUAGUUGUUGAAGAAGAAAGGUGGGAUGCCAACCGGGGCGUCCCCAAGCUUAGACACUUGAGACUUCUUGAAAUAUUAUCUUGGGAUGCCUUGGGCAUCCCCAAGCUUGAGAUUUUGUGUCUCCUUAAUUCCUCUCAUAUCACGGUCUCCCUAAAUCUCAAAAGCUUCAUCCACACAGAACUCAACAAGGACUCGUGAGAUAAGUUAGUAUAAACCAUUGCCAAAACCUUAUCAUACUCUACUGUAGAAAAUCACUAAAAUUAUUAUUCAACAUUGCAUACUAAAUGUCUCUGCAUAUUUAAUAGUCAUAUCCUCAAAUAGAAUCAUUAAAGAAGCAAACAUAUGCAAACAUAACAGCAAUCUGCCUAAACAGGACAGUCUGUAAAGAAUGCAGCAACGUCCAUACUUCCCUAACUCCAAAAAUUAUGAAAGAAAAUUCCCACUGUAGUAAAUUUAUCAUAUCUUAAUAUGCAAAAGGUUUCAACAUUUUAUCACAUUCUUACUUUUCUAGGGAAUUAUUGCAACGGCGGUAAACUUUCUGUUUUCAAACAGCAACAUGAAGACCUGUAACAUAGGCAUAGUAAAGGCUAUCAAUGCCACUUUUAUUGAAAUAAAAGAUGCAAAACAUUGUUCGAAAUAACAGCAAGCAAAUCCCAACAAAAUAAAUUGACGCUCCAAGCAAAACACAUAUCAUGUGGUGAAUAAAAAUAUAGCUCCAAGUAAAGUUACCGAUGAACGAAGAUGAAAGAGGGGGUGCCUUUCGGGGCAUCCCCAAGCUUAGGCUCUUGGUUGUCCUUGAAUAUUACCUUUAGGUGCCUUGGGAAUCCCCAAGAUUAGUCUCUUGCCACUCCUUAUUCCAUAGUCCAUUGAAUCCUUACCCAAAACUUGAAAACUUCACAACACAAAACUUAACAGAAAACUCGUAAGCUCCGUUAGUAUAAGAAAAUAAAUCACCACUUCAAGGUGCUGUAAUGAACUCAUUCUUUAUUUAUAUUGGUGUUAAACCUACUGUAUUCCAACUUCUCUAUGGUUUAUAAACUAUUUUACUAGCCAUAGAUUCAUCAAAAUAAGUAAACAACACAUGAAAAACAGAAUCUGUCAAAAACAGAAUAGUCUGUAGUAAUCUGGAUCAAACGUAUACUUCUGGAACUCAUAAAAUUCUCAAAUAAUUUUCUGGAUCUGAGGAAUUUAUCUAUUAAUCACCUGCAGAAAUAAUUAACUAAAUAUCACUCUCCAAAUAAAUAUGGCAGCAAUUCUCGUGAGCGCUAAAGUUUCUGUUUUUUACAGCAUGAUCGCAAAGACUUUCCCCGAGUCUUCCCAAAGGUUCUACUUGGCACAAACACUAAUUAAAAGCAUAAAACCACAUCUAAACAGAGGCUAGAUGAAUUAUUUAUUACUAAACGUGAGAAAAAAGCAAGCAACAAAAAAAAUAUUGGGUUGCCUCCCAACAAGCGCUAUCGUUUAACGCCCCUAGCUAGGCAUGAUGAUUUCAAUGAUGCUCACAUAAAGGAUAAGAAUUGUAACAUAAAGAGAGCAUCAUGAUGAAUAUGACUAGCACAUUUAAGCCUAACCCUCUUCCUAUGCAUAGGGAUUUUGUGAGCAAACAACUUAUGAGAACAAGAAUCAACUAGCAUAGGAAGGCAAAACAAGCAUAACUUCAAAAUUUUAAGCACAUAGAGGGGAAACUUGAUAUUAUUGCAAUUCCUACAAGCAUAUAUUCCUCCCUCAUAAUAAUUUUCAGUAGCAUCAUGAAUGAAUUCAACAAUAUAACCAGCACCUAAAGCAUUCUUUUCAUGAUCUACAAGCAUAUAAAUUUUAUUACUCUCCACAUAAGCAAAAUUCUUCUCAUUCGGAAUAGUGGGAGUAUCAUAAGAGACUUGAAUACUAUAAAUUGUUUCCACAUUAAAAGAGUAACGUUCAGAGAAGGGGUAAUCAUAAUCAUGACAAGUUUUAUAAAUAUAAUCACUACUUUUGUUAGCAUAAGUAUCAUCACAAUAAUCAUCAUAGGUAGGAGGCAUGCUAUCAUCAUUAUAAAUUUGCAUAUCAAAACUUGGGAGACUAAAAAUAUCAUCUUCAUUAAACGUAGCAUCCCCAAGCUUGGGACAAACAUUAAUUGCAGCAAAUAUAUUCUCAAAAACAUCAUCUUCAUCAAACAUAGCAUCCCCAAGCUUGGUCCUUUUCAUAUCAUAAGCAUAAUCACUCUCAUCAUUAAUAGUAUGGAUAGCACCAAUAGUAUAGCAAUUAUCAUAUUCUUCCAAGCAAGUGCCAAAAAGAUUUUCAAGAUCAUAAGAAGUAUCAUUAUCUUCCACAAUUAUAUUUUCAUGAGGCACAACAGUAAUAGGAGCAACAUUAUUUGGGAGGGAUACCUUUUUACCUCUCUUCCUUUUUCUUUUCUUCUUCUUCACCACAUAAUGUGUGGGUUCAAUCCUCUUUUUGGAGCUCCUUAUUAAUGAGAUUGGUUGAAUAGGAGGUUCCUCCUCGUUACCUGAUUCAUCAUAAGAAAUAAUAGGAGGGUAUUGGGAAGUCUCUUCCCUUUCAUUAGUAUUCUCUUCAUCCUCUAUUUGUUUUCUUUUCUUUAUGUAGUUGGCAAUAGAAGGAUUUUCAAUACAAUUCACCACAUAAUACAUAUAAACUUCCUCUAGAUCAAAUCCAAGAAGUUUAUAACGGGCAAAUUCUGGAAGAUAAUUAGUUAUACGUUUCAUUUCUUCAUAACCCAUAAGCAAACUAAGUUCAUUAUGAUGUGCAAGGGAAAUCAAGUCAUCGCAAUUUUUGGACAUGAUACGAUCAUGAAACAAUUUGCAUUGGAUAUUGAAAUGAUCAUGUUCGUUGCAAAGCUCACAAGUAUGGCCAAUAUAAUUUAAAUUUUUAGCACAUUCGUCUAGCUCUUCUUGCAACAAUUUAGUUUCUAAGUACUUAUGCCUCUUGCAAUAUCUACCUUCCCUAUUUGGUAUGUUCUUACAAACCCAAUGUACUACACAAAAAUUGACAUGUUUAUAGGAGACAUCAUAACAAGUGCAAUCAUCAUUAGUAUCAUGGAUAUUCAAAGAAUUCGUACUAACAACAUUGCAAUCAUGCUCAUCAUUUAAAGAUUUAGUGCCAAACAUUUUAUAGAUUUCUUCUUCUAGCACUUGAGCACUAUUAUCCUUUCCAUCAUACUCACGAAAGAUAUUAAAAAGGUGAAGCGUGUGAGACAAAUUCAAUUCCAUUUUUUAUAGUUUUCUUUUAUAAACUAAACUAGUGAUAAAACAAAAAACUAAAAGACUCGAUUGCAAGAUCUAAAGAUAUACCUUCAAGCACUCACCUCCCCGGCAAUGGCGCCAGAAAAGAGCUUGCUGUCUACUACACAACCUUCUUCUUGUAGACAUUGUUGGGCCGCCAACUGCAGAGGUUUGUAGGACAGUAGCAAAUUCCCCCAAGUGGAUGACCGAAGGUUUAUCAAUCCGUAGGAGGCGUAGGAUGAAGAUGGUCUCUCUCAAGCAACCCUGCAACCAAAUAACAAAGAGUCUCUUGUGUCCCCAACACACCUAAUACAAUGGUAAAUUGUAUAGGUGCACUAGUUCGGCGAAGAGAUGGUGAUACAAGUGCAAUAUGGAUGGUAGAUAAAGGUAUUUGUAAUAUGAAAUUAUAAAAACAGCAAGGUAACUAAUGAUAAAAGUGAGCGUAAACGGUAUUGCAAUGCUAGGAAACAAGGCCUAGGGUUCAUACUUUCACUAGUGCAAGUCCUCUCAACAAUAAUAACAUAAUUGGAUCACAUAACUAUCCCUCAACAUGCAACAAAGAGUCACUCCAAAGUCACUAAUAGCGGAGAACAAACGAAGAGAUUAUGGUAGGGUACGAAACCACCUCAAAGUUAUUCUUUCCAAUCAAUCCAUUGGGCUAUUCCUAUAAGUGUCACAAACAGCCCUAGAGUUCGUACUAGAAUAACACCUUAAGACACAAAUCAACCAAAACCCUAAUGUCACCUCAAGUAUCUGUGGGUAUGAUUAUAUGAUAUGCAUCACACAAUCUCAGAUUCAUCUAUUCAACCAACACAAAGGACCUCAAAGAGUGCCCCAAAGUUCCUACCGGAUAAUCACGACGAAAACGUGUGCCAACCCCUAUGCAUAGGUUCAUGGGCGGAACCCGCAAGUUGAUAACCAAAACAUACAUCAAGUGAAUCACGUGGUAUCCCAUUGUCACCACAGAUACGCACGGCAAGACAUACAUCAAGUGUUCUCAAAUCUUUAAAGACUCAAUCUGAUAAUAUAACUUCAAAGGGGAAACUCAAUCCAUUACAAGAGAGUAGAGGGGGGAAGAAACAUCAUAGGAUCCAAAUAUAAUAGCAAAGCCCGCGAUACAUCAAGAUCGUAUCAUCUCAAGAACACGAGAGAGAGAGAGAGAGAGAGAUCAAACACAUAGCUACUGGUACACACCCUCAGCCCCGAGGGUGAACUACUCCCUCCUCGUCAUGGAGAGCACCGGGAUGAUGAAUAUGGCCACCGGAGAAGGAUUGUCCCCUCCGGCAGGGUGCUGGAAUAGGUCUAGAUUGGCUUUUGGUGGCUACGGAGGCUUCUGGCGGUGGAACUCCCGAUCUAUUGUGCUCAUGGAUGUUUUUAGGGUAUAUGGAGAUAUAUAGGCGGAAGAAGUACGUUAGGGGGGCCACGAGGGUGGAGGGCGCGCCCAGGGGGGAUGGGCGCGCCCCCUGCCUCGUGACCUCCUCGCAGAUCCCCCGACGUGCACUCCAAGUCUUCUGGGCUUCUUUCCUUCCAAAAAUGAGUUCCGUGAAGUUUCAGGUCAAUUGGACUCCGUUUGGUUUUCCUUUUCUUCGAAACCCUAAAACAGGGUAAAAACAUAAACUUGCACUGGGCUCUGGGUUAAUAGGUUGGUCCCAAAAAAUGAUAUAAAAGUGUAUAAUAAAGCGCAUAAACAUUCAAAACAGUAAAUAAUAUAGCAUGGAGCAAUCAAAAAUUAUAGAUACGUUGGAGACGUAUCAGGAGGCAACCCAAUUUUAUUUUUGUUUCUUGUUUUUGUUCCUGUUUAGUAAUAAAUAAUUAAUCUAGCUUCUGUUUAGAUGUGGUUUUAUGCUUUUAAUUAGUGUUUGUGCCAAGUAGAACCUUUGGGAAGACUUAGGGGAAGUCUUUGCGAUCUUGCUGUAAAAAAUUGAAACUUUAGCGCUCACGAGAUUUGCUGCCAUUUUUUUACUGGAGAGUGCGAUUAGGUUGAUUAUUUUUGCAGAUGAUUAAUAGACAAAUUCCUCACGUCCAGAAAUUUAUUUCGGAAUUUUUGGGGUUACAGAAGUAUUCUAAACCUACAUAUUACUACAGGCUGUUCUGUUUUUGACAGAUUCUGUUUUUCGUGUGUUGUUUGCUUAUUUUUGAUAAAUCUAUGGCUAGUAUCGGGGGGUAUGAACCAUAGAGAAGUUGGAAUAUAGUAGGUUUAACACCAAUUUAAAUAAAGAAUGAGUUCAUUACAAUACCUUGAAGUGGUGGUUUGUUUUCUUAUUGUAACGGAGCUCAUGAGAUUUUCUGUUGAGUUUUGUGUUGUGAAGUUUUCAAGUUUUGGGUAAAGAUUUGAUGGAUUUUGGAAUAAGGAGUGGCAAGAGCCUAAGAUUGGGGAUGCCCAAGGCACCCCAGGGUAAAAUUCAAGGACAACCAAAAGCCUAAGCACAAAGAGUAUCGGUAACUUUACUUGAGGCUAUAUUUUUAUUCACCACAUGAUAUGUGUUUUGCUUGGAGUGUCUUGUAUGAUUUGAGUCUUUGCUUUUUAGUUUACCACAAUCAUCCUUGCUGUACACACCUUUUGGGAGAGACACACAUGAAUCGGAAUUUAUUAGAAUACUCUUUGUGCUUCACUUAUAUCUUUUGAGCUAGAUAAUUUCGCUCUAGUGCUUCACUUAUAUCUUUUUAGAGCACGGUGGUGGUUUUAUUUUAUAGAAAUUAUUGAUCUCUCAUGCUUCACUUAUAUUAUUUUGAGGGCCUUAUAUAACAACAUGGUAAUCUGCCUUGGCUAUAAAAUUAGUCCUAAUAUGAUAGACAUCCAAGAUGGGUAUAAUAAAAACUAUCAUAAAAAGUGCAUUGAAUACUAUGAGAAGUUUGAUACUUGAUGAUUGUUUUGAGAUAUAAAGAUAGUGAUAUUAGAGUCAUGCUAGUUGACUAGUUGUAAAGUUGAGAAAUACUUGUGUUAAAGUUUGUGAUUCCCAUAGCAUGCACGUAUGGUGAACCGUUAUGUGACGAAGUCGGAGCAUGAUUUAUUUAUUGAUUGUCUUCCUUAUGAGUGGCAGUCGGGGAUGAGCGGUGGUCUUUUCCUACCAAUCUACCCCCCUAGGAGCAUGCACGUAGUACUUUGUUUCGAUAAAUAAUAGAUUAUUGCAAUAAGUAUGUGAGUUCUUAUGACUAAUGUUGAGUCCAUGGAUUAUACGCACUCUCACCCUUCCACCAUUGCUAGCCUCUCUAGUACCGCGCAACUUUCGCCGUUACCAUACACCCACCUUAUACCUUCCUCAAAACAGCCACCAUACCUACCUAUUAUGGCAUUUCCAGAGCCAUUCCGAGAUAUAUCACCAUGCAACUUACCACCGCCCCGUUUAUUAUGACACGCUUCAUCAUUGUCAUAUUACUUUGCAUGAUCAUGUAGCUGACAUCGUAUUUGUGGCAAAGCCACCGUUCAUAAUUCUUUCAUACAUGUCACUCUUGAUUCAUUGCACAUACCGGUACACCACCAGAGGCAUUCACAUAGAGUCAUAUUUUGUUCUAUUAUCAAGUUGUAAUUUUUGAGUUGUAAGUACAUAAAAGUGUGAUGAUCCUCAUUAUUAGAGCAUUGUCCCAAGUGAGGAAAGGAUGAUGGAGACUAUGAUUCCCCCACAAGUCGGGAUGAGACUCCGGACAAAAAUAAAAAAGAGAGAAAAAGGCCAUAAAAAAGAGAAGGCCCAAAAAAAUGAGAGAAAAAGAGAGAAGGGGCAAUGCUACUAUCCUUUGACCACACUUGUGCUUCAAAGUAGCACCAUGAUCUUCAUGAUAGAGAGUCUCCUAUGUUGUCACUUUCAUAUACUAGUGGGAAUUUCACAUUAUAGAACUUGGCUUGUAUAUUCCAAUGAUGGGCUUCCUCAAAAUGCCCUAGGUCUUCGUGAGCAAGCAAGUUGGAUGCACACCCACUUAGUAUCUUUUUGAGCUUUCAUACACUUAUAGCUCUAGUGCAUCCGUUGCAUGGCAAUCCCUACUCACUCACAUUGAUAUCUAUUGAUGGGCGUCUCCAUAGCCCGUUGAUACGCCUAGUUGAUGUGAGACUAUCUUCUCCUUUUGUCUUCUCCACAACCACCAUUCUAUUCCACCUAUAGUGCUAUGUCCAUGGCUCACGCUCAUAUACUGCGUGAAGAUUGAAAAAGUUUGAGAACACCAAAGUAUGAAACAAUUGCUUGGCUUGUCAUCGGGGUUGUGCAUGAUUUAAAUACUUUGUGUGGUGAAGAUGGAGCAUAGCCAGACUAUAUGAUUUUGUACGGAUAACUUUCUUUGGCCAUGUUAUUUUGAGAAGACAUGAUUGCUUUGUUAGUAUGCUUGAAGUAUUAUUAUUUUUAUGUCAAUAUUAAACUUUUGUAUUGAACAUUUUGGAUCUGAACAUUCAUGCCAUAAUAAAGGAAAUUACAUUGAGAAUUAUGCUAGGUAGCAUUCCACAUCAAAAAUUCUGUUUUUAUCAUCUACCUACUCGAGGACGAGCAAGAAUUAAGCAUGGGAAUGGUUGAUACGUCACCAACAUAUCUAUAAUUUUUGAUUGUUCCAUGCUAUUAUAUUAUCUGUUUUGGAUGUUUAAUGGGCUUUAUUUUACCUUCUUAUAUUAUUUCUGGGACUAACCUAUUAACCAAAGGCCCAGUGCAAAUUGCUGUUUUUUUGCUUAUUUCAGUGUUUCGCAGAAAAGGAAUAUCAAACGGAAUCCAAACGGAAUGAAACCUUCGGGAGAGUUAUUUUUGGAACAAACAUGAUCUAGGACACUUGGAGUGGACGUCAAGAAAGAAUCUAGGAGGCCACGAGGCAGGAGGGCGUGCCCAGGGGGUAGGCACGCCCCCACCCUCAUGGGCCCCUCGCAGCUCCACCGACGUACUUCUUCCUCCUAUAUAUACCCACAUACCCCGAAAACAUCUAGGAGCACCACGAAACCCUAUUUCCACCGCCGCAACCUUCUGUACCCGUGAGAUCCCAUCUUGGGGCCUUUUUCGGCACUCUGCCGGAGGUGGAAUCGAUCACGGAGGGCUUCUACAUCAACACCAUAGCCUCUGAUGAUGUGUGAGUAGUUUACCACAGACCUUCGGGUCCAUAGUUAUUAGCUAGAUGGAUUCUUCUCUCUCUUUGGAUCUCAAUACAAAGUUCUCCUCGAUUCUCUUGGAGAUCUAUUCGAUGUAAUUCUUUUUGCGGUGUGUUUGUCGAGAUCCGAUGAAUUGUGGGUUUAUAAUCAAGAUUAUCUAUGAAUAAUAUUUGAUUCUACUCUGAAAUCUUUUAUGCAUGAUUUAAAUAUCUUUGCAAGUCUCUUCAAAUUAUCAGUUUGGUUUGGCCUACUAGAUUGAUCUUUCUUGCAAUGGGAGAAGUGCUUAGCUUUGGGUUCAAUCUUGCGGUGUCCUUUCCCAGUGACAGCAGGGGCAGCAAGGCACGUAUUGUAUUGUUGCCAUCAAGGAUAAAAAGAUGGGGUUUAUACCAUAUUGCUUGAGUUUAUCCCUCUACAUCAUGUCAUCUUGCCUAAUGCGUUACUCUGUUCUUAUGAACUUAAUACUCUAGAUGCAUGUUGGAUAGCGGUCGAUGUGUGGAGUAAUAGUAGUAGAUGCAGAAUCGUUUCGGUCUACUUGUCGCGGACGUGAUGCCUAUAUACAUGAUCAUGCCUAGAUAUUCUCAUAAGUAUUCACUUUUCUAUCAAUUACUCGACAGUAAUUUGUUCACCCACCGUAGAAUUUGCUAUCUUUAGAGAAGCCACUAGUGAAACCUAUGGCCCCUGGGUCUAUCUUCCAUCAUAUUAUUUUCAUAUCAAUUUGCUAUUUCUAUUAUCGUUUAUUUUGCAAUCUUUAUUUUCCAAUCUAUACCAUAAAAAUACCAAAAAUAUUUAUCUUAUUAUCUCUAUCAGAUCUCACUUUCGUAAGUGACUGUGAAGGGAUUGACAACCCCUUUAUCGCGUUGGUUGCAUGGUUCUUGUUUGUUUGUGCAGGUACUAGGUGACUUGUGUGUUACCUCCUACUGGAUUGAUACCUUGGUUCUAAAAAACUGAGGGAAAUACUUACGCUACUGUGCUGCAUCACCCUUUCCUCUUCAAGGGAAAACCAAUGCAUGCUCAAGAGGUAGCAGUAUGAUAGUUUGAUAGUAGCAGUAAUAGCAACAAUAUCAGUUUUGUAGUGAUUGUAAUAGGAGCAGCAACAAUAGUAACUUAGCAAAGACAGUAUGAGAAAAGCGUAGGCAUUGGAUCAAUGAUGGAUAUUUGUGUUGGAUGACAUUCAUCAUGUAACAUUCAGAACCUAGAGCGAUACACACUAGCUCCAAUUCAUCAAUUCAAUGUAGUCAUGUAUUCCGUAUAUAACCAUACAUGCUUAUAAUAAGAACUUGCAUGACAUCUUUUGUCCUACCCUCCCAUGGCAGUGGAGUCCAUAAGGAAAUCUAAGGGAUAUUAAGGCCACCCUUUAAUAGAGAAUCAAAACAAAGCAUUAACACAUGGUGAAUACAUGAACUCCUCGAAUUACAGUCAUCGCCGGAGAGAGUCCUAAUUAUUAUCACCUUGGGGUCUACGGAUCAGAACAAUAACAAGUGCAUACAACUAGCAUAUAGGAUCAAGAAUUCAAAUAUAUUGAUGAUAACAUAGAGGGUUGAUACGUCUCCAAGGUACCUAUAACUUAUGUAGUAUUCAUGCUGUUGUAUUAUCAUUCUUGGAUGUUUUACAAUCAUUUUAUAGCAACUUUAUAUCAUUUUUUGGACUACCUAUUGACAUAGUGCCCAGUGCCAGUUGUUGUUUUUUUGCUUGUUUUUUACAUGCAGAAAAUCAAUACCAAACGGAGUCCAAAUGCAACGAAACUUUUUGGUUAAUUUUUAUGGACCAGAAGACACAACUUGGGCCAACGAAGUACAAGAGGGGGGCCCCGAGGGGGGCACACCCCACCUGGGGGCCCAGGCGCGCCCUGGUGGGUUGUGCCCACCUCGAUGGCCCCCCGCGUCGCCUCUUCGCCCUACAAAUUACCAAAUAUUCCAAAAACCCUAGGGGAGUCGAUAGAUCAGAAGUUCUACCGCCGCAAGCCUAUAUAGCCACGAAAAACCAAUCUAGACCCCGUUCCAGCACCCUGCCGGAGGGGGAAAUCAUCAUCGGUGGCCAUCUUAGUCAUCCCGGCGGCCACCAUGACGAGGAGGGAGUAGUCCACCCUCAAGGCUGAGGGUUUGUACCAUUAGCUAUGUGUUUAAUCUCUCUCUCUCUCUCUCUCGUCUUCUUGAGAUGUCACGAUCUUGAUGUAUCGUAGGCUUUGUUAAUAUAGUUGGAUCAUAUGUUGUCUUCCCCUCUCCAUCUUGUUGUGAAUUGAGUUUUCCCUUUGAGAUUUUGUUUUAUCGGAUUGAAUACUUUUAUGGAUUUGAGAACACUUGAUGUAUGUCUUGCUAUGAAUACCUGUGGUGACAAUGGGGUAUCAUAUUGAUUCACUUGAUAUGUGUUUUGGCACUCAACUUGCGGAUUCCCGAGGUGACAUUGGGGUAAUAUAUGCAUAUGGGUUAAUGCAUGUUCUCGCUUUGCUUCUCUGAUAGAAAUCUUGGGGCACUCUUUGAGGUUCUUUGUGUUGGAUCAAGUAUUAUGAAUUUGAAAUUGUUUGAUGCGUAUCAUAUAAUUAACUCAUGGAUACUUGUGGUGACAUUGGAGUAUCUAGGUGACAUUAGAGUUGGUUGAUGCAUAUCAUAUGGUGUUAUUUUAGUACAAACUCUUGGAUAGAUUGAACAGAAAUAAUAACUUUGCAUUAUUUCAGUACGAACUCUUGAACAGAUCGAACGAAAGAAUAACUGUAAGGUGGUUUUGUCGUGGAAUUGUCACGGCAGAUGUCCAAGCGGAAGGACUUAGUCAUGGAGCCAUAGCAACUAGGCUAGCUUAAAGGGGUUAAACGGGACAAAGGACACAGAGUUUAUACUGGUUCGGCCCCUUGCGGUGAAGGUAAAGGCCUAAUCCAGUUCGAGGUGGUAUUGCUAGGGUUUCGAUUACUAGGGAGCGAAUACACUUGACCUAGUUCUCGAUCUCUUGUUUCUUGCCCUAAACUGCCACUGAGUCGUCCCUUUAUAUACACAGGUCGACGCCCGGUGACUCACGGAGUCCCGGCCGGCUCAUACAUAACGUGUCCGGCUCGGUGACUAACUACGCAUGCCUUAGAACACAAGUCAUACAUAUACGACGGUUCACGCUUGUGGGCCUCAAGCUGCCUUUGGACCUUGGGCCUUCAACAAGCUUGCCUUGUGAACUACCAUCUUCAACAUCUUCAUGGGCCUUGUCAUUAUAAGCCGCCCGUGGCAUGACCCGACCCCUUGAUACGUCUCCAUCGUAUCUACUUUUUCAAACACUUUUGACCUUGUUUUGGACUCAAACUUGCAUGAUUUGAAUGGAACUAACCCGGACUGACGUUGUUUUUAGCAGAAUUGCCAUGAUGUUAUUUUUGUGAAGAAAUAGAAGUUCUCAGAAUGACCUGAAACUUCACAGAGAAUAUUUUUGGAAUAUAUAAAAAAUACUGGCAAAAGAAUCAACACCAGGGGCCCACACCCUGUCCACGAGGGUGGGGGCGCACCCCCUGCCUCGUGGGCCCCCUGAUGCUCCACCGACCUCAACUCCAACUCUAUAUAUUCAUGUUCGGGGAGAAAAAAAUCAGAGAGAAGGAUUCAUCGCGUUUUAUGAUACAGAGCCGCCGCCAAGCCCUAAUCUCUCUCGGGAGGGCUGAUCUGGAGUCCGUUCGGGGCUCCAAAGAGGGGAAUCCGUUGCCAUCAUCAUCAUCAACCUUCCUCCAUCACCAAUUUCAUGAUGCUCACCACCGUGCGUGAGUAAUUCCAUCGUAGGCUUGCUGGACGGUGAUGGGUUGGAUGAGAUUUAUCAUGUAAUCGAGUUAGUUUUGUUAGGGUUUGAUCCCUAGUAUCCAUUAUGUUCUAAGAUUGAUGUUGCUAUGUUUGCUAUGCUUAAUGCUUGUCACUAGGGCCCGAGUGCCAUGAUUUCAGAUCUGAACCUAUUAUGUUUCCAUGAAUAUAUGUGAGUUCUUGAUCCUAUUUUGCAAGUCAAUAGUCACCUACUAUGUGUUAUGAUCCGAUAACCCCGAAGUGACAAUAAUCGGGACCACUCCCGAUGAUGACUAUAGUUUGAGGAGUUCAUGUAUUCACUAAGUGUUAAUGCUUUGUUCCGGUACUCUAUUAAAAGGAGGCCUUAAUAUCCCUUAGUUUCCAAUAGGACCCCGCUGCCACGGGAGGGUAGGACAAAAGAUGUCAUGCAAGUUCUUUUCCAUAAGCACGUAUGACUAUACUCGGAAUACAUGCCUACAUUACAUUGAUGAACUGGAUCUAGUUCUAUGUCACCCUAUGUUAUAACUGUUGCAUGAGGAAUCGCAUCCGACAUAAUUAUCCAUCACUGAUCCAUUGCCUACGAGCUUUUCACAUAUUGAUCUUUGCUUAGUUACUUUUCUGUUGCCACUGUUACAAUCACUACAAAACCAAUACUGUUACUUUUGCCACUGUUACCGUUACUUCCAUAUUACUUUGCUACUAAAUACUUUGCUGCAGAUAUUAAGUCUUUCAGGUGCGGUUGAAUUGACAACUCAACUAUUAAUACUUGAGAAUAUUCUUUGGCUCUCCUUGUGUUGAAUCAAUAAAUUUGGGUUGAAUACUCUACCCUCAAUAACUGUUGCGACCCCCUAUACUUGUGGGUUAUCAAGACUAUUUUCUUGUGCCGUUGCCAGGGGCAUAGCUCUAUUCUCUGAGUCACUUGGGAUUUAAAUCUGGUGAUCACUAUGAGGAACUUGAAAGAUGAACGAAUCAAGAUUUUUCCCUCAACUAUGAGGGGAGGUAAGGAACUGCCAUCUAGCUCUGCACUUGAUUCACCUUCUAUUAUGAAUAAACUUGCGACACCUACUCCUGCUAUUCAUUCUGAUAUGUCGCAUGUUAUUGAUGAUGGCACUUCUGCUUUGCAUGAUGCUUAUGACGAAACUACUUCUAUGCUUGAUAAUACUGUGCCACUAGGUGAAUUUCUUGAUGAAGAACUUGCUAGGGUUAGAGAGAAUGAAAUUAUUGAAACUGAUAAUAUUGAUGAAAGGGAUGAUGAAGAUUCUCCCCUAGAUAUGAAUUGCCUGUUGUGCCUGAGGGUUAUGUUAUGGAUGAAGAAACUGCUAGAGACUUUUUAGCUUGCAAUGAUAGAUAUGACCCUGCUUUUGCUACUUCACCUAUCUGUAUUUCCGAUAAUGAUUAUGAUUUCUCUGUCGAUCCUAAGUGAAUUACUUUGGUUGAAUCUGAUCCUUUUUAUGGCUAUGAAUCUGAAACUGGUGUGGCACAUCUUACUAAAUUAAAUGAUAUAGCCACCCUUUUUACUAACGAUGAGAAACUUGCUAUUACUUUAUCCUUAAGUUGUUUCCGUUCUCAUUAAAUGGUGAUGCUAAACAUGGUUUAGUUCUCUUGAUCCUGGUUGUGUGCGUAGUCCCCAGGAUAUGAUUUAUUACUUCUCUGCUAAAUAUUUCCCCGCUCAUAAGAAAUAAGCUGCCUUAAGGGAAAUAUAUAAUUUUGUGAAAAUUGAAGAAGAGAGUCUCCCACAAGCUUGGGGGAGGCUUCUCCGAUUACUUAAUGCUUUGCCUGAUCUGUUGGGUUCUAUGGUAGGAUGCGUCGACUGCAAAUUAAAAUUUUCCUACGCGCAGAACAACCAAGAACAUGCUAUGAGAGAUGGAUCACAGUUCGUUACCACUAGACGUGCAGUGCCAUGCAACGGAAGAAGAGUUGGGGCAGCGCGUCCGUGUGGAUCGUCUCCUCCUUGUCCAAUCUCCCUCAUACAGCCGGUAGUCGGUUCCCACGUACAGGUUCGUCGGAGCGGCGCAAGUGCACCGCCUCUAACGGUAUUCGCACGUGCAUGAGGGACGUCGUGCGGCGGACUGCUAGGUCCGAUCACACAACUGGCGGCGAGUGGAGGUGUCUAUUCGCAACACAUGCAAACCCUAGUGAUAGUGCCGAAGUGAUUAAAUCACGUGAGUGUGCGGCACCUCCACUUUAUAUAGGCAUCCGUCGCAGGCUCAACACUUGGGCCUUGCACGGACCCUAAAUCCCAUAAGUCUACUCGACCACAAUCCGAAUACAGCUCGGAUCACAUCCGACCAGUGUCCUCGGAUCCGACCUCGUAGGUUCCUUCCCUUAAGCAUGUGAUCCCUUAGGUUCAAGCCGGCUUGGUCGCAGUUUGGAUCACCUCCGAACUGCACUGUUGGUAGGAGCCUCUAGCAAGGCAUGCCGAACACCAAACUGACUAUGAAGCUGGUUAGGCGAACCUAUACAUCAUACUUCUAUUCCUUUUGCCACACGAUAUAUGUCAUCCUUGUGCUAGCCCGGCCUCUUUCUCGUUCCAGUGAUGCCGACCACAAAUCAGAUUAUCUCAUAAUCCUUGUCGCAUGGCCAUGCUUAUCCUGGUCGGAUCACACGAGGGGCCCAGAGUAUAUCUCUCCUGAUCGGAGGGGCAAAUCUCAUCUUGCUCGACCAUGUCUCGCAGCAUGGUUCUGGAAAAACCCGAAACCUACCUUUAUAACUACCCAGUUAUGGAGUAGCGUUUGGUCGGCCCAAAGCAAGUCUGUCACCAUCCCGAGUACAUGCGUCAGCUCAGGUCUUAGGACAUAGAACAUAUGUUGUACUCGAGACUCAUAGAUGACAUAUCGUUGCGUCUCAUAGUUGGGUCCGUCCGACUCAGACCUUAUCUCAACUCGGAUCCGACUACGUCAAAUCCGACCAGAUCCUUCCAAGUCCAUAUUAUCCGAUUAGAAUCCAAUGCUCCAUGGCUAGUGAGACCAAGCCAUCGACCGUGUCAUAUGCUAGUCUAGUUGGUUGCGCAUCCACACAACCCUUUCGACUAGGGACCUUUUAGGAUAGUCAUCAUACAAUGCAUAGUCCCACAAACAAGUCACGUACUUGCUGAUACACAUCAUUGAUAAUGUCCAAGGACUAUCUUUAUUCAUAAACACAUAGGAAAUAUCAUCAUACAUGAUUGCCUCUAGGGCAUAUCUCCAACAGUCUCCCACUUGCACUAGAGUCAAUCAAAUAGACAUCGAAUGCCCAUAGCUCUAACGUGCCCCUCAUGCUUGGGUUGUGGAAGCGGCUUAGUCAACAGAUCCGCAACAUUUGCAUCCAUGUGAAUUUUGCAUAACUCUACAUCACCACUCUUUACGAUCUUUCGUAUCAGGUGAUAUUUCCGAUCUAUGUGCCUGACCUUGUGGUGAUUCCUCGACUCCUUGGCUUGUGCGAUGGCACCAGAAUUAUCACAAUAAAGGUCCAACGGUUUUACUGAGGCUGGGAAAAUACCAAGAUCAUCCAGAAAGUUCCGGAUCCAAACACCUUUCUUUGCAGCUUCACAAGCCGCAAUGUAUUCGGCUUCUGUAGUAGAAUCGGCCACCGUAUCUUGCUUGGAACUCAUCUAGCUCACCGCUCCUUCGUUCAUGACGUACAUGAAUCCGGAUUGUGAUCGACAAUCAUCUCUGUCGGUUUGGAAACUAGCAUCGGCGUAACCCCUUACGACGAGCUCUUCCUCACCUCCAUAAACUAGGAACAUCUUUUUAGUCCUUUUCAGGUACUUCAAUAUUGUCUUUACUGCUGCCCAGUGACUCUCACCUGGGUUGGCAUGGUAUCUACUUGUUUGGCUUAUUGCAAAAGCAACAUCGGGCCGCGUACAUAUCAUGGCAUACAUGAUGGAUUCGAUUGCCGAGGCAUAAGGAAUCCUACUCAUCCUGCUUCGCUCAUCAGAUGUCGAAGGAAUCUGAGUCUCACUUAGCCUUAUACUAUGUGAGAGUGGCAAGAACCCUUUCUUUGCCUCACUCAUGUCGAACCGCUUCAACACUUUAUCUAUGUACGUGCUCUGGCUUAAGCCGAGCAGCCUCCUUGAUCUACCUCUAUAGAUCUUAAUGCCUAAAAUGUACAUUGCCUCACCAAGGUCCUUCAUCGAAAACUUGCCAUUCAAUGAUUCCUUGACCGAGUUUAGCAUCGAAACAUCAUUUCCGAUCAGUAGUAUGUCAUCCACAUACAAGAUGAAAAACACAAUCGAGCUCCCACUUAACUGCUUGUAUAAACAAGCGGCCUCAUCGCUUUUGAUGAAACCAAGACCAGUGACGACCUCAUCAAAACGAAUGUUCCAACUCUGAGAUGCUUGCCUCAACCCAUAAAUGGAUCUCUUCAGCUUGCUUACCUUACUAGUGCUAGUCGGAUAGACAAAACCCUCGGGCUGUAUCAUAUACACGUCCUCUGUUAAAUUUCUAUGAAGGAAAGCCGUCUUGACAUCCAUCUGCCAUAUCUCGUAAUCGAAAUAUGCAGCUAUAGCUAGUACGGUCCUCACCGACUUCAGCAUCGCUACCGGCGAGUAAGUCUCGUCGUAGUCAAUUCCUUGAACUUGUCCAUAACCCUUAGCGACAAGCCGAGAUUUGUGGAUCUGAACAUUUCCAUCCACAUCGGUUUUCUUCUUAAAGACCCAUUUGCAACCAAUGGCUGUUACGCUAGGCGGCGGAUCAACCAAGUACCAGACUUGAUCCUCAUCCAUGGACUUUAACUCGGAUCUCAUGGCCUCCAGCCAUGAUUCGGAAUCUGGGCUCACCAUCGCUUCCGCAUACGUGGCCGACUCGUCUCUUUCUAGCAACAAUACAUCACGCACUCUGCGCAAUCUUUCCGACCUCCGUGGUUCCGGUGCCGCUUCCACUACGAGUUCCCUGACUGACUCCGAUAUGAUCUCAUCACCAGCCGAGCCGUCACCGAGUGGUCCUCGAAUUUCUUUGAGUCAGACUGUCCUCCCACUGGCCUCCCGACUAAGAAACUCUUUCUCAAGGAAAACCCCGUUCUGAGCAACAAACACUUUGUUCUCUUCCUGGUUGUAGAAGCUAUAUCCCAAGGUUUCCCUCGGAUAUCCCAUGAAUAUGCAUUUAUCCGACUUGGGUGUAAGCUUGUCUGACAUAAGUUUCUUGAAAAAUGCUUCACAACCCCAAAUCUUUAGAAAAGACAAAGUGGGAAUCUUCCCGGUCCACAUCUCAUGUGGUGUCUUAUCUACGGAUUUUGAUGGUACCCUCUUAAGUGUGAAAGCUGCAGUUUCUAGAGCGUAUCCCCAGAAUGACAAGGGUAAAUCCGAUUUUCUCAUCAUAGAUCGAACCAUGUCCAACAAGGUAUGAUUCCUCCAUUCUGAUACACCAUUUCUAGAGCUGAGGUACUAUACCUCUGCUUUUCAGAUGAUCAUCAAACUCCUGGCUCAUGUACUCACCUCCACGAUCAGAUCGUAGAAGUUUUAUAGUCUUGCCGAGCUGAUUCUCAACCUCGUUUUGAAACUCUUUGAACUUUUCAAAAGUCUCUGACUUGUGCCUCAUCAAAUAGAUAUAUCCAUAUCUACUCAAGUCAUUGGUAAAAGUCACGAAGUACUGAUAGCCACCUCUGGCAGUUGUGCUCAUUGGUCCACACACAUCACUGUGUAUCAGUUCCAACAGCUCGGAUGCCCUCUCACAACUCUUUGCGAAAGGAGACUUAGUCAUCUUGCCGAGCAAGCAUGAUUCACAUGUCUCGAACGACCCAAUGUCGGUCAAAGUUAGGAGUCCAUCAUCAUGAAGCUUCUUCAUGCAUUUCAGACUGAUGUGUCCAAGCCGGCAAUGCCAGAAGUAUGUCGGAUUUAUCUCAUUAGGCUUAUGCCUCUUGACAUUCACGUUAUAGACCGGUUCCUAUUCUAGAUUCAAUAUAAAUAGCCCAUCAACAAUGGGUGCAUAGCCGUGGAACAUCCCAUUCAAAUAAAUCAAACAACCAUUGUCCUUUAAAUUGAAUUCAUAACCCUGACUCAUCAAGCAUGAGGCAGAAAUAAUGUUCCGACUAAGUGCAGGAAUGUAAUAACAAUUAGUCAAUUCCAAAAUAAAUCCAGAAGGAAGCUGGAGCUGCAUCGUGCCGACCUCUAACAUAGCAACUCUUACUUUGUUGCCGACCCUGAUGUCAAUCUCCCCUUGUGGCACACGCCUAGUUCUUACCAGCCCCUGCAUCGAGUUGCAAAUGUGAACAACCAAUCCGGUAUCAAAUACCCAUGAGCUACUAGGUAUGUCAGCAAGGUAAAUGUCUAUAACAUAUGCAACAAGUGUACCUUUGCUCGAAGAAGCAUUUCCGGCCUUCUUGCCAUGCUCUGCAAGCCACUUGCUACAGUUCCUCUUCCAGUGACCAGUUUCCUUGAAAUGAUAGCAAAAGGUCUUUGAGUUAGGUCCAGAUUUUGGCGUAACGGCAGAGGUUACUGUCUCCAUGCCCUUUGACUUAGCCUUUUUCUUGGACCAACUCUUCUUGAACUUAGCUGAUUUCUGCACCAUCAACACUUGAUGCAUGCCUUUGUUAAUAUCCUGCUCUGCCACUUUGAGGAUCCCAUGCAAUUUAGUGAGCUUCUUAUCCAUGCAAUGCAUAUGAUAGUUCGAGAUGAACGUCCCAUAGCUGGGCGGAAGAGAACCCAAAACUACAUCAGUGGCCAUGUCGAAGUAAUGGGCCACGGGUAGGCCAACCCGAGCCCCAGAACCUUUCAAGACAUCGGGGCAGGCUGUGCCCCUCAAGGCCCCAGGACGAAGAGCCGCCUUUAGGAUGUCAACGACAAGACGGUCGACUGACCACCCACGGCCGAGUCCCAGGGACGACUUCAGGGAAAGCCGACUCCUGACUAGCGACUUCCAGAGAAGCCGGCUUUGGGGAGUCAGCCUGCGACUCCAACACCCCUCACGAUCUCAUCAAGUGGGACGGGGCAGGGGAGUGGCAACAAUGAAGCCCGCUCCUGCCCCUUACCAAGGGUAGGCAUGGCCACAGCACGCCGUACCCCGGAAGAUCUUCGUGCGGCGUGGCACUGUUGCCAUGCCGGCCCUGACAUCAGCACCGCAAGACCGAAUCAUGCACCCACGACGGCUUGUCUAUACGGCCUAGAGGCAGCAGGUCCCACCAGUCAGUGAGACCCCAAGAGACGGCAAGAGGACCACAGUCGGACCCAUCGGGAGUCGGCCCGGGGAGGUCGGCCGAGCCCUCCCCCGGGGCCCACACGCCAUUAAUCAAGAUGUGAUGGGGAGUGGCGACAGUGAUCGCCCGCCGGGCGGCGGGGCUGUUGCCACGACCUCAUGAUCAAGCCCGCGUCAUCAGAAGCACAACUACAGUAAUCAGCAGCCGGCAAGACCCGCCCGCGGCGGACGCGGCCUGCCGGCUCCGUACCAAGUUGUCACAGCCCUAGCUAAGCCCUUGCCUGACUCUGCAUAAGCAUUCAUGCAUCAUGUCUAAAUUCAAAUGAAAUUUUGAAUUGGGGAUGUUCAAACCCUAGCAGAUAAUAAUUUUAACUAGGUUCAAUUCAAAUAUUUUCAUUGGACCCAAAAUGCCCUCCAAAAAUGUUCAUUAUUUCUGGGAAAAGGUUAAAACCUUAAUCAGAGGUCAUGCACAUUUUUCCAAUGCAUUUAUGGUUUUUGAAUUAAUUCAUAAUUGUAUUUGAGUUGGAGCAAAUAAAUUCUAUAAAUAUUUUUAUUGCUCCAAUAAUCCUGGAAUAUUUUGUGGAGCUCUAGGAUAAACCUUAAUGCAUCCACAAUAAUUUCCAGAGAGCUGCAAAAUAAUUUGGUUAAGAAACCAAAUUAAAACAAAAACUGCAAAAUAGAAAACAGAAAUUAAAUUAGAGGAGAGAGAGAGACCUACCUGGCGCCUACCUGUGCGGCCUGCUGCAGAAGCCGGCCCAGCCCAUCUCCACUUUCCCCAGUCGUCUUCCCCGCGCCAGUAGGCAGCGCGCGUGGCCGACGGGCGCCGACGCUGCCUCGGCCACCUCCUGCUUCCCCGGCCACCUCCUGCUUCCCCGGCCCCUUCUAGCGACGCCUGGAGGCGCCACACAGCCCCCUGGUCCCUCUCGCUCACUCCCUCGAGCUCAUCCCCCUCCUCUGCUCUCUCUCCCCACGACGCCACCGAACACGCCCCUCGCCGCCGCUCGCCACCACCGCGGCCACAGCCACCUCCUCGCACCUCCCCCGUGUUUGGAAGGUCCGGCGCGACUCCAUCUCCCUCUUCGUCGAGCCACGCAAGCCAAGGAUCGCCACACCGUCGUCUUCGAGCUCUCCAUUGCCGCAUCUACUCGCCGGCCGUCACCGUCGUUCGCGCGCUGGAGGUCGUCCCCGAGCCCACUGAGCCACCCUACUGCCUCCCUGUGAGCUUGCCGUCGUUUCCCCUCACCUCUCUCUCUCGUGCGCGCCCUGUAGCCGCCGCCCCGCGAGCACCCGAAGCCGCCGUCCGCCAUGGCCGGCGAGCUCCGUGCCCCCGAGCACCUCUGCCUCGCAUAGUAGCUCCGACAUGCUCCUGCUGCCCUUUAGGUGCUGCCUAGCACCUCCGUUCACUCACCUACGAGCUGCAGCACCGCGCCCGCACUUAGCCGAGCUCCGGCCGCCGCUGCCGAGCUCGUAGCCUUCGCCUCCGGCCACCACAGGCCCGGCUAGCACCACCUAACGACGCGCGCCGGCGAGGGCACUCCGACGCGCCUAGCCGCAGCUCGAAUCGUGCCCUGUGGGCGAUUCCCGAGCCUCCGCCGCGUCUGGUCGUUGCCGGCGGCUAGACGCCGGUGGAUUAGCCCCGGUUGACCAGGGAUUUGACCCCACUGGGUCACUGACGUGUGGGCCCGCCUUGCUAAUUAAACCUAGGAUUAGGACUAACUAAGAUUAGUUAGUCUAAUGACUCUGACCCAUGGGUCCCGCGCCACAGGUUUGACUCUGGUCAACCCUGUUGACUUACUGACGUCACACAGGCGUCAUGCUGACGCAGUAAAGUAUUUCUGGAAUUUAAAUAAAUCUUAAAUGAUUUAAUAUUUUCAGAAAAUGUCCAAAACUUCUAAAAAUCAUAUAAAAUCAACCGUAACUCAGAAUGAAAUAAAUUAUAUAUGAAAAAUGAUCAGAAAAAUCCAAUCUAUCCAUCUGUACCAUUUUCAUGCAUGUUAGAACAACUUAUAGCUGCUGUUUAGCACAAAUCAUAUAAAUGGCAUUUGAAUUUCACAUAUGGAGUUUGGAUUUGAACUUAGGGUUCAAACCUACUUCAUUUAACUUUGUUGCUAGCUGCAUUAGCUCAAAACACCAGCAUGUUGCCAUGUCAUGAUCAUGCAUCAUAAUGUGCAUUGCAUUGAUUGUGUUUCUCUUUGUUGUCGGUAAUUGUUCCCUCUCCGUAGACGUGGUUUCGACGAUGAGAUCGAUGACACUGAUGAAGAGCUAUAUUAUCUUCGGAAGUGCCAGGCAAGCAAAACCCCCUUGUUCAUUCCGAUACAAUCCUACUCUCUCGCCCUGCUCUCUUUUACCGCAUUAGGACAACAACGAGUCAUUUGUUACUUGCUGCGGUAGUUGAACCCCUUUAUCCUCUGCAUGACCUGUCAUUGCCACAGUAAAUAGAUGAAACCCACUAGUAUGAGUAGGAGUUGUUUGAGCCAUGUUGUGCCUACUCAUUCAUGUUUGUUUGUCAUGCCUGCUAUUGCUUAGAGUUGAGUCAGGUCUGAUUCAUCGGGGAUGGAUCAGAGGUGUGUGAACAUGUCCUACUGUGUGUGAGCUAAGUGUGUGAACACGAUUUGGUAAAAGGUAACGGUGAGAGGCCAUGUAGGAGUACAUGGUGGGUUGUCUCAUUGAAGCCGUCCUUAGGAACUGAGUUCUGUGUUUGUGAUCCAUGAUUCAGCUACUACCAUACAUUGGGCCCUGAAAUAUGACCCCGCUCGACUUCUUAUUCACCCUAGUCCUUUGUCCAGGAGUUGCAAGUAGUUUCUGGUGUUUGUAGCAUGCUGGAGGCCGUGGACAGCGCUGACCGUAGGGGUGGGCUGUGAUGCGGUAGGUACGUGGCACGGUGUACCGGAUGCCCGUUAGGUGUCUCGGGAACCCUGUUCACAUCGUUUGGGGCUGUGAGCGAAACUCCGGCCGGAUCUCCUCAUGGAUGGAACCCGAAUAGGCGAUAAACCUAGACUAAAGACUUGAGUGUUUAGGUAGGUCGUGGUCUACACCCACGUCGGCUUUCGCUUGAAGUCUGCCGAGCACAUGUCGUGUGCAGACGCUAAGUGGUGGAAACAUGUAUGAAGAAGUACACCCCUGCAGGGUUAACAUCAUCUAUUCGAAUAGCCGUGUCCGCGGAAAAGGACUUCUGGGUUGCUUAUAUCAGUUCAUAGACAAGUGAAAGUGGAUACUCUAAAAUACGCAAGAUAAGCGUGAGUGCUAUGGAUGGCGUUCUCGUAGGGAGACGGGAGUGGAUCCAUAGUGGUGUAUUGAUAUGGUGAAUAUGUGGACUCGUGUGCGCCACCUCAAAAGAGUUACUUGCAGUCGUAGUUUAGGAUAGCCACCGAGUCAAAGCUGGCUUGCUGCAGUUAAACCCCACCAUCCCCUUUGUUGAUAACGAUGCAUAUGUAGUUAGUUCUGAUGUAAGUCUUGCUGGGUACAAUUGUACUCACGUUGCUUAAUUUAUGUUUUUGCAGAGAGAGACUUCAGUCUCACUAGUAGUUCCACGUGAACUUCGACGUUUAGCUUGUUACCUCAGCUACGAUCUUGUGCCCUCGGCAGGAUCUGGUAGAUAGUCAGGCUUCUCAGCCUUUUUCAUUUAUAGAUGUCUGUACUCAGACAUGAUAGCUUCCGCUUGUGUUUUGACUUGUAUGCUCUGAAUGUUGGGUCGUGAGAACCAUGUUUGUAUUAUCUCGCUCCUAGGAGCCUAUUGAAUAAAUACUUGAGUCGUAGAGUCAUGUUGUGAUGCCAUGUUGUAUUUGCACAUAUCGAGCAUAUUGUGUGUAUGUUAUUGAAAUGCUUGGUAUGUGUGGGAUCUGACUAUCUAGUUGUUUAUCCUUAGUAGCCCCUCUUACCGGGAAAUGUCUCCUAGUGUUUCCACCGAGCCAUGGUAGCUUGCUACUGCUCCGGAACACUUAGGCUGGCCGGCAUGUGUCCUUCUUCGUUCCUGUGUCUGUACCUUCGGGGAAAUGUCACGCGAUGAAUACCAGAGUCCUGUUAGCCCGCUACAGCCCGGUUCACCGAAGUCCUGCUAGCCCAGUGCUACAGCCUGGAUUCACUCGCUGAUGACCGACACGUUCGAUGCUGGGUCAUGGAUGCCUGUCCCUGUAGGUUUGUGCCACUUUGGGUUUACGACUAGCCAUGUCAGCCCGGGCUCCUUAUCAUAUGGAUGCUAGCGACACUAUCAUAUACGUGUGCCAAAAGGCGCAAACGGUCCCGGGAAAAGGUAAGGCGACACCCGUGGGAAUACCGUGCGUGAGGCCGCAAAGUGAUAUGAGGUGUUACAUGCUAGAUCGAUGUGGCAUUGAGUCGGGGUCCUGACAGCGUUGGUAUCAGAGCUUGACUGCCUGUAGGAUUACUAAGCCAAACUGGUCAAAGUUGAGUCUAGAAAUUCUUUAGUUAUAUAAGGGAAUUGAUUGUGGGAUGGAACGUAAGGCUCUUUUUACUCCUUAUACCUCAUGCCCUUCUGAUCUGAGUCAUCUUAUCUUUUCUACGGGGUUAAGGAACUAGGCUAUCUCUUCUUUCUAUCAGGAUCACGUGUUACUAAUCUGUAGAAUUGUAAGAUUGUUGGACAUAAGCCUCAGUCCAGUUCCUACUACUUCUGUGUGUUAACUGAUGAUCUCGAAACCUUGAUAUUGUGCUUCCGAGUGGUUAUGCCACCAUUUUUCUGAAUGUCUCAAAUCUUUUCUGAGCAUUUACAGCCGUUAUGCCAUCCGAGUCAUCCCAGGUUUCUAAAUAGUCUGAUGCAUUUGCAAAUCCUUUCUUUCCGUUCCCGAUGUCCUUUAUGGUCAGAAUAAGCACACUAACCGGUGCGUUGAGGUAAUUUAUUGCCUCGACAUAUAUGUCGGAAUUAUUAUUAUGACCCUAAGUGCUUAGGGGAUCAUCUAGUGGUCUAGCCAUGAUUUGUGUUUCCAGUGUGAUGAUUCUGGCCAUCAUUCUCGUAAGCAUCCCGUGAUGCCACUUAGUUAGUAGGCAUUUCACUUCUGGGUUUUGAACCCGAGAUUCACCCUACUUACUUCAUGUUGAUAGUAAUUGCUAGCUCCCUUAGGUUAUUAGUAACCUUUGCGAUAGUCCUUGAAGUCCGUGGUAUCUUCUUCUUCCAAAUACCAUGAACUACUUAUGGCAGAAGUUCCUCGUUGAACUGAACGAUCACAACCAGAGUGCUCUUGAUGAGUUCUCCAUUAUAUAUUGUGGCUCUGCCAGUUCUACCUUUCUGCAUGGGUUAUCCGGAAGAAACAUAUUGAACUUGGUUCGACAUACUAAUCUAUGCAUCCACAACUCAGAAAAUUAUAUGUUCUUUGAGUUGUCCCUCUUAGUUGUCUUCUAACCCUGGUCUAUCAUUUGAUAGUCAAGAUUAUGCGUGCAUUCCUAUUACUGUUGUGGUCCGUCAAGCCAUUCUAUUCCGGAAUGACUAGGAGAAACAAACUCCAGUACCUUGUCCAUUUCCAGGAUUGGGUCAAAGAAGUUGUGCUCCACAGAUCAAAUUGCUAAUCCAGCUUUUGUUCUGUUCUACCUUGGAGUAUUACCAUCUUUUAUAUGCGUGCAUUCCUAAACACUUUGCCAUAGUGAUCAUGCGGAGACCCUGCAGAGCAGCAGUAGGGGUAUUAUCUCCUUGGAGAGCCCUGAAGCUGGGUAAGAUUCGCCGGCGUGCAUGUCUUUGCCUCAUCCCAUUUCCAGGCACCGGCGACGUUCUACUCGCCCCCACCAUGAUAAGCCAUCCUUUGGCAUAUGUUGCACCAAACCCCCGACAUUUGGCGCCCACCAUGGGGCGCGGUGCACUGCCGUCCGGAGAUCUGUUCUGGACGGGAACCCUUUUUCUCCCUGGCGAGCGCAGCCAGCCAGGCACGCCAGACGGAGUUUGCACCGACGCGCUAAGCGGCGUUGAGAUCGCUUGCGCGGCCAGCUCCUUGGCCGAACUUGUCGGCGAGGUUCGCCUCUCCGACGAACCUGCGUCCAACGCAGGCACGGGCGGCCCCGAGAACCUCCUCGUGGGCCUCCUUGAUCAACUCCAUGUUUCCGGCGAGCCUGCCGUAGACUUGGAGUCCGUAGGCUCCACCGACCCGAUGCUGGUCGACUCCAUCACCGCGUCGCUCGACGCGUUCCCCACCAAUGUGGUGGUCUACGACGAACCUCUCCCUCGCGCGGAGAGCAACGGAAGCACCGUCACUGAGGUGCUAGUCAUCAGUCGUGACGAGCUCCCCGGCGGAGGAGCGCACGACUCACUCGGCACGGCGCUGCAAGACCUAACUGCGCCCAUUCCGGAAGACGCUGACGUAGAGACGUUGGAGGCGCGCCGCCUUCAGCUCGUUGAAGGCGCGAAGAAGCUGGCCAGCAUGAGGUGCUUGUUAGAAGCCUAUCAGCGGGAGAUGGAUCGCGCCGUCGGCGGCUCGCCGACCCCGGCGGGGCCCAGCCGCUUUGGCACGGUCCAGCAGCGUGGCGUAGCCAUCGCCAACCUAUUUGGGGCAAGCUGCCCUAUGUACGCUACACCAGCGGAGAACAUCCGAGCCGCCCAGGCAGCGGCGUAUGAGCUGGACAAUUUCGAGGGCGAAGAGCGCCGCCUCAUGAUGGAGCGAGUCCAGCGGCUCCUCGACAUGGCCGCCGCGCAGAACGAGGCCGGCUGUCACGCGAAGGCGCCGCAGCGGCCAAACGACGACCUUCACCGAGACGUCUCGGACGCCGACUGGCGGCGCCCGAGGAAGAAGAGACAAGGAGCCAGCUGUCAGCCACAGUCGGACUCGCAUUACCAUAGAGCGCGACCGAGACGGCCGCCUGGGAGCAGUGGAACGACGGGACGACUGUCCACCUCCCCCUCCCCGCAAGGAGAGGCGAGUCUCCCCGCCGCCUGUUGACCAUCCGACUCUCGGCGACCGCCUUGGCCGCCGAUCCUUAGUGCUGGAAGAAGAAGACGAGCUGGGUCCGCCUUGUUUCGGGCCCCGCAUUCGGGACGAGCCCUUUCCCAGAGGGUUCACGCUCCCAAGAGACACGCCCAAGUAUACCGGCUCCGUGAAGCCGGAAGACUGGCUAGUCGACUACUCCACGGCUGUCAGCAUAGCAAACGGCAACAAGCGUGUCGCCGUAAAGUACGUUCCGCUCAUGCUCCAGGGCACGGCCCGGACAUGGCUGAACAGCCUAAAGCCCCGCAACAUCAACAGCUGGGUUGACUUCACCGAAUCAUUCAUCCGCAACUUCACCAGCACGUACAAGCGUCCUCCCAAGCCUCGUCAGCUCUCCUUGUGCGUGCAAGGCCCCGACGAGUCGACUCGCGAUUACCUCACGCGUGGGGCCGAGCUUCGGAACUCCUGCGAGGGUGUGCACGAGGUGUAGGCCAUCGAGUACUUCAUAGCCGGGUGCAGAGAAGGCACCCUCCUCAAGCACAAGCUCCUUUGCGAUGAGCCAGAAACCCUCGACGAGCUGUUGAUCAUAGCGGACAAGUACGCCAUGGCCGACUCCUCCAUGAAGGCGGAGAUUCAAAUCAGCACAACUGGCAAAGUGGCUCCUCAAGCUCCAAGAACUCCGGCGGCAGACGCCAGCCGGCGACAACAGCAGGGCGACCACAAGCGCAAGGCCCCGCAGCCGGCUUCCAGCAGCCGGCAGGUCGCGACCGUUGAAGCCUAGCAGCCAGAUGAGCAGCCUCCGCCCAAGCGACAGAAAGGCGGCAAGCCAAACUAGUUGCCGGCCUUCUCCUACGAACAGACCCUGGAUGGACCUUGCAAGUUCCAUAGCAGCGCGAAGCCGUUGAAUCACACCACCCGGAAGUGCCACUAGCUCACCAGGAUCGCCAAGGGAGACGGCCUCCUGCCUCCCCCGCCUGCUGGGCAGCCGCCUUCGCCGCCCCCCAGCAGCCGGCUGUCAGGCCAGUCGGCGCAGUACAAGACGAAUACCCUGAAGAGCACAGAGCCUACGUGGUGUUUACCAGUGUGGCUAAUGAUCGACGUAGCAGGCGGCUAUAGUGACAAGAGGUGAAUGCAGUAGCAUCGGAGACGCCAGAGUUCAUGCACUGGUCCGAGAAGCCCAUCAACUGGAGCAGGGCUGACCACCUAGAAGUGAUGCCGAGUCCGGGCUCCUAUGCCUUGGUCCUGGAUGCCACCUUUGCUACGGACAGACGAGCCACGCAUUUCUUGCGAGUUCUGAUAGACGGAGGCAGCAGCAUCAAUAUCCUGUACAAGGACACCAUGGAGAAGUUAGGAAUCAAGCAAGAUAGCUUCAGAAUAGCCGAACUGUGUUCCACGGCAUUGUUCCUGGGCUUUCCUGCUCGCCAAUCGGCAAGAUCUUGAUGGACGUCCUCUUUGGAGACAAAGAUCACUUCCGCAGAGAGUCUGUUUGGUUUGAGGUGGUGGACCUUGAGAGCCCAUACCAUGCGCUACUUGGCCGACCCGCCUUGGCCAAGUUCAUGGCGGUCCCCCACUACGCCUACCUCAAGAUGAAGAUGCCCAGUUCCAGGGGAAUUCUGACUGUGGCUGGCGACUACCGGAAGUCGUCUGCUUGCGCGGCUGAGAGCAGUCGGCUGGCUAAGUCCCUGGUAAUCGUGGCCGAGAAGCGGCUCCUUGAGCGAGUUGUGGCGAUGGCCGGCAAGCAGCCUGAGGUAUCGCCCAACCCAAAAGAGUCGGAGGCUGAGGGUUCGUUCAAGCCGGCCAAAGAGACAAAGAAGAUACCCUUGGAUCCGGAGCACCCAGAGA
rnacentral:lncRNA from 1 species